rnacentral:lncRNA from 1 species
GCACGCGUACAGCGUGGGGUGGCUGAAGCGCGCGUGCGAGGGGGCGCUGGCGCUGCGGCUGACGGCGGAGGGCGUGGCGGACGUGUUGCUGCUGGCGCGGCAGUGCGACGCCCCGCGGCUGUACCUCCGCUGCAUGAAGCUGCUGGCCAAGGACUUCGCCGCCGUCAAGAAGACCGAGGCCUGGCAGUUCCUCCAGGCCAACGACCCCUGGCUCGAGCUCGAAAUCCUCCAGUUCCUCCAGGAGGCCGAACUGGUACGUCACCAAAAUGUAUUAUGUUUGGUUCUCCCGUAGAAUAUAGUAAUUUUUGACAAUUCAUAUAAAUAAAUAAAUAAAUAAAUAGAUAGAUAAAAAUAUAUAAAAUUUAUCUGAAUUAUGAAUUAUUUUGAUAGAGAAAGAAGCGGGUUGGGCGCAAGCUGGCGUACCAGCGGGUGUAUGAAGAGCUGGGGGACGCAAUGGAGUGCCUGCAGCACAUGUACGUGGGCAAGGAGGGAAGCAAGAAGAACCACCCCUGCUCCUCAUCUGCCUGCUACCGCAACCUGCAGCUCCUCAUCCAACACCUCGCCGCCUGCCCCCGCAGGAAAGCCUGCCCCCGCUGCUGCCGCAUGUUGCAGCUCCUCCGCCUCCACUCCGCCAUCUGCGACGACAGCACGCAACAGGCUUGCCGCAUCCCUCUUUGCUCGUAAGUCUCUACGCUGCUAUCGUAAAAGAAUUUGUUAGUUAAUGCUUUUAUCAUCCGCCUACGUUCAGGUGUAUCUGAGUCAUUUGGCUUUCAUAUGACUGAUGAUUGUUUAGGAAACAUUGGGAGGGAGUAUGCUGAGUUGGUGGUUGAUUGAUUUUAUAGUCUAUUUGGUACCACUUCUGUAUCUGUUCUCAGCAGCAGCAGCAGCAGUAUCAAGGAGAAAUUCUGGAGCUUCUGCUGUAGCGAGAAACUGAAAUUAGAUUUUCAACGUCAAAAACGAAUUACGUAAUGCUUCUUCUAAUAGCACGACAUCUAUUGGCAGUGUAAUCGCUCUAAUGUUUGGGGAGUUUGACAUAUUUUUCCUUUUCUUUUUGUUAGAGAACAAACUUAACCACUGAUGCCCUGCUUGUUGGGUUUUCCGUCUAUACCUGCAGGCACUUCAAGCUGAGAAUGCAGCAGCAGAAGGAAGAUUCUCAGCAGCAGCAGAAGGAAGGGAAAGAAGAGGACGACACGUGGCAGCUUCUGGUGAAGAAGGUGAAGGUUGCUCGAGUUAUGUCCUCCUUCUCUAAGAGGAAGGGACAGGAAGGAGUUCAUGAGCAAUUCGCCCUUUGCUCUACUACUGCAAAGACCAGUGACUAAUGUCAUGGAAAUUUUCUUUUUCCUUUUGUUCUUUCCCCCCUGUUAGUAAGGAAUUAAGAUGCGCCUUCCUUAUAAAGAGAGCAGCUCGAUGCACGUAUAUGCAUGCCAAUCUUCUAGAGAGAGAGUUCUUAGCUUGUUAAAAAAAGGAGCAUGCAGCUGUUAUAGAAGUGAAACUUGUAUUAGAUAAUAGUUUGGUGUGUGUAUAUGUAUGUCUAUCUUCUAGAGAGAGAAAGAGUUUUUAGCUUGUAAAAAUGGGGCAGGCAGCUGUUAUAGAAGUGGAACUUGUAUUAGAGAAGAGUUUGGUGUGUGUAUAUGUAUGUCUAUCUUCUAGAGAGAGAGAGAAAGAGUUCUUAGCUUGUUAAAAAAUGGUAGGUAGCUGUUAUAGAAGUGGAACUUGUAUUAGAGAGGAGUUUGGUGUGUGUAUAUGUAUGUCUAUCUUCUAUAGAGAGAGAAAGAGUUCUUAGCUUGCAAAAAUGGGGCAGACAACUGUUAUAGAAGUGGAACUUGUAUUAGAGAGGAGCUUGGUGUGUAUAUGUAUGUCUAUAUUCUAGAGAGAGAGAGAAAGAGUUCUUAGCUUGCUAAAAAAGGGCAGUAGCUGUUAUAGAAGUAGAACUUGUAUUAAAAAGGAGUUUAGUGUGUUUAUGUAUGUCUAUCUUCUAGAGAGAGAGAAAGAGUUCUUAGCUUGCAAAAAUAGGGCAGACAGCUGUUAUAGAAGUGAAACUUGUAUUAGAGAGGAGCUUGGUGUGUGUCUAUGCAUGUCUAUCUUCUAGAGAGACAGAAAGAGCUCUUAACUUGCAAAAAAAGGGCAGGCAGCUAUUAUAAAAGUGGAACUUGUAUUAGAGAGGAGCUUGAUGUGUGUAUAUGUAUGUUUAUCUUUUAGAGAGAGAGACUUCUUAGUUUAUAUAAAAAGGGGCAGGUAGCUGUUAUAGAAGUGGAAUUUGUAUUAGAGAGGAGCUUGGUGUGUAUAUAUGUAUGCCUAUCUUUCAGAGAGAAUCACUCCAGCUGUUAUAAAAGUGGAUCUUGUAUUAGCAUAAGAACAAUUAGUUACAUUUUGCAACUAACUUAAGAUAUAAUAUGCAAUAAGAAACUUAAGCUGAUCAUGAUUUUUAAAUAUAAUUGAUUCAUCGAAUGACGAACGUACAAAUGUCUUUUUGGAUGCUUAGCAUAGUAUUUCGCUUUUGUUUACUCAAGAGUGUUGCAGUAAUUCUUGCAAUUGAUAGCCGAAAAAUGCGAUCAAUAUCUAUAACUAUAAUAUAUAAUAAAAAUAAAUGGGCUAAAAGACUCAAUUUUUAAUAAAAAUAAAAUAAUCUUUAUUUUUAUAAAAUAAGUUAUUAUUAAAUAAUUUAUUUUACCAUCCAAAUGAACCUUAAAAUUUACAUUUCCUCCGCAUUUCCUGGUAAUGAAGCUGACCCUAGUUUUCUCCAUGCAAAUCAGGUUAGAGUCGAUAGAUCAGAAUGUCGUAAUCAAAUUACAAUCUUUGAAGUUUCCCUAAUGAAAGAGAUCUCUAAGUUAAGAAAUUCGAGUCUAGUCUACAGUAAUUAAAGAUUAUUUGACGUGUAGAAUUAGGUAUGCAUGUCAGCAAUGACUAAGUUGAAAAAGUCCAUUAGUACGUUCUAUUAAUUUAAUUCAUCGUCACGCCUUUUACUUUAUGAACUUGACCACACGCCUAAUGACAGAUCAAUCACUCCAGAGAUCAUUUACGCGCUGAUGAAACAAUUUUUAUUUCAUUUAGCUGCUGAUCGCAAUUUUGUCCGAUGAAGCCGCCUUAGGAGGACCGGAAUUCGAGAAUUACGCAGGAGUAAAACUUAAUAAAGAGGUUUUCUUACUCCGAACUAUAACCGCCUAUUUGGUACAUUUGACUGAAAAUUGAGUUCCUAAUUUUCAACAAUUUAGUACGGUAGUCCAACGCAAAAUUCACGAAGUUUAAGUGAAGCCAAAGUAACUUCUGCCGUGAUCAAGAAGGACACGAGCCAACAGCUCAUCCGUGGCAGCAUUAGACCGACGGGCCACAGACGAGCAUCCUUGGCUUGGGGCAAAGCUUUGGCAGAGAGCGGAAAAGGUUCUGGUCCUUCACAGCCUCGGGUCGGGAUACAGCACGGCACGGAUACUAUAAUACUAUUGCCAGGCCAGACCGGCCUGAGCCUCUGGGCUGUGCUGGGCUGCUCCUCUGUGGCCCGACGGCCUGGCACGGCGGGAGGCCGAUCUUCAUACUUGGGAUAUUUUUUGAAUAUCCCAUCAACCAAUAUCUCAAUAAAUUCAUGGACCACAAUUUUAUGGAUGUACAGAUACAGCAGAUUUUAGUGUGUUCAGAUCGAGAUAUUUGGACAGCUUGCAACAACUAGUACUAUUUUUUUUUUUUUUUCCCCUCAAAAAAGAAAUAAUACUAAGGUACAUUUUAAUUUAUUAUGAUAAAAAUAUUAGAGGUUGAGAGGAUACCACCCUCCAUAAGUUUAGUCGAGUCUCUUUCUAAGCAGCGUCAGUUCUGACAUUUACGACUAAACUUCUAAUAGCCUGAUGAUAAUGUACACGUAACCUAUACACAUAACGUCCUAUCUUAAGAUUAUGACGUUCCAACUUGUGUCUGUGCCCAUAAGAUUUUUUCUUGGGCCAAGUGUUUAGAAUAGAUUUUUGAAAUAAAAGAAAUAAGGAAAGAAAAAAAAGAAAAAGACAUUGAGGUCGCUUCUGGCCCCAGCUUUUCAUAAAAUCUACACGCGCCGUGCUCGACCCGAAGGGACCAUGGAUUGCAGUGGCGAUAGAACAAUCUAAAUCUAAGCAUCCAACCCAUUUCAUUCAAUUUGAUCCUAGCCGUUGGAUUUCAUAGUGCUAAUUAAUGUUGCCAAAGAAUUAUUCGUUAAUUACUCGUAUUCUUUUUUUGUUAAUUGCCCGAAUCUUUUUUUUUGAAAAAUAAAUUUUCUCUUAAAAUAGUUAGUGUUGUGGGUUUAGAUCGAAAGAUUUAGACAUGACAGAAUGACCGGAUGGUCCACAGCUAGUGCAGUGCUCUAAGCAAUAAUUUAACAUUGCUUAAUUUGUCGUAUAGCCUGGCUAUUUAUACAUUCCAAAAAAAAAAUAAAUUUUACAACACAAGUUGUGUCGAUGCGUGUGGCUAUUUAUACAUUCCAAAAAAAUAAUAAAUUUUACAACACAAGUUGUGUCGAUGCGUGUGGCUAUUUAUACUUUCCAAAAAGAAAAAAUUUACAAUACAAGUUGUGUCGAUACGAGUGGCUAUUUAUACUUUCCAAAAAAAAAAAAAUUUACAACACAAGUUGUGUCGAUACAUGUUGUUCACAAAAUAAUAACAGUAAAUAUUUAUCUUUGUCACGCCCAUAUACUAUUAACUAUUUACUAAUUUAUAAGAAAAGUAUUAUUUUUUUAGAGAGAUAGGUAGCUUGCUACCUGCUUCGUUUAUUUUGUUUAAAAAUAAACUUAGCUGGAAAUGUGAAUCAACUAGGAUUCGAAUCUGGAUCUCGGGUACCAACCACCAAGUCCUUUGCCACUUGUUCUAGGGACGGUCGGUAAAAAAAAAAAAAAGUAAAUUUUAAAUCGUGUCAUCACCUUACGGUAGGAAAAUUAUACUAUGCUGAUAUUUUGUUGGUACCACACAACGCAGCAGGAACUUAAAAUCUUUGGAUCCUUUACUUCUUUUAAUCAAAUUCCAUUGCAGGUAUUUGCAAGACAUUAGUAAGUAUAAAAAAAUGAUAAGAAAAUGUUGAGAAGAUAUCUUGCCACGUCGGUAUAAAAGACAAAAUUUCAAAUUUAAUAUUCAAUGAUAUGGAUUCAUUACAAAAAAUGCGACAGAAUAAUUUGCCAAAUAUAAAAAGAAAAGGAGCUUAAUUUGAAGGAUUUUACAAUUGUAUAUUUUCUAUUACAAAUCUCUAUAUAUUAAUAAAGUUUCAUUCCUCACUCGAUGUGAGAGGAAUUCACCAAUUUUAAAUUUUCUUUAUGGUAUCAAAGCAGAAGGUCUUGAGUUUGAAUCACGCCAGGUUCCUAGCAUAUUAAUUUUCUCCUAUUUAAUUUAAGCCCACAUCAUAGGUCAACUAAAAAGUCUCGAAUUCAUGCGUGAAGGGGAGUGUAAACAUAACUGUGGCAAAGAAUUUAUACUGUGGUCCAAGGCCACUUAAGAGCCAAAAAAUCUUACUUUGAUCAGAGACAGGUUUGCCAAUAGCAUUUAAUUGAUCACAAAUCGACUUAAACUCUCGCAAAUAUGCAAAUAAGGAAGAUGUAUCAUUCUUUAUAUAUUGAAGUUUCGAAAGUAAUUCAAAUUCACGAGCCUGCGAAUUUGGAGAAAAUGUAUAUGCAAGAGCUUGCCAUACACCUGUUGAAGUCUUCACAUCUACAACAAGUCUCAGGACUUCUUCGGAGAGAGUUCUGGUGAUCCAAGUUUUCACUAGACGAUUCGUACGCGUCCAUGCUGUGAAAUCUGAAUUUUAAAUUUUGCUACUUUUGUCAGAUGAAGGUACUUCAUGAUGUGGUGGCUUUGAUUCUCCAGUGAUGAAACCAAGUAAAUCGCGACUCUCGAUUAAUGAUAAUACUUGUGUUUCCUACAGUAAAUAAUUGGCUGUGGUAUUAAUUUGAGAGAAAUGAAAUUAGCAACAUGGAGGUUGGAUAAAUAUGGAUAUUUGGAGGUUGAAGUCAGUAUCUUUGAGAAGGUGGUAGUCUUUCGGUAUGGCUCUGAUACCAUAAAGAAAAUUUAAAAUGAAUGAAUUCUUCUCACAUUAGGUGAAGGAAGAAAUUUUAUUAAUAUAUAGAGAUUUAUACAUGAAUGAAUAGAAAAUAUAUAAUUAUAAAAUCUUUCAAAUUAGGCUUUUUUUUUCUUUGUAUUUGACAAAUUAUCAUGUUGUGAUUUUUUUUUUAUAAUAAAUUUAUAUUAUUGAAUAUUAAAUUUAAAAUAUUGCCUUUCAUGGCCGGACAGUUGCAGUUGGUGCGGCCGGGAGGUGGGUCUGGGAGCUGAGCUGUCUGUUGUUUCGGAUCAGAACGGAGCCGCUGGCGUCCGCGUCAGCAGCUUCCGGGUCGGGCGGCUGGCAGCGGGGACGGAGUCGCUUCGGCGCUCCAANUCUCUCUCUCUCUCUCUCUCCCUCUCUAAUCGCCCCUUUGAGCCCCCCUUAAUAGCUUACGUCACUAAUGAAAUCAUCACCUACUAGCAAAGCCGGUUAGUCGGUGAGAGGACAAAUCGCAUUUAGACCCUCUGACCCUUCCGAAUGUUGCCAUUAUAGAUCCCUCUUGUAUUAAUCUAUAUUUUUUUUUCAAAUGUUGCCAUUAUAGAUCCCUCUUGUAUUAAUCUAUAUUUUUUUUUCAAAAAAAAAUAUAGUAAACCAUCUGUUCUAUUUUUUAAAAAAAAUAAAUUAAGUUAUAAAAAAAAGAAAGGUCGAGAGGGUGAGAUUGGACCCUAGAACAGUCUAUCACAGCUAGACCAAUCUUUACCGCAGAUUAUCCAAUCUCCUAUCCGAGUAAAUAUAUUGUUUACGAUCUGUAAAUAUGAUUUCUUUUGAUGUUUGAUUGUUCAGAAAUUCUGUUAUUUCUUUCUAACUAGAUCGUCCGCUACGAGGAUGUAAGCACGGUAAGUUUCUCACUUCUUCUUUGUAUGUUUUGAAUUUUUUUUGUUAUCUUUUAAAGAUCACGUUCUGGUUGUGCAAUGUGAGUAUAGAAGAAUAUCUUUAAAAUAAACUUAUAUGAGUAAGGCUUACUUUGUGAUGUAUUAAUAAGCUUAUAUGAUAUUGUUAGAAUGCGUGUGUUAGUAUAUCAGUUUUCUCCAUAUCAUCAGUAUUAAUAUAUUAUAAUAGUAUUUUGAAAAACUUACAGUAAUAUUUAAACUUUGAAUAGUCAUAUAAGUUUCUGUGUUUAUUUUAUUAGUUGACUACGAAAAUCAAUUUUCUUCUCAAUUGUUUCAAACUUUUUCUUUUUUCCUGUUAAUUUCCUGUCACCUCUAAACAUGCAAUUAAUUAAUUAAUAAAAACAUAUAAGGGUACAUAUGCAAAUUUCCCCCAGAUUAAAAUCAAGCCUACUGGUGGGGGCGGGUCCUUCUGCAGCCUUUUUGCCCUUCCCGCCAUUUCGGCUCCGCCUUUAUCUUUUAAGUUAAAUAUAAUAAAAUAAAUAAAUAAUCCAACUUUUUUCCCUUUUUUUUAAAAAUAUUUUUUAUUAUUUGAGUUACUUUGUCUUGGCCCCCACCCACUCUCUCUAUAUAUAUAGAGGCCAGAGGAAGGCCACAGUCCACAAUCAAAAGGAGAGGGAAAAAAAUCAUCACACGCAAACUCGCGGAGGAGAGAAAAAGGGAAAAGAGAGAAAAUUAAGUAGAGAGAUUCAUAGAAAAGAAAAAAAAAAAGAAAAAAAAAAAAAGAAGAUUUGUUUAGAAGAGAGAUGGACGCGAAGGGCGGUCGCGUCCAGAACGGAUUCCGACAGUGGCUGGAGGCGGGGAGCGACGCCAUCCCCGCUCCGGAUGUUCAAAUUUUGACCUCCGGUGGCCGCAAAAUUUCCGCCCAUUCUGCAGUUCUUGUGAGCACCCGAAACCUUCAAUUGAAAAAACAUUCAAAACUUUAUGUACUACAAUACAAUUAGAUACUCUCGAAUCGCAGAAGCUCACUGAGCACACAAUCGAUGUCUAAUCAUAUGCACUUUUUUUAAAAAGUAUUAAAUUUAUAUUUGUUUGUUUAUUUGUUUGUUUGUUUGUUUGUUUGUUUACAGGCCGCGGCGUCGCCAGUGAUGGAGAGUAUAUUGGAUCGGGCACAAAAGCGUGGAAAAUCGCGCAGGGUUAUUAGGAUUCUGGGAGUCCCCGAUGACGCUGUAAUGGCGUUUGUGCGGUUGAUCUACUCUUCUGGGUAUGUGUUCUUUUUUUUACCUUUUUUCCCUUCUUUUUUUUUUGGGGUUAAAUUGAUUAUAUUUAAAUAUUUAGUUAAAGAAAGGAAAAGUAAGUCUAAUGCAUUGAGGACCCUAUGUUUAAGGAGAAAUUAUUGCCCUGUAUCGUGAUGUAGUACCAUGCUCUGCUUUUAAUUAAAAAUAUUUUAAAUUUCGUUUGAUUCGGAUAUUAAUAAAAAUUAUUUAUUGUAGGAAUAGGUGCGAGUUCCAUUAUAAGCAAGAAUUAGAGUAAAUUUUUGUUUGUCAUUAUUUCUGAAAAUAAAAUAAAUAAUAUUUAAAUAGGUUUCAUUUGAUUCGGAUAUAAAUAUGAACUAUUUAUUGGAGAAAUAGUUACAAAUUCCUCUAUAUGCUGGAACUAGGGAGGGUUUUUUGGGAUUGUUUUUAAAAAUAAGAUAAAUAGUGUUUGAAUGGGUUCCGUUUGGUUCGGAUAUAAACAAGAACUACUUAUUAUAGGAAUAGAUACGAAUUCCGCGAUAAGCAAGAAUAAGGGUAAGUUUUUUUUUUGAAAUUAUUUUUGGGAAUAAAAUAAAUAGUGUUUGAAAAGACUUUGUUUGGUUCAGAACAGACAAGAACUAUUUAUUGUACGGAUAGGUAUAAGUUACGGUAUAAGCAGGAACUAGAGUAAGUUUUCAUUUGGGCUGAUGCACGGCUAAGCUGGUGCAUCGGGUGCUCGCAAUAAUUUCUCUUUGGACCCAUGUAAUCAUCAUGCUCAUCGUUAUCACAUGCACUGUUCGAAACUAAAGAAAAAAAAAUCAAGGGUCCAGAAUCUUUCUGAUGGCUCUGAGAAUUUCACAUUUCCCUGUCGAAAAUUAUUAUUUUUUAUUUUUUUUAAUAUUUAACUUAAUUCUUAGCUGGGGGUCCCACGCAACUCUUAUGUCGUCCCCUUCAUCCAAUCACAGCCCUCACACGGUCCAUUUCGUUCUAAUGAUGAUAGGCAUAAUAAUUGACUCAACACCACCGAGAAAUUUCGAGAUAUUUUUUUCGUGCUUCAGAUUUUUUUUUGGGGGUUCAUGUGCCACGAUGCAUACAUAAUGCAUAGUCACAAUAAUUUUAGUUUUUAUUUUUUUCACUUCAUUAAGGUAAUGAAGAGUACACAAAUUUUGGAUGUGACUGAAUAUCAAUGAAUAAUAAAAAAUAAAUUAAUCAAUCAAUAUAAGCAUUUUACACACCGUUUAUAAUAAAAUAUUAUAUUAAAUUUAAUCCGAAUGCUGAACUUAUGGCAUACUGAGUAGUACAAACGGAUCAUGUCAUGUCAAUCAGGUGCAUGUCGUUGGACGAGGAGGAGGAGAUGGGCAGGUACGGGCUGCACCUGCUGGUGCUGUCGCACGCGUACAGCGUGGGGUGGCUGAAGCGCGCGUGCGAGGUGGCGCUGGCGUUGCGGCUGACGGCGGAGGGCGUGGUGGACGUGUUGCUGCUGGCGCGGCAGUGCGAUGCCGCGCGGCUGUACCUCCGCUGCAUGAAGCUGCUGGCGAAGGACUUCGCCGCCGUCAAGAAGACCGAGGCCUGGCAGUUCCUCCAGGCCAACGACCCCUGGCUCGAGCUCGAAAUCCUCCAGUUCCUCCAGGAGGCCGAACUGGUACGUGACCAAAAUGUAUUAUGUUUGGUUUUGCCGUAGAAUAUAGUAAUUUUUGACAAUUCAUAUAAAUAAAUAAAUAGAUAGAUAAAAAGAUAUAAAAUUUAUCUGAAUGAUGAAUUAUUUUAAUAGAGAAAGAAGCGAGUUGGGCGCAAGCGGGCGUACCGGCGGGUAUAUGAAGAGCUGGGGGACGCGAUGGAGUGCCUGCAGCACAUGUACAUGGCCAGAGAGGGAAGCAAGAAGAACCACCCCUGCUCCUCAUCUGCCUGCUACCGCAACCUGCAGCUCCUCAUCCAACACCUCGCCGCCUGCCCCCGCAGGAAAGCCUGCCCCCGCUGCUGCCGCAUGUUGCAGCUCCUCCGCCUCCACUCCGCCCUCUGCGACGACAGCACGCAACAGGCUUGCCGCAUCCCUCUUUGCUCGUAAGUCUCUAUGCUGCUUUCUUAAAAGAAUUUGUUAGUUAAUGCUUUUAUCAUCCGCCUACGUUCAGGUGUAUCUGAGUCAUUUGGCUUUCAUAUGACUGAUGAUUGUUUAGGAAACAUUGGGAGGGAGUAUGCUGAGUUGGUGGUUGAUUGAUUUUAUAGUCUAUUUGGUACCACUUCUGUAUCUGUUCUCAGCAGCAGCAGCAGCAGUAUCAAGGAGAAAUUCUGGAGCUUCUGCUGUAGCGAGAAACUGAAAUUAGAUUUUCAACGUCAAAAACGAAUUACGUAAUGCUUCUUCUAAUAGCACGACAUCUAUUGGCAGUGUAAUCGCUCUAAUGUUUGGGGAGUUUGACAUAUUUUUCCUUUUAUUUUUGUUAGAGAACAAACUUAACCACUGAUGCCCUGCUUGUUGGGUUUUCCGUGUAUACCUGCAGGCAUUUCAAGCUGAGAAUGCAGCAGCAGAAGGAAGGGAAAGAAGAGGCCGACACAUGGCAGCUUCUGGUGAAGAAGGUGAAGGUUGCUCGAGUUAUGUCCUCCUUCUCUAAGAGGAAGGGACAGGAAGGAGUUCAUGAGCAAUUCGCACUUUGCACUACUACUGCAAGGACCAGCGACUAAUUUCAUAGAAAUUUUCUUUUUCCUUUCGUUCUUUCCCCCUAUUAGUACGGAAUUAAGAUGUGCCUUCCUUAUAAAGAGAGGAGCUUGAUGUAUGUAUAUGCAUGCCAAUCUUCUAGAGAGAGCUCUUAAUUAGCUUGUUAAAAAGGGGCAGACAGCUGUUAUAGAAAAUGAACUUGUAUUAGAGAGGAGCUUGGUGUAUGUAUAUAUAUGUCUAUUUUCUAGAGAGAAAGAGUUCUUAGCUUGUAAAAAAUGAGCAGGCAUCUGUUAUAGAAGUGGAACUUGUAUUAGAGCGGAGCUUGAUGUAUGUAUAUGUGUGCCUCUCUUUUAGAGAGAAAAAGUUCAGCUCUUAUAAAAGUGGAUCUUGUUUUAGCAUAAGAACAAUUAGUUACAUUUUGCAACUAACUUAAUAUAUAAUAUGCAAUAAGAAACUUAAGCCGAUCAAUUAUCGAAUGACGAACAUACUAAUGUCUUUUUGGAUGCUUAGCAUAGUAUUCAGACGUCCCUUUGGUAUGAUUCAAUAUAUAUAAACUAUAAUAUAGACUCAAAUUUUAUAAUAAUAAAGUAAUCUUUAUUUCUAUAACACACAAGUUAUUAUUAAAUAAUUUAUUUUACCAUUCAAAUGAGCCUUAAAAAUAACAUUUCCUCCACAUUUCCUGGUAAUGAAGCUGACCCUAGUUUUCUCCAUGCAAAUCAGGUUAGAGUCGAUAGAUCAGAAUGUCGUAAUCAAAUUACAAUCUUUGAAGUUUCCCUAAUGAAAGAGAUCUCUAAGUUAAGAAAUUCGAGUCUAGUCUACAGUAAUUAAAGAUUAUUUGACAUGUAGAAUUAGGUAUGCAUGUCACCAAUGACUAAGUUGAAAAAGUCCAUUAGUACGUUCUAUUAAUUUAAUUCAUUGUCACGACAAAGAGGUUUUCUUACUGUGAAUUAAAACUGACUAUUUGGUACAUUUGGCGAAAAAUUGAGAUCCUAAUUUUCAACAAUUUAGUACCAUAGUCCAACGCAAAAUUCAUGAAGUUUUAAGACUUGUCCAAAGUAACUUGUGCUGGGAGGUCUUAAGACUUGUCCAAAGAACCAAAUCAAGCAAGUCCUCGCGCGUUUCUCUCUCUCUCUCAAGCGUCCAAUUGCAAUACAAGAUGCAAACUUUCCAACAGUAAGUUGAAAAAAUAAGACAUGCAUAUAGUGAAACAAGAAGCCUUUACGAAGGUUCCCUAUAACAAUUCGAGGCAAUUAGGGCUUCAUAGUCAUGUGGUAAUAUUCUAGUACUUGUAAUUAAUACAGAGUUAUGACUUUUUUAUGGAAGCUCAACAACCCUUGAUGGGCUCACCGCAAUUACUGGUGCUCAUAAGUCACUAUUAUUUGAGUGUUGCAAAUAGGAAACAAUGAGUACCAAACAAAGAUGACUAGUAAAUCAGGAGCUACAGGAUUAAAGGAACAAAAAAAUUUAACUUCCAUGCAGUAGUAGGAUGUACCUGUGUGUUUACAAAUGAAGGAAGGGUAUCAUCCCUGCGAUGCCACAGGCCGCCAAAUAUGCACAACACAUUUAUCAGCAUUCGACAGUCGGGCGAGGCAUGGUUCCGAACGCAUUCACCCUCCUAACAACAGCAAAUGAAUUCACCCUAAAACCCUAAGAAGUUAAAUAUCAACGGCACUCGUAUAGCAACUAGGGCAAAAUGCCUGCUACAGCCCGUAAAUCUCAAAAUUUUCAUGUCUGUACAGAUUAUGAGCCUUCGCAAAGCAGUAGUACCUCUCUGGCAUACAACAUUUCGCACCUCCUCCUUUCAGCACGCUCCAGUUUCUCAGACUUGGCAUUUAAGCAUUCUUUCCGACAGCCUGCAUGUCUUCUAACCCUGCCACUGCAUGUAGCAAUGUCCUCAUCACGCACGAAAGCAUCGCCAAAGCUCCACCAGUCUCCGCGCAUCACUUCAACCACCAAACCCACACUAAAUCUUUCAGCCUCUUAGCAAUGCCAUGCGGCGACGCAUCUUGAGACCUGCCGCUGAAGCGCGGGCCAGAUUAUCGAAUUUCAUAAAUGUAUGGGAAGAUGAGAAUUCAACUCGUCAUCCCUUUUGUGCUGCAUCCCUUUCAUAAAUGUAUCGGAGUAGGAAUUCUAAUUAUACUAAGAUUUGGAUAGCUUUCGAUAUAAGCUAUAAAUAUAGCAUAUGUGCUAUUAUUAUGAUGGUGCUAUAGAUUAGUCACACCCAUAUGGCAUGGCCAAGAUGGUCAUAAUUUUAGUUGCACCUAAUGCAUGGGUUCAAAAGGACGUGUGCGGCUUUCGUAGCCGUGGGUCAUUGGUAUACCUUGUGUACGGAUACACGGGAUGAGAGAGAUGUUUUCCGAGAGUAUAGAAGACGAGAGAAUGGUAGGAGAGAUUUAAAAAGAGGGCUCGAGUUGUAGCUACUCUGUGCAGAAGAGGAGUCAGGUGUAAUUUUCUCUUAUUUAAUUAAUCUUGUUCUAUCCGCAUAUUUUUCUCUCUUUUCUGAUUGUAUCAGCUUUCGCUGAGGAGACGGGUUUAUGAUAAAAAUCCGAUUCGAAGCUUUCGUUGUGAAAUCCCAAUAAUCGGUACUGAAUCCACAGCAGUCGGUAUCGAAGCGUGUUGCGGAUUUACAAGAUCCGGUAACGGAGCGAGUAUCGGAUUCCCAACAAAAUACAUAAGGCUUCAAUACAGCAUCUCUAUAGUAGGCUUCGUCCGGCCAGUUGGCAACUCUUUCGCUAUCAGUAAGGCGACCUCGAUAGAAAUAUCUCGAUGGAAAAUCACGAAUUUGAGGAUGCAUUCUGUACCGCACAGAUAACAACAUUGUAGGACAGCCUGCUUGUUGGAACCUCUCAGACCUGCCACUGCUAGCAUUCUUGUAGCUCUCGGGAGCAAGUUUCUUGAGCAGGGCAGUGUAAUGAUGCUGAUAUACUGAACAAGAUGUAUCACGUUAAGCAUUCCCCCACACCGUGCGUGUCUUUCCGGUUCCUGGCGGACGUUGAACUAGCGUGAAAGGCCAAGGAUCUUGCCUCUCCGCCGCUCCAGUGCUUGUACCAGCUGCAGUAUGCAUUGCAGCCCACCGAACAGCAGCCAAUUGCGGGCCAUUAAAGGUCCGGUGAAGAUGGUCCACAAAAUUUUGAGGGAAGCAAUUGUGUUAGUGAAAAACUCAAAAUUUUGAAUUUAAACUUUAUUUUAUUCGAACUUUAAAUUUAUUUAUUAUUUAUUUAUUUAUUAUUUUGUUUUCUCUUUUAGUGAGAAAGAAACCAACGGAAUAUUAAAUCUCCUUUCUUUCCGCAGGUUCCGCUUCUUUCUCGUAACGCGAAAGAGCAUCAAAUUCUCUUUCUUUUUAUGUCAUUUUUUUUUUCUCUUCUGUUAAUACAAAAUAGAUAGAAAAGAUAUUAGAUAAUUGAUUAAUUCAUCUUUCAUUUUUGAAUAUUUUCUUUAUUCACUGGGUGUUGAAAAACUCUCCGUCAACCUCGUUUACGAUCGUCCUCAAAGGAGGAGGAAUUUCGGUUGUAUCUUGGGUAUUAUUUCGGGUUAAUCCCGCACGUAAGGACGGAAAUGCGCCUUAGCCCUUAGGGGAGUGCCUCGCACACUUUCGAAUAAGAUCAAAUUUUUAUUGAAAUAUUUGUGUUUAUCUGUAAGUUUGAUUUUAUCUUUAUCACAAAUUAGUUAGAUUUUAAUUACUAUCGAAUUUUUCGUUGUAGUUUUUUCACAACAGCAAUCAGGCAUAGCUGGAGGCUGAUCUUCAUACUUGGGAUAUUUUUUGAAUAUCGCAUUAACAAAUAUCUCAAAAAUUUCAUGGACCACAACUAGAUGGAUGCACAGUAGAUAUUACUGUGUCCAGAUGGACAUAUAUACUUGGACAGCUUUCAUAACUUGUAUUUUUUUGUUUUUUCCUCAAAAAAGAAAUAGUAUUAAGGUACAUUUUAAUUUAUCAUGAUAAAAAAAUUAGAGGUCGAGAGGUUGCCAACCUACAUAAGUUUAGUAGAGUCUCUUUCUAAGCAGCGUAAGUUCUAACAUUUACGUCUAAAUUUCUAGUGGUCUGAUGAUAAUGUACACAUAAUUUAUGCACAUAACCUAUUUUAAGAUUAUGACGUUCGAACCUAUGUAUGUGCCUAUAAGAUUUUUUCAAUUUAUUUGGAACAGGUGUUUAGAAUAGAUUUUUGAAAUAAAAGUAAUAAGAAAAGGAAAAAAAAGAAAAAGACAUUGAGGUCGCUUCUGGCCCCAGCUUUUCAUGAAAUCUACACGCGCCGUGGACCAUGGAUUGCAGUGUCGAUGGAACAAUCUAAAUCUAAGCACCCAACCCAUUUCAUUCAAUUUGAUCCUAGCCGUUGGAUUUCAAUAGUGCUAAUUAAUGUUGCCAAAGCAUUAUUAUUAGAUAAUUACUCGAAAAAAAAUCUUGUUAAUUGCCCGAAUCUUUUUUUUUAAAAAAAAUAAAAUUUUCUUUUAAAAUAGUUUGUAUUGUGGUUUUAGAUUGAAAAUUUUAGACACCACAGAAAGAAUGAGAUGACCUGAAUGAUCCACAGUUGGUGCGGUGCACCAAGCAAUAAUUUAACAUUGCUUAAUUUCUCGUAUAGCCACGCUAGAGUCCGGCUACUAUAUUCUUAUGAGUGUAGGUCUUUUUGUACUUAUAAUUUUUUGAUCGUUAGAUCUAGUCUUUCGAUGAUUUCCUCCCGUUAGAUUAUACUAUUCAAUUAACCACUUACUCAACCCCAAAGGACUACUAUCAUUCUAACCGGGAAUCACUAUUAUCCCAACCGCACAUCUCUUCAUCCAACAGCCGAAGUUUUCAUCCAACAGCUGAAAACUUCUGAGUAUAAAUGUGUCUAUAUAUACUCAUAAGAGUAUAGUAGCCCUAGCCGCUUGGCUAUUUGUACAUUCUGAAAAAAGUAAUAAAUUUUACAACACAAGUUGUGUCGAUGCGUAUCAAUCACAAAAUAAUAACAGUAAAUAUUUAUCUUUUUCACACCAAUAUACUAUUAACUAUUUACUAAUUUACUAAAAAAAUAAAUUUUAAAUCGUGUCAUCACCUUACGGUGGGAAAAUUAUACUAUGCUGAUAUUUUAUAGGUACGACACAACACAGUAGGAACUUAAAAACUUUGGAUUCUUUACUUGUUUUAAUCAAAUCCAUUGCAGGUAUUUGCAAGACACUAGUAUGUCUAAAAAUAUGAUAAGAAAAUGUUGGGAAGAUAUCUUGCCACGUCCCGUAUAAAAGACAAUAUUUUAAAUUUAAUAUUCAAUAAUAUGGAUUCAUUACAAAAAAAAAAUGCAACAGGAUAAUUUGCCAAAUACAAAAAACAGAGGAGCCUAAUUUGAAGGAUUUUAUAAUUGUAUAUUUUUUAUUCAUUCAUGUACAAAUCUUUAUAUAUUAAUAAAGUUUCAUUCCUCACUCGACGUGAGAGGAAUUCAUCCAUUUUCAAUUUUCUUUAUAAUAUCAAAACAGGAAGUCUUGAAUUUGAGUCACGUCAGGCCCCUAAUAUAUUAAUUUCUUCGUAUUUAAUUCAAAUCCACAUCAUAGGUCAACUAAUAAAUCUCGAGUCCAUGCGUGAAGGGGAGUGUCAACAUAGCUGUGACAAAUGACUCAUACUGUGGUCCAAGGCCACUUAAGAGCCAAAAAAUCUUUCUUUGAUCAGAGGCAAGUUUGCCAAUAGCAUUUAAUUGAUCACAAAUUGGCUUAAAACUCUCGUAAAUAUUCAAAUAAGGAAGAUGCAUCCGUCUUCAUAUAUUAAAGUUUUGAGAGUAAUUCAAAUUCACGAGUCUGCUAAUUUUGAGAAAAUGCACAUGCAAGAGCUUGCCAUACAUCUGCUGAAGUCUUCACGCCUACGACAAGUCUCAUGACUUCUUCGGAGAGAGUUCUAGUGAUCCAAGCUUUCACUAGACAAUCUGUGCGCGUCCAUGUCGUGAAAUCUGGAUUUUGAAUUUUGCUACUUCCGUCGAAUGAAGAUACUUCGUGAUGUGGUGGCUUUGAUUCUCCAGUGAUGAAACCAAGUAAAUCUUGACUCUCGAUCAAUGAUAAUACUCGUGUUUCUUACAAUAAAAAAUUAGUUGUAGUUAAUUUGAGAGAAACAAAAUUAGCAACAUUGAGGUUGCAUGGAUAUGGAUAUUUGGAGGUUGAAGUCAUUAUGUUUGAUAAGGUGGUAUUCUCUUGGUAAGGCUCCGGUACUAUAAAGAAAAUUUAAAAUUGGUGAAUUUCUGUCGCAUCGAGUGAGGGAUGAAAUUUUAUAAAUAUAUAGAGAUUUGUACAUGACUGAAUAAAAAUUAUACAAUAUUCAUAAAAUCCUUCAAAUUUGACUCCAUUUCAUUGCAUUUGACAAAUUAUCCUGUUGUUGUUUUUUUUUAUAAUAAAUUCAUAUCAUUAAAUAUUAAAUUUAAAAUAUUGCCUUUCAUGGCCGGACAGUUGCAGCUGGUGCGGCCGGGAGGUGGGUCCGGGAGCUGAGCUGUCUGCUGUUUCGGAUCAGAACGGAGCCGCUGGCGUCCGCGUCAGCAGCUCCGGGUCGGGCUGCUGGCAGCGGGGACGGAGUCGCUUCCGCGCUCCAAGAGCCGGUUAUUCAGCGAAAGAAACCUCGUCCCCUCUCUCUCUCUCUCUCUCUCUCUCUCUCUCUCGGAAACACGCACUCCCCCACUCGCCCCUUUGAUCCCCCCUUACUAGCUUACGUCACUAAUGAAAUCAUCACCUACUAGCAAGUAGCAAAGCCGGUUAGAGGACAAAUCGCAUUUAGACCCUCUCACCCUUGCGAAUUUUACCAUUAUAGAUCCCUCUUGUAUUAAUCUUUUUUUUUUUUGAAAAAAAUAUAGUAAACCAUCUGUUUUAUUUUUUUAAAUAAAUAAAUUAGGUUAUAAAAAAAGAAGAAAUGUCGAGAAGGAGAGAUUGGGCCCUAGAACAGUCUAUCUCAGGUAGACCUGAUCUUAAUGACAGAUUACCCAAUUUCUAUCCAAGUAAAUAUAUUGUUUAUGAUCUGUCAGAAUGAUUUCUUUCGAUGUUCGACUGUUUGGACAUUCUUUUUUUUUUUUUUUUGAGAGAUAGGUAGCACAUUACCCGCUUCGUAUAUUUCAUUUAGAAAUAAACUUAGUUAGAAAUGUAAAUCAACUAGGAUUUGCAUUUGGGUCUCGAAUACCAACCAUCAAAUCCUUUGUCACUUGCUCUAGGGACGGUCGGUGACUGUUUGGACAUUCUGUUAUUUUCUUUUAACUAGAUCAUCCAUUAUUAGGAUGUAAGCACCGUAAGUUUCUCACUUCUUCUUUGUUUGUUCUGAACUUUUGUCUGUUAUCUUUAAGAAAUCACAUUCUGAUUAUAUCUGCUAAGCUCGCUGAGUAUAGAAAAAUAUUUAUAAAAUAAAUUUAUAUGAGUAAGACUUACAUUGUAAUGUGUUAAUAAAUUUAUGUGAUAUUUUUAGAAUAUGUUUGUUAAUAUAUCAGACAUUUUCACAUCAUGAGUAUUAAUAUAUUAUAAUAGUAUUUUGAAAAACUUAUAAUAAUAUUUAAACUGUUUUUAUUUUACUAGUUGACUACUAAAAUCAUUUUUUGUCUCAAUUGUUUCAAACUUUUUCUUUUUCCUGUUAAUUUCCUGUCCCCUAUAAACAUGCAAUUAGUUAAUUAAUAAAAACUAUAAGGUACCGUUUGGUUCGGGGAUAAUGAAUUUGGGGAUAAAUUUUUUUAACCCUGGGAUAGUAGGCUAGUCUAGGAUAGUGAAGGAUAAAAGUAAAAUAGUGUUUGGUUUGUAAAACAAUCAUUACUAGGAAUAACAGAAAUUAUGUUUGGUAAGUUUAUUGGAAUAACUAAGAAUAGUGAGAAAAAGUGUUAGAUUAUUUUUGCAAAUACCAAUUUUGCCCUUAGGUUUCAUGUACAAAUAUUUUGUAAGUUACAGAACUAAUUAGAUUUUACAUUUAGCUAAGCAAGAGAACAUUUUAUAGACAUGAUUGUUGGAUUAAUUUUUUUUAAAAAUUUAAUGUCAGAAAUUAUGGUAGUAACAUAUGCUGAAGAGAAAAUAAUUAAAUUUAUGCACUUCAAGUCACUGUUAAAUAAAAUUAAUAUCGUCAAAUUAUACAAGAAGGUUGUUAAUUACAUCAAAUUUAAAAUUACAACAAAGUUCAAUGCUGCUUAAUUACUAUUAUACAAAACCAAACAGCAUGAAGGUAUUCAAGAGGAUGUUAAUUACAAAUUCCCAAAGGCAUAAAACCAUAAAGAAGACACAUUACAUUGAAAAAUAUCAACAACCAACUCAUACAAUUAUCAACUAUUUUUUCAAAUUUAAGCAAUUCAGAUUGCAAGUAACAAUGCAAAUAGUUAAAAAACAUCCGGUUACGAAAAAUUUUCAAACACCAAUUAGUGAAGGUUCAAGGUGAAGGCAAGAUACAUAACUAAAUAAAGCAAAUUACAAAGCAUGUUCACACAAAUUUAUAAAGAUUACAUCAUUUCUAAUAUAGCCUCCUAUCUAUUGUUCCACAAUUGCUCUGUGAUCAUAGUGCGAAGGGCGUCACCUCGCCGAGACUCAUCUGGGCCAAUAGGAGGUAUCGAGUCAUCAUUUUGGUCGUCUGUAGGAAAUUGGUCCGUUUGCAUGUUGAAGUAUCUAUCGGUCCCUUGAUGCCUCUUUAUGAAAUUGUGUAUCACACAACAGGCAAGGGCAAUGCGGCACUGUACUUUGUAAGGAAAGGGUGUAGCUUGUCGCAGCACCUUGAACCGUCGCUUUAGGAUCCCAAAGGCUUUCUCAACUACAUUUCUCAAUUGAGCGUGACGAUGAUUAUAUAAAUCUCGAGGUCCUCGAUGCCUUCGUGCCUGUGCGUUUACAUCAAAUUGGCUCAAGUGGUAUCGCUCGCCUCGAUAGGGAGCGAGGAAGCGGUCAGUGUUCGCAUAGCCUGAAUCGACUAAAUAAAAUUUUCCUAAACAAAUAUAAAGCUUUAUUAUAAUUACAAUAAUUAAACUUGUAUCAGACAUUAAAUAGCAAUAUAAUUUAUUUACCUCCCGGUACUGUGAAACCGCCGCUCUCGCAACACCAUCGCAACACCCUCAUAUCAGCUGCAGAACCCUCCCACCCGGUGCAUACAAAUAAAAAUUGAUGGUCGAAAGAACAUGCUGCCAUCAUGUUGUGAGAUGUAAAACCUUUUCGGCAACGAUAUCUUGGUUGCUUAGCCUUUCGUACAACCACCGGAAUGUGUGUUCCAUCUACUGCACCAAUUGCAUUCUGAAAAAAUAUUUACAUAGAUACAAUAGUUAACAUCAGAUAUCUCAUUAUCAAAUAAACAUAAAUUAAUUCGACUAAUUAAAGAACUCAAAUCUGAGGGUUAGUUACCUUGAAUGGAUGAAAAAUCGGAUUAUCUUUUAUUCUUGGGUGUACACCAACAUUAGAUGCCGGUGGUUGGAUGUACUCAUGUCUAAGUUCUACCACACCUCGCAGUACAUUAUUAAAAUGCCUACUAAUCGUUUCUCCUGAAUGUUGAAAAGUUUCAGCUAAAACUCUGUUGGCUACGCCAUGACCUAUACCAAAUAAAAAUAUACCAAGUUGCUCAUUAGCAGUUAAAUGCCUAGUGCUUUGUAUAAAUCCCCUCGCAACUAAUUCAUCUCGAAGUCUUAUAAACAUUGUGGUAGUCAUCCUAAAAUGUUGGUAUCCUCUAUCAGGAUGUCCACUCAAUAUGUCAUGAAUUAACUGAUGACCAGUGAACGGCCGUGUUCGACAAGGCUGCUUAUAAAUUGUGCUGCGGAAUGAGAAGUCCCCUUCUUCGAUAAGUAACGCAUGGACUUCUUCCCAAUAGUCCUCUUCCUCUUCUAAGAAUGUCAUGAGAUCGGCAACAAGUGGUGAAGAAAAAGCUUGACGAAAGAUUGCACCAGCCAUGACUGCAAAUGAACAAAAGAAAACAUUCAUAACACAAUUAUAGUUAUAGAUUAAUUUAUAAUGGCUCAGGUAGUAAGGUAGAAAAAUAUGCAGGUGGCUGCAUGGUCUUUAACCAUGCCUCCCAACCUUGCACACCUAUUUGGUUAGAUAUCAGCAUCGCCAAAAGGAGAAAGAAGGAUGCAAGAAAAGAAAAAAGGGUAAAGAAGAUGUGAAGCUGAAGCAAGAAUCAGGUGCACAAGAUUAUAAGUGACAGUAUUGCAAAUAGUCAAGUAAGCAAAUUACUGCCUUACAGCUGAAAUUCCAUAUAUGAAUCAAAGCUGAAACAAAGUAUAAAUGGUGAUACUUUGUGUUGGCUCAGGUUUUAAGACCCACAACCAUGAAUGUGGAUGCAAUACCUUACGAAUCGCCGCCCAAUCCAUUCAAGCCUGCUAGUCUUUUAUCAUCAUUGCCGAAUUCAUUGCCAAUAUGACCACAUGUAGAAUAUGAUCUGGGAGAAGAAACAACUUACCUUGGGCGGCACUGAACUAACCACAUUACUGCAGGUUGGAAGAAGAAAUGAAGCAGUGAACAGUUGGAGAUCGAGGUGAAAUGGCAUCCAACAGAAUGUGAGUAAAAGCAACAAUGUUGCAAGUACAAGUAUAGAUGGUCACAUAUUGUGUUGGCUCAGGUAUUAAGGCCCACAAGCAUGAAUGGUGGAUGCAACACCUUACGAAUCGCCGCCCAAUCCAUUCAAGUCUGCUAGUCUUUUAUCAUCAUUGCCGAAUUCAUUGCCGAUAUGACCCACAUAUACAUUUAGAUGUAGGAGAAGAAAGAACUCACCUUGGGUAGCAGUGUUCUAACCACAUCACUGCAGGUUGGAAGAAGAGAUGCAGUAGUGAACAGUUAGAGAGGUGAAAUGGCAUCCAACAGAAUGUGAGUAAAAGCAACAAUGUUGCAAUUACAAGUAUAAAUGGUGAUAUAUUGUGUUGGCUCAGGUAUUAAGGCCCACAAGUAUCAAUGGUGGCUGCAAUACCUUAAUAUUGCCCCCCAAACCAUUCACACCUGCUACUCUGUUACACAUCAUUGCCGAACGGACCAACAUGUAAACCGACAGCUGACAGGAGAGAAGAAGAAAAGUUAUACAAUGAAGUAAACAAGCAGCGAACAAUCAAUGCAAAGAUAGGUAUACAAAGCUGUAUUCGAACUACACUCAUUUGUUAUACCUGAACUUUACAAUCUGAACAAACUAGUUUUACAAUGCAGUAAACAGGUAGUGAAGAAACAAUAUAAAGAAAGCUAUAUAAAGCUGUAGAUGAUCUACACUAAUUAUUUAUACAUGAACUAUACAAUCUGAACAAACAAAUUUUACAAUAAAGUAAACAGACAGUGAAGAAGCAAUGCAAAGAAAGCUAUACGAAGUUGUAUAUAAAUUACACCAAUUAGUUAUACAUUAUCUUUACAAUCUCAAAAAACAAGUUUUACAAUUUAGUAAACCUGACAGUGAGAAAUCAAUGCAAGUAAACCAAUACAAAGCUGUAGAUAAACUACACCAAUUAGUUAUACAUGAUCUUUACAAUCUGAACAAACAAGUUUUUCAAUAAGGUACACAGGCAGUGAAGAAAUAAUGCAAAGAAAACUAUACAAAGCUGUAGAUGAAAUUCACUAAUUAUUUAUACAUGAUCUAUACAAUCUGAAGAAACAAGUUUUACAAUUUAGUAAACUGACAGUGAAGAAGCAAUAUAAAGACAACUAUACAAAGCUGUGGAUGAACUUCACUAAUUAUUUAUACAUGAUCUAUACAAUCUGAACAAACAAGUUUUACAAUUUAGUAAACUGACAGUGAAGAAGCAAUAUAAAACAACUAUACAAAGCUGUGGAUGAACUUCACUAAUUAUUUAUACAUGAUCUAUACAAUCUGAACAAACAAGUUUUGCAAUUUUGUAAACUGACAGUGAAGAAUCAAUGCAAAAAAAGCUAUAAAAAGCUGUAGCUGAACUACACUAAUUAGUUAUGCAUGAACUUUACAAUAUGAAUAAACAAUUUUUUCAAUAAGGUACACAGACAGUGAAGAAACAGUGCAAAGAAAACUUUACAAAGCUGUAGGUGAAAUUCACUAAUUAUUUAUACAUGAUCUAUACAAUCUGAACAAACAAAUUUUACAAUUUAGUAAACUGACAGUGAAGAAUCAAUGCAAAAAAAGCUAUAAAAAACUGUAGUUGAACUACACUAAUUAGUUAUGCAUGAACUUUACAAUAUGAACAAACAAGUUUUACAAUGCAGUAAAUAGGCAGUGAAUAAGCAAUGCAAAAGAAGUUAUACAAAACUGUAGAUGAACUACAUUAAUUAGUUACAAAUGAACUUUGUAAGAUAGUUGGUGUCAAACUAAUGAAACUAAACAAACUCACAAAAAUGUACAUAACCAUGAACUUUGCAAUUAAAAGUUAAGGCAUACAACUUAAAUCAGUACAAAAUAAACCAUGAUCUAACUUAUCCUAAUCAUGAGUUAGAGCAAACAAACAACUGAAAUUGAAAUACAACAUAUAAAGUAAAGCAUACAACUAAUAUAAAAGGGAGCAAUCCAUUAGUUUAGGCAUGUAGGCAUCUCGGCUACCAAGCACACAAAAUAGCUAAUGAGUUUUUGCUAACAUAAAGCAUAAAUACUAAGCGUGAGCCAUGGACACAAAAUAGCUAAUGAGUUCUUGCUUACAUAAAGCAUAAGUACUAAGAGUGAGGCCACCAAAAUGUCGCUACUUCAGCAAUAUUGCUGUGAGCUUAAUUUGGAGGGAAAGAACUCCCUGCCGGAGGAAAGGAAGGUAUAUCAGCAGGAUCGGAAGGAGCUGAUAGAGGAAACAUGGUUGUACGGCUUGAAAAAGAUGGUCCAGGAGGGAAACCUGCACUUGCUGCCGGAAAGGAUGAUGGUCCAGGAGCAAAUGAUGAGGCUGUUGUUGGAAAGAAGGGUGCGGUUGAUGGGAAAGAUGGCGCAACAGGCCUGAGACCAGUGAAAAGUUGAUGCAUGGCAAUUUGACGAUCUAUCCACAUAUACAACAGAUCGCCAUUCAUUGCCAUGAAAAUUGGCCUAUUGCGCUCAUCUUUUAAAGCUUCACAAACAGCAAGUAAACCAUCGGGAGACAACUUAGCGACAUUGCUCAACCUUUCCAUACACUCCUCUAUGGAGUGAAUUUUGGGUCUUGCAUGUAACUCACGUUGCAUUAAAGUUUGAGCAAUCUCCGUUCUUUUCUUUCCCAAUUCAACAAGCUCAUAAAUUGCUUCCGUUCGACCGUCAUCCUUACGUCUACGGGUUGAAGAUGGUGUAGGGAUUGGUGGCGAGACCCGAACCCUCUUCAUUGAUGAAGUGUGGCCAGAGGCACUACCAGUAUAUUGGCUACUUACUUUAAUUGGAGUUUGUGUUGGAGACGUUGAAUUUGCAUCAUUAGCAUCAUCUAAAUUCUGUGCUAGAUUCUCCAUAUUGAGCGCAACCGGAGAUGAUGAAGAGGUGCUACGAACAUCCUCAUCCAUGUUGGAAGUAAACCCAUGCUUCCCGGUUGCAGUUGCUUUUCCCGACAAAUACUCAAUAGAGUCAUAUGCAGGAAAAGGCUUGUCCCUACAUUUAGCAUAUGCUGGAUUUUCCUACAAAUGUGGAAAUCAUUGAUGAUAAGUUAAUAAAAUCUAUGUAAAUAAAACAACUUGACUUAUAUAAAAAUUUUGAACAGAAUAAAAAACUUACCGCUAUGAUAGCAUCCCAAUCAGCUGGGUCACCGGCAGUGGGAAUGUUUUGGAUGUGGUCCCACCCCCAUCCACUUUUGUUUGCCAAAGUUUGAUACAUCAAAUAUUGACGCUUCAAGACUUUUAACCGAUUUUGCAAAUUGACUUUGUUAAAGCAUAAUUUUGUCCUCUCAUUGAAAUCGUGAACCAUUCGAGUCCAUGCUAAUGGGGUAAAGCUCCCAUUAACAAAAUUACCAAGAGCAUGCUCCUCAGUCAUUAAGUUCAACAUUGCCGAGUCCAUAUUUUCUGUCCAGUUCGAGGAUCUUACUCGGGUUUUCGAUGGUUCCUGCGGUGGCCCAUCUAAACUUUGACUAUCAGCAGAGGGCGCAGCAAAACCUUUGUUUUUCAACGACUUUUUAAGAUGGGCCAUCUGGGAUAAACAAACAUAGAAAUCAUAUUUGUAUUACAACAAAUAUAUAAUACUGGUUUAGCACAAUAUUUGAGUGAUAUGUUAUUUUGUCAAAAUGCUCAGGGGAGAAGGUUACAUAUGAUUUCAUGACGGAUGCAAUAGUUUUUAAAAAACCAUGCCGCCCAUGCCAUGAAUAUAUAUAUAUCGCCUUUCCCUACAUCAUUGCCAUUAUAUUUUUAAAACCGUGCCUCAAACAAACUGAAUUAGAUCAGGAUAUAGCUAGCAACUUUCAAUUCAUCAUAGGACCUCUUUGCAAUCUUAUAUUGAAUUAUGAUUAGGUGAAGUAAUUUCAGCUUGAAAGUUUCUUCAAAUCAAAUGAUCAAACUUGUACAGCUUUCUAUAGUUUUCUUUGCAUUGCUUCUUCACUCCCUGUUUACUUCAUUAUAAAACUUGGUUGUUCAGAUUGUAUAGUUCAUGUAUAAAUAAUCAGUGUAGUUCAUCUCAUAUUUUUUCAAAAUGCUCAGGGGACAAGGCUACACAUAAUUCCAUGACGGAUGCAAUAGUUUAAAAAAAACCAUGCCACCCAUGCCUUGAAUAUAUAUAUCGCCUUUCCCUACAUCAUUGCUAUUUUUUUAAAAAAAUCCAUGCCUCAAACUGAACUGGAUUAGAUCAGAAUGUAGCUAGCAGCUUUCAAUUCAUCAUAUGACCUCUUUGCAAUCUUACACUGAGUUAUGUUCAGCUACAAAUAAUUUCAGCUUCGAAUUAUCUUCAAAUCAAAAGAUCAAAAUUGUAUAAAAAAAAAUAUAGAAACUGUAUGAUGCAGUCAUAAAGUAUGAUCAGCAAUACAUGGGUGCUGUCAUAAAUUAUGGCAAUAGGAAAAUUAUAAAUCAAGCAUAAAGUCAGGAUGCAAAGUUUCUGUGUAUCAAAUAAAAUUUUUAAGAAACUGUGGGUUUGUAAAAUAUCUUGAAAUAGUUUAAAAAAUGAGAUUUAACAGCAUGCGAGCAAAAGAGACAGACAGAUCCAAAAUACACUAGAAAAUUGGGGUAAAAUCCAUAAAACCUCACCUCGACGAGAUUAAUAGAAGGCAGAAAUUAUCAAGAGUGAACUUCUACACCAGCACAGAUAUAGUAUAGAAGCAAAGAUCAGAUUCCAAGCAAGAUGCAAAAAAGAACCAGUACCUUCGAAUCCCACUCAAUUUUAUAGAUGAAAGGGGGCACAAAUAGUCCAUGCCUUCUACCUGCAAGGCUAGUGGUCGCACUAAAUGGGCGACUUGACAACACAGGGCAUACAUCCUGCAGAACCCACCUCGAUUUCUUGCCUCAGAAGCCCACAACAGAUUUUGAGCGAAGGAAAAACCAAUUUAUACCAGUCAAAUCCGAGGGUUUGAGAGAGGGGAUACAAAAGAAAACAGAUCUCAACUGGGAUCUUCCUCACAGACUGCGAGAGGAGUAUAGAAGAAGAAAGUAAAGGGCAAAGAGGAGUUACCGAUGAACGCAGAUCUGAUACAAGAUCUCGCUCAUUGAUUAUGCUGACUGCGAAAUGACAAAAGAGGCAUAAAGCGAUGGUUUAUGCUCGCCCAACACGAGGGGGAGGGAGAUCGGCGGAGUAAUGAGCGAAGAGAGAGGUAGGUGAAGAGCAUUAACGAAGAAGAAGAGGCGAAGGUAGGUGAAGAGCAAUAACGAAGAAGAAGGAGAAGGGGCAUCGCAGCUUUUUCCAACCCAUGCCCCUGGGAUAAACCAGCGGAAAUGCCCUAUUCCGCUGGUCCCAGGGGUUAGCUCUUAACGGGUUAUCCAAGGAUAACCCGUUAAGAGCGGGAUUAAUUAUCCCACCAAAAAACUGCACUGUUUGGAAGGUUUAGCAGGAUAAAAUGGUCUAAACCCACUUUAUCCUGCCAACCAAACACUGCCUUAAAGAAUACAACUUUCAUCUUAAAUGGUGCAGUUUAUAUUUAAAAGGGUACAACUUACGUUCAUAAUAGUGCAAUAUUCUUUUAAAACAGUGCAAUUUAAUCUUAACAGUACAAAUUCAUCUUCUGCUUCCUUCUUCUCUGGCUUUUUUUAUUAUUAUCUAGUUUUUUUCUUUUUAGUUAUUUUUUUAUUUUAAACAAACAAAAGUGCUAAUACAGAGAUGCUCCCGUGCAUUCCUCGCCCUUCUCGCCUCCGACACCGUCGAAGCCGCGCUCACUGCCGUCCUCCGCAUGCCCCCUCCCUCGUCGGCAAGCUUCUCGACGUCGAGAAGUGCUUUCUCUUUAUCGUUGGCAGCGGUGGUGGGGACGCGAGUUCCCAGAAGUAGAUUUGGUGGGUGCAAAAUCCGCUGCAGUGAAGGUAGAGAGCGAAGGCAAAGGAGAGACAAUAGGGGCCAUUUCCGCCUUCGCCUCCGUCGCCUUCUUCGGCAAGAAAAAAAAAGAACAAGAGAAAAAAAAAGAGAGAGAAAAAGGUAUAAGAAUAUUUUGGACAAUUUACUAAAAAUUCGGACCGAAUCUACAAAAUCGAAAAAGGUGAUCAAGUUUUGUAAAAGCUCAAAACUUAUAGAUUUGUUAUGCAAAUUGGCCUAUUAUAAUUGAAAAAAUAAUCCUACUAAACUUAUAUUUAGCAAACUAAUUCUCUCUUUGCCACGUAGGACCCAUAUGAAAUUUUUUUCGUAAAGACGGUGAAUUAUUUACCGCCUUUAGAAAGGCAGUGAAUAACUCAUUGUCUUUGUAAUAUAACUUGCUAAAGCGGUGAAUGAUUCACUACUUUUAAUGCUAACAAGCCUUCCGCUUUUAGUACUAACAAGCCUCCCGCCUCCCAUUUGGGACCUGUCACGCCCCGGGACCGAUACCAUUUUGGGUCAACCCGAGCACGUCAAACAGACGCCGAACGGACAGAGUUUUUCCUAUCCGCCCAAGGCUCAUCACCUAUAUAUUUUCAAACAAGAAGUGCACCAGCGGAAACAUACACAAACGGCUUACAUGAGGGUAAGCAAUAGCCACGAGUGAAAGAAAGGAAACUAAACAUCUACUCAAGUAUUAUGAUUCAACUUUUGAUCACAUACAUGUAUCCAUUUCAUCCAACUUGUACAUUCGUGAUUCUUUACAUUGCUCACAUCAUUUCUUUUACAUCACAUUUGCUCAAAAUAAACAUUACAUUCUUUUCUUUCUAUGCUUUAUACAUCAACAUCUUAAAUCAUCAAAUACAAAAGAUGAUAAAAGGGUAUACUACUAACAAAAUGUAAAGCCCGACUCGGGUGGCCACUAUCGAGGGUGCGAUACCUUUACCGCGGUCGCUCGCCGGCUCGCUUGAUCCCGGCUCUGUGGAAUAGUGGGGUGAGAGCUACAACGAAGUUCCCAGUGGGUUCGGCCCCAAUCUCACCGACUUUCCCACUAGGACUAAUUCAGGCAUAAUAGAAAGGAUAAGCAGAAUAGUAACCAAACUAUUAACAUGAUGCUAAUAUGCCUGAACAAUAAAGCAAGAAGUAUGCUCAACGUAAAUCAUGCAAGUAUACAAGUUCUUUGUUCUUUACUCUUUAUUCUUUAAUCUUUGUUCUUGUUCUUUAAUCUCACGGCUAACCCGGGGGGUUUCGCCACAUUAACUUGCCCACAUUAAGUCCAUUAUCGCGGGCCCUCAGCUUCCUCCCGCUAAGACCGUCCUCGGAUUUACUCCAACCCGUGAUGCAAAACUCCGGAGCGCAACGCCGGAGGGGGAGCGACCGCCUUCGAGCACGGAACUCAUUGCAAGUAUGAUCGAUCCUUAACUCUAAGGAUAUAUAGUUCAAUCAUUGUCUUUACACUAACUCUAGUGUUCUUUACAUCAUUUUAUUUUGCUAACUCUAGCAAAUCGUUGUUCUUUAAUUUUGCUCGUUCUUUAUGCCACUUUCAUUUUCCUUACUUGUCUCUACUCAUUAUCAUCGUUCUUUGCGUCACAUUUCUCUUUGAUGCCACACACUAACUCUAAUGUUCUUUUCAUCACUUUAUUUUGCUAACUCUAGCAAUCAUUGUUCUUUAACUUUACUCGUUCUUUAUGCCACUCGAUCUAUGUUUUAUUGUGUUACUUUAUUCUUUCAUCUCAUUGGACGCUCACAUCAUCUCAUGCAUACAUAUAGAGUUUAAUAGGUUCUCAAACAUUUCAAAUAGCACGUGUACUCACAUCAUGCAACAUUCACAUGUAUAUCAUCACAUCUACCCUAUAAUGCAUGCAACAAUAUACAUAUAUGCUCAAAUAAAUGACACAUUAGGCAUAGAAGGAAUUCCAACAAGUUUGGAUAGCACCAACCACCUCGUAGGCGUACUAGGAUGCUACAAUGAUUUUCUUGGAAUUUUUAGACUCCUAGUUCGUCACCUGCGGCAAAACGAAGCCCUAUUAGGCCAUUUUGCUCAUAUCUUUACAAUGGCUUUUCGUAACGUCAAUCCGAGCGCACCAACGCGUCGAAAAAAUUAGGUUUUUAGAGGGUCAAGUCCACUUUAGAACCCUCACAAGCAAAAGCCCCAAUUUGGGUGCCCUAGCUCAUAACAUAUAUUAAACCUAGGGUUUGAUCUCAUUAAGAAGCAAAAGCAAGCUUCAAAUCAUGUAAAGAUUUCAUUUGAACCAUCCUUAGCUCAAUCAAAACCCAUUUUAGGGUUUCACCAUGAGAGGGGUUGAAGCUUACCUUCAAGCUUCACCACCUCCACCCAAUCCAUUGUUUGAUCUCUAAAAGAAGCAAAAGAUAGCUCCAAAUACUCUAAAGGCUCUAUAAAAAUCAUUAUUAGCUUAAUACAAACCCUAGUUUGGGUUUUACCAUGAGAGGGGUGAAGCUCACCUCUAAGCUUCAUCACAUAUACCCAAACCAUGGUUUUGAUCUCAUUCACAAGCAAAAGAAAGCUUGAAACACUUAUUAGGCUCAAUUAAAACCAUUUCUAGAUCACUUGGUUCUCAUUUUAGGGUUUUACCAUAAAAGGGAUUAAAACUUACCUCCAAGCUUUCCCUCCUACAAGCUAGAGAUGAGGGAGAGGGAGUUUCUUCACUCCUUCUUCUUCUUCUCCAUCUUCUUCUUCUUCUUUUCCUCUUUCUCUUCUUUCUUUUCCUUGUCUUUUUCUUCUCCUUCUUGUCUUCUAGAGAGAGAAAGAGACAGAGAAGAGUGUGAGAGGGAGAGAAUGAGAGGAAAAAGCCUUCAUUGCCCUCUACAUAACCAUUGGGUUGCAUAAAUGCAAAUAGGCCCCUCAGCUUUUAUCUUAUUAAACUGCUUGAACUGGGCAGUUUUCGUGCUCGGGGAUCGGUCUCCCCAACUUAGGGCCAGUCCCAGAGAGCUCUCCCGCAGCACAGCAAGGGCUUUCGCACGAGGCAACCGGUCUCUCCUAGGGAGAUCGGUCUCUUGGGGACCGGUCUCUCCCCGCAGGGACCGGUUUCCGAGAGCUAGUUUUAUGGGACUUAGCUGAUUUUUAGCCUUUCUCAUUUCUCACGCGUUCGGGGACCGGUCUCUCCCACCAGGGACCGGUACCCGAGAGCACAAAACCUGCAGAAUGCAUAUUUUUUAUUCUUUAGCUCUCGAAAACCCCCCACAACGCACUUCUACUCAUUUUAACACCUUCGGACUUUCCGAAGUAUAUCAUCCUCGCACUUUGGUCAAUUUGACUAAAGUUUGAUAUUUAUUUUUCGAAUUUUCGAUAUAUUACAGGACCGCUAUCAAUAUAUGAUGAUUAUGCUCUCGAAAACCUGCAGAAUGCAUGUAUUCUAUCAGGUUGUGGUAUAUCCAAUGCAUGACUACUAUAUCCCAACGUGGUAAGCAAGUAGAUAACAUGAUCCAUUCUAUCAAUAUAUGAUGAUUAUGCUCUAUCAUAGCAACCAAGUAUACUAUAAUGCAACAGGUAAAUUAUCAAGUAUACUACAUGUCUCAACACUAUGCUAUAAGCAUGUCAAAGUAAUCCAACUACUAAUCCUAUCUAGUGGUGAUUGUCAUUUUCCGGUUCAAUGUCAUUGUUUAAUCAUAUUCUAGGACCUACAUAAAUGUAGUCCAGCUUGUGCCACCUAAGUGUCGGUGGUAGCUCCAGCAUUCCCACUCUAGGAAUAAGUCAAUCCCUCCUGACCCCGAGGUUUCUCGAUACCGCACGAGCAAGCAUAAAUCGCGUAGGCCAACUCCGGAGUGCCAGCUUGUAGGGAGUGACCCUCACAAGCAUGUGCCAAUGAGCACAAAUGGCAAGCAAGCGUAGUCAACGUCUCAAAAGUCCAAUCAUCAUGUCUCUAACAUAUUAAAAGUUACUAGCAUCUCAAAGAUCUAGUUCAAUGUCUCAAUGUGAAGGUUUAACCGUUCAAUAAAUUCUAUAUCAUUGACCUUAGCUUCACUAAGUCCAUAUGUAUUCCAAGCCUAAUGCCUCUUUAUGACAUUAGCUUACGAUAUUAUACAUCAUGUACAUCUAUGCCCCUUUAUGGCAUUAUAUCAUACUGUCCAAAUCUUGUUCUAACACUAAUGCCGCUUUAUGACACUUAAGCUUAUUAUAAGUUAAACACAUUUUAUAUUCUAUGUUCUAUUCAUGACAUUAGUACUAGAUUCUCAUUUAACCCGAGCUCAAUGCCCCUUUAUGAUAUUAGCCCAAUCAUUCUCAAGUAGUACAAGUCCCCAAGCCUCUUAAGGCUUACUAAAGUCUCUUAUGUCUCAAUUAGGUAUAGGUUUAAAUGCAUGAAGCAAUGCUCAAUUUGAUUGUAAGAAAUAUGGUCCCGAAUCCAACAUAAGAAUGCCCAAUGCUAGUGCAAGCUUCACAUGCAACUCUCUCUCUACUAUAUAGAGGUCCGAAAAUUCAUUAUACAUGACAUAGGGAUAUUAAGUAUUCUAAAAUUCACAAUAAAUACAUUUAACAUGAAAAUGCAUAAAUUUUUACUUUACGAAACAUAAAUCACCAAAUAUGAGAAUUUCUCAUAUUGUGCUAGGUCAAACCCACCAAAACUUGCGCAACCCUUCGUUUGCCCCAACGAGGGUGUCCACUAGCCUCCUAGCACCCUAAAGAUGUAGGAACAAGGUUUAAACGAACCUUACGAUCAACCCUAAACUCAAACAUUAACCUACUCAAGCUAAGGUGAAGAAAACUCACCUCUAGAGUAAAAUUUCUUUUUAAGCUUCAAAAGAGAGGUAGAACCCUUCCAAUCCAACCUAAAGGAAGGUUCUAAACAAAGUGAUUAAGCUUCAAAAGUUCUAAAUCAAAAAUGCCCAAAAUCAACCCUAAAAUCUCAUUCUAGGGUUUCGGCUCAAAGAAACCAUCAAAACAAGAAUCUAGAUAAAAGAAACUUGUUACCAACCUCUUGGAAGCUUUAACCCAAGCUCUAAGUCCUCAAAUUUCAAAGAUCUUCCCUCAACCAAGCUUUAAAACCAAGCCUCAAGCUUCAACCAUGGUGGAAAUGCACCAAGAGGGGAAAUGAGAGAUAUUAAUCCACCAAAAUUCAAGAAGAAGGGAUAAAAUCACCAUUGAGGGAUAAGGAGAAGCUCCCUCACCUCAAUUCCCUGUGUUCCCAGCUCAGGGAAAUGCCCUAGGGGCGUGGGGACAUAUAUAAAAAGCUACAAUCGCAAAAACACCCCUGCAGUCCCAACAAUUCAGACUCUGCCAAAGUGUACCGGUACACGGGCAAGUGUACCGGUACAAAUUCCAAGAAAAUGCAAACCCGAGGCUCGGGUUUGAAAUUGGCACAAGUGUACCGGUACAACCAUCAAUGUGUACCGGUACAAAAUCUGUACCGGUAGAGCCAUCGACUUGUCACCGGUUUCACCAUGUGCAGAGAGCAAUCCGAUGGUAGCCUAAGUCCAUCUCUUUGAUGACUUUAGUGCUACAUAAAAUACUACAAAUCUCGGGAUAAGAGUCAUAGGUCGGAAUACUGUCAACGACCCACCAGAAAAUCUGGAAAAACUCAGAACACAGUUCAAACACUCGAAUCCCACAAAUUUGCAAAGGUCCAGUGUGUUACAUUCACCCCUCCUAAAAAGGAGUUUCGUCCGCGAAACUCGAAAAGUAAAGUAGCUCAAGCCUCCAUCUGAAAGAGAUGGGGAUAGCACUCCCGCAGUGCGCUCUUCAACUCCCAGGUGGCCUUGCGUUCAUCGUGGUUGCUCUAAAGCACCUUCACAUAGGGAAUCUCACGGUUCCGCAGUUUUUUCACCUCGCGAGCCAAAAUCCUCAAGGGUUGCUCUUCAAAGCUCAAAUCCUCCUUCAGCUCCAAUGGCGUCGCUUCAAGCACAUGAGCUGGAUCAUGGAUGUACUUUCGAAGGACCGAUACAUGAAAUACAUUGUGUACACCCGAUAGGUUUGGUGGUAGAGCAAGUCGAUACGCUACUGGGCCUACACGCUCCAAAACCUCAUACGGUCGAACGUACCUCAUACGGUCGAACGUAUCGGGGGCUCAACUUACCCCGGAUCCCAAAUCUUCUAAUCCCUCUGGUCGGCGAGACUUUCAAAAAGUUAUGAUCACCAAUCUGAAACUCCAAGUCUCGUCGAUGCCUAUCAGCAUAACUCCUCUGCCUACUCUGGGCUGUCAACAGUCGCUCCCGAGCAAUGCGAACCUUGUCCUCUGCUUCCUGGAGCACAUCUGGGCUUAAAGCCAAUCUCUCGCCAACUUUAAUGAAGUGGCGAUCUACACUUCCAUCCAUAGAGUGCCUCGAAAGGUGCCAUCUUGAUGCUUGCUUGAUAACUAUUGUUAUAAGCAAACUCUGCUAUCGGUAGAUACUGCGACCAUCCUUCCUGAAAGUCAAUCAUACAGGCUCGAAACAUGUCCUCGAGAGUCUGUAUAGUGCGCUCUGAUUGCCCAUCACUUUGGGGGUGGAAAGCGGUACUGAAAUUCAAGCGCGUACCCAAAGCAUUCUGUAAGCUCCUCCAAAAGUAGGAUACAAAUCGGGGGUCUCGAUCUGAUACUAUAGAAGUAGGUACCCCGUGCAAUCGCACAAUCUCAUCCAAGUAUACCUGUGCGAAUCUCUCACCAGUCCAAGUAGUGUGGAUAGGUACGAAAUGUGCCGAUUUCGUCAACCUAUCCACGAUCACCCAAAUAGCAUCAUGCCCGGCCUGCGAACGGGGCAAACUCAUAAAGUCCAUGGUAAUCUUCUCCUAUUUUCACACCGAAAAAGGCAAGCUCUGCAACUUCCCCGCAGAAACUCGGUGCUCAGCUUUAACCUGUUGGCAAGUUAGAUAUCUAGCAACAAACUCACCAACGUCUUUCUUCAUCCCGGGCCAACAAUAAAGCAACUUCAAGUCCUUGUACAUCUUGGUGCCUCCCGGAUGUAUAGCGUAGGGUGUACGGUGUGCUUCUUGAAGAAUUUCUUCUCUAAGUGCGGAUUCCGUCGGUACACAGAUCCGUCCACGGAAACGCAUCAAUCCAACACCAUCCACAGAAAAGUCUCCGGUGCAACCAUCAAUCAUCUUUAGCUCGAAUCCUUUGCAACUCCACAUCGGAAACUUGCUUUUCCUUAAUCCUUUCCAAAAGUGUAGGUUACACCGCCAAAAUCAUCAGCCUCAAAGGUGUACCAGGAGUCACCACCUCUAAUUCCAACCGCUUUAUCUGCUCGAUCAACUGCGGUUGAGUAACAACAAGUAUCGCUAAGUUUUCUGUCGAUUUCCUACUUAGCGCAUCCGCCACCAUGUUAGCCUUGCCCGGGUGGUAAAGAAUAGUCAAGUCAUAAUCCUUGAGUAGCUCCAACCAUCUGGGCUGCCUCAAGUUCAACUCCUUCAGAGUGAAUAAAUACUUUAAGCUUUUGUCAUCCGUAUAGACCUCACACCGCUCGCCAUAAACAUAAUGGUGCCAUAGUUUCAAAGCGAAGACUACAGCCGCCAACUCCAAAUAGUGCGUAGGGUAAUUCCUUUCAUAAUCCUUCAGUUUGCGAGAUGCAUAUGCGAUCACUUUCCCAUCCUGCAUCAAGACACAGCCCAAUCCAUUAAAGGAAGCAUCACUAUAAAUCACAUACCCUGCUCCAGCAGUUGGCAAGGUUAGGAUCGGGGCGGUCGUCAAUCUCUGUUUCAACUCUUGGAAGCUGCUUUCACACGCAUCAUUCCAAACAAACUUGGUGCCUUUAUGCGUGAGCCUCGUGAGGGGAGUGGAUAACUUUGCAAAUCCCUCAACAAACCGUCGGUAGUAGCCGGCCAAACCCAGGAAGCUCCGAAUCUCUGUGACGCUCGUCGGCCUCGGCCAAUCCUUGAUAGCUUCAAUUUUUCUCGGAUCCACGGUUAUACCCGAUCCAGAAAUCAAAUGGCCCAAAAACGCCACAUCUCUAAGCCAAAACUUACACUUUUUUGAUUUGGCGUAGAGUUUUCUUUCCUGAAGCACUUGAAGUACUAGCCUCAAAUGUUUCUCAUUAUCCGCAUCACUUCGGGAAUAGACCAAAAUGUCAUUGAUGAACACCACGACGAACCUGUCUAAAUAAGGCUUGAAAACACGGUUCAUCAAAUUCAUAAAAGCUGCCGGGGCAUUAGUAAGCCCAAACGGCAUAACUGUAAACUCAUUAUGUCCAUACCGUGUUCUAAAAGCCAUUUUCGACACAUCCUCAGACUUGAUCUUCAACUGGUGGUAUCCCGACUGCAAGUCGAUCUUGGAGUACACACUAGAUCCCUGAAGCUGAUCAAAAAGAUCAUCGAUCCUCGGCAACGGAUACUUGUUCUUGAUUAUUACUUUAUUAAGUUCACGAUAGUCCACGCACAACCGAAGUGAUCCGUCCUUCUUCUUAACAAAUAGGACCGGUGGUCCCCAAGGUAACACAUUCGGUCGCACAAAACCCUUGUCCAGAAGAUCUUGCAACUGUGCCUUCAGCUCCUUCAGUUGCCCUGGUGCCAUCCUAUAGGGCGCCUUCGAGAUUGGAGUAGUCCCGGGAAUGAGAUCUAUCACAAACUCAAUCUCCCUAUCAGGUGGCAUGCCUAGAAGCUCUGCUGGAAAUACAUCUCCAAACUCUCGUACUACGGGGAUAUCCUCAAUCCUAAAGGCGUCUGCAUCACCCCGCAACACAGCAGUAGCCAAAUAGGCUACGCAGCCUCUGCUGAUCAACUGUUUAGCUCGAGAGGAGCUAAUCGUUAUCGCAAACAGCGAACUCUGGCAUCCUCGGUACACAACCUCCGCCUGCCCCAGCUCUCCAAAAGUCACUGUUCGAUUCUUACAAUCGAUAGUGGCGAAGUACUUGGCUAACCAAUCCAUGCCCAAAACUACAUCAAACUCUCCAAGUUUGCGCAACGCGAAUAGGUACGCGGGCAUGAUCCAAUCCCCUACUCGAACGGGGCAACUGGGGCAAAUCUCUCUAAUGUCCAAGGAGUGGUCGGGAACAACAACACGUCCCGGAUGCAACAAAGAUGUUAGUGGGAUGCCAUGCAACUCGGCAAAAAGCCGGUCUAUAAAUGAAUGUGAUGCACCGGUAUCAAAUAAUGCUCGUACUCGAAUACCAUAAAGUAAAAUGAUACCUGCAACCACAUUCUCGGCCGCUGCCGCUUCCUCCGUCUGGGCCGCAUACAUGCGCCCGCUCGGGGCCUGUCGUGACCCCUCCGUCUGCCGCGGAACAGGUGGCCGCCCGGCUUGGUGGUGAGCAAAAAAUGUCCCCUGACUGGGACCUGGUGAUGCUGGUGCAGAUGCCGAAGAUGGCGCUUGCGCUGAACUCCUCGGGCAGUCCGACUGGAAGUGGCCCUCCUGGCCACACAAAAAGCACCUGCCCCGAAUGCAUGAACACUGCUGUGGGUAAUGAGGACCAUCGCAGAUCACGCAGCGCAGAGCCUGACGACGAUCAGGUCCUCCUCGCUGAGUAGAUGAGCCACAUCCCCGCGACUGGCUCUGGCUCCUGCGGUGCCUCGGCGGCCUCCGUGAGUGCGACUGGCUCGUACCCUCAGCCGCAGGCCUCUUGCCCUUCCCCUUCUCCAAGCCCUCGCGAUGCUCCUGAAGGUCUGCCACUCCAGUCUCCACAAUGAGUGCACGGUUCACAACCUCUCGGUAGGUUUGGAGGUUGGAGGACUACACCAACCGGAAGAUCGAAGGCCGCAAUCCACGCUAAAAAAUGCGGGCCUUGUCCUCGUCAUCCCGUACCACAAAAGGUAGACAGUGGAGUAGCCGAGAAACCUCCCUCUCGUACUCAACCACUGUCCGCUCCUCCUGGCGCAAGCUGCGCAGAUCCUGCUCCAUCUUCCUCUUGACAUUGAUAGGGAAAUAGUGCACUAGAAGAAGCUCCUUGAACCUCGUCCAAGAAAUCGCUGCCAAAUCAGUGUUGGGGUUGUCCUGGAUAUCCAACCACCAACGAUAGGCCUUGCCGUCAAAGUGAUGUAUGGCGAGCUAAACUCUAUCCCUUUCCUCAACAAAGGUAUCUCGAAAAAGCUUCUCCAUGUGCAUCAACCACUUCUCAACAAUCCAGUGGUCGACUUUCUCGCCGUCAAAGAUCCUCGGACCGCACCUCCUGAACUCGCUGAGGCGAUACAUGAGCCGAUCCCGCUCAGCUCCCUCGGCCAUCACAGGGAAAGCUGCCCUCGCCGCAGGUAUCUAAACCGGUGGUGCUGCAACCACUUCCUCCCGAGGUGCGGUCUCGGGCGCCGCACGCGAAGAACAGGGCGCGGGGAUUGCGCCCUCGGCGCGACGUUCACAACGGGCGCUGGUGGUGUGGGAACCUGAGUCUCCCUAUGUUAUAUACCGAGAAUUCGAAAAAUAAAUAUCGAACUUUAGUCAAAUUGACCAAAGUGCGAGGUUGGUACCCUUCAGAAAGUCCGAAGGUGUUAAAAUAAGUAAAAAUGCAUUGUGGGAGGUUUUCGAGAGCUACAGAAUCAAAAAUCUGCAAACUGCAGUUUUUGAGCUCUCGGGGACCGGUCCCUGGUGGGAGAGACCGGUCCCCGAACGCGUGAGAAAUGAGAGAAGCUGAAAAUCGGCUAAGUCCCAGAAAACCAACUCUCGGGAAUCGGUCCCUGUGGGGAGAGACCGGUCCCCGAGAGACCGGUCCCUCUGGGAGAGACCAGUUGCAUCACCGGGGGCCCUGGCUGCCCGCGGGGAGAGCUCUCUCGGGGAGACCGGUCCCCGAGCACGAAAUCUGCCCAGUUCUGGUAGUUUAAUAAAGUGAAAGUUGAUGGGUUUAUUUGCAAAAUGCAAUAUAUGGGUUAUAUUGAGGGGGUUAUGAGGUGUUUUCUCUCAUUCUCACCCUCUCACCCUCUCACCUCUCUUUCUCUCUCUAGAAGACAAGAAGGAGAAAAAGAAAGAAAAGGAAAGAAAGGAAAAGAAGAAGAAGAAAAAGAAAAGAAAGGUGGAGAAGAAGAAGAAGGAGUAAAGUAACUCCCUCUCCUUCACCUCUAGCACAAAGAAGGGAAAGCUUUGAGGUAAGCUUUGAUCCCUUUCAUGGCAAAAUCCUAGAAUGAGAGCUAAAUGACCUAGAAAUGGUUUUAAUAGAACCUUUUGAGUAUUUGAAGCUUUUUUUUACUCUUUAAGAGAUCAAAACCAUGGAUUGGGUAUAUGUGGUGAAGCUUAGAGGUGAGCUUCAACCCCUCUCAUUGUGAAACCCUAAAAUGGGUUUUGAUUGAGCUAAGGAUGGUUCAAAUGGAACCUUCAGAUGAUUUGAAGCUUACUUUUGCUUAUCUAAGAGAUCAAAACCCUAGUUUUGGUAUGCUAUGAGCUAGGGCAUCCAAAUUUGGGGCUUUUGCUCGGGAGGGUUUCAAAGUGAAAUUGACCCUCUAGAAACCUAAUUGGGGGUAUUUUCGACGCGUUGGUGCGCUCGGAUUGAUGUUACGAAAAGCCAAUGUAAAGAUAUGAGCAAAAUGGCCUAAUAGGGCUUCGUUUUGCCGUAUGAUGUGAGUACACGUGCCAUUUGAAAUAUUUGAGAACCUUUUCAACCCUAUAUGUAUGCAUGAGAUAUAAUGUGAGCACCCAAUGAGAUGAAAGAACAAAGUGACACAAUAAAAUGUGGAUCGAGUGGUAUUCGAUAAUGUUAAGUAAAGUGACACUAGAGUUAGUGUGUGUGGCAUCAAAGAGAAAUGAGACGCAAAGAACAAUGAUAACGAUUAGAGACAAGGAAAGAAAAUGAAAGUGGCAUAAAGAACGAGUAAAGUUAAAGAACAAUGAUUGCUAGAGUUAGCAAAAUAAAGUGAUGUAAAGAACACUAGAGUUAGUGUAAAGACAUCGAUUGAACUAUAUAUCCUUAGAGUUAAGGAUCGAUCAUACUUGCUAUGAGUUCCGUGCUCGAGGGCGGUCGCUCCCUCUCGAGCGAUGCGCUCCGGAGUUUUGCAUCACAGGUUGGAGUCAACCCAAGGACGGUCUUAGCGGGAGGAAGCUGAGGGCCCGCGAUGAUGGACUUAAUGUGGGCAAGUUAAUGUGGCGAAACCCCGGGUUAGCCGUGAGAUUAAAGAACAAAGAACAAGAAUAAAGAAUAAAGAACAAAGAACUUGGAUACUUGCAUGAUUUACGUUGAGCAUAUUUCUUGCUUAUUGUUCAGGCAUAUUAGCACCAUGAUUAUAGUUUGGUUACUAUUCUGCUUAUCUUUUCUAUUAUGCCUUAGUUAGUCCUAGUGAGAAAGUCGAUGAGAUUGGGGCUGAACCCACUGGAAAUUUCGUUGUAGUUCUCACCCCACUAUUUCCACAGAGCCGGGACCGAGCGAGCCGGAGAGCGACCGCGGUAAAGGUAUCGCGCCAUAGACAGUGACCACCGAGUCGGGUUUACAUGUUGUAGUAGCAUUCCUCUACUUCAUCUUUUGUAUUUGAUGAAAUGAGAUGUAAAAGAAAAAAGAAUGUAAUGUUUAUCUCGAGAAGAAUGUGAUGUAAAAAGAGAUGAUGAAAUGAAAUGUAAAAGCUUUAUGAAUGUACAAGUUAAAUGCAAGGUAUGUGAUCAAAAUCGAAUCAUAGUACUUGAGUAGUUGUUUAGUUUCCUUUCUUUCACUAAUGGCUAUUGCUUACCCUCGUGUAAGUCGUUUGUGUAUGUUUCCGCUAGUACUUUUCUCUACUUGAAAAUGUACCGGUGUCGAGCCUUGGGCGGACAGGGAAAACUCUGUCCGUUCGGCGUCUGUUUGACAUGCCCGGGCCGGCCCAAAUUGGUAUCGGUCCCGGGCCGUGACAUAGUCGAUUCUGAGCGAAGUCCAGCUCUCGGAUUUCGAGAAUUCACCUCCUUACAUCCUCCCAUCCUAAAAGGGAGUUUCGUCCUCGAAACUAAUCUAAUUCCAAUAUAACUCAAGUUCAUACCUUAUUCCUCAAACAGGUGAGGAUGAUGCGCUUCCAACUUGCUUUCGAGUUCCCAAGUGGCUUCACGGUCAUCGUGAUUGCUCCACCGAACUUUCACAUAGGGAAUCUCGCGGUUCCGCAAUUUACGCACUUCCCGUGCGAUAAUCGACACCGGAAACUCUUCGUAGCUCAGAUCUUCUUGAAGUUCUGGCGGUUCAUACAACAUUGCGUAUUCGGGGUUAUGGAUAUACUUGCGAAGGUUGGAGACAUGAAACACGUUGUGAACGUCUGCGAGUUACGGCGGCAAUGCAAGCCGGUAAGCUACAGCUCCAACUCGCUCCAACACCUCAUAUGGUCCAAUAUACCGAGGACUCAACUUUCUCCGACCCCCAAAUCGUUUCACACCGUUCAUUGGCAAAACCUUCAAAAACACACGGUCUCCUACUGCGAACUCCAGAUCUCUACGGCGCUUAUCCGCAUAAUUCUGUUGCCUCGAUUGCUCCGUGAGCAAUCUUUUGCGAGCAAGGCGAACUUUCUCCUCCGCCUCCUACAAAACGUCGGGCCCUAAUACCGCACGCUCACCUACAUCACCCCAGUGUAUAGGAGAUCGACACUUCCGCCUGUAAAAGACCUUGAACGGUGCCAUUUCAACACUAGCUUGGUAACUAUUGUUGUAGGCGAACUUGGCCAUAGGUAGGUCACUUGCCCAACUACCCUUAUAAUCAAUGACACACGCCUGCAGCAUAUCCUCCAGAAUCUGGAUAGUUCUCUCUGACUGCCCAUCUGUCUGAGGAUGAAACGCGGUGCUAAAAUCGAGCCUUGUGCUAAGCGCUUCCUGCAGGUUCUUCCAAAAGUGUGAAGUGAAUCGGGGGUCUCGAUCCGAUACAAUUGAUUUUGGAACCCCGUGCAACCUCACCACUUCAUCAAGAUACACCUGCGCCAACUUAUCACCCGACCAGGUAGUGUGGAUCGGUAAAAAAAUGCGCUGAUUUGGUCAUGCGGUCCACAAUCACCCAGAUCACAUCAUGGCCACCCGCCGAACGGGGUAAUCCAACCACGAAGUCCAUAGAUAUGUACUCCCACUUCCAAACAGGAAUGGGCAGACUCUGCAAUUUUCCUGCAGGAAAUCGACGCUCAGCUUUCACUUGCUGACAGGUUAAACAUUGCGGCACAAACUGCCAAAUGUCCUUCUUCAUCCCAGGCCACCAAUAAUGCACUUUAAGAUCCUUGUAUAUCUUAGUGCCACCUGGAUGUACGCUAUAAGGUGAUUGAUGAGCUUCCUGUAGUAUAGCUUUCUGAACCUCCUAGUCUUUGGGCACGCAUAACCGGUUGCGAAACCGAAGUGCUCCAUCUGACCCUACUGCAAAAUCAUCCCAUGUCCGCUCUCAACUUCACACCGCACCUUUUGGAGAUACGGAUCUGAAGGUUGCUGUUCUUUAAUCUAUUCCAAUAAAGUCGGUUGAACAACUAGAGCGGCAAGAAUAGCUGGUACAUCUGGAGCGACUACCUCAAGAUCAAACCGCCGCAUUUCAUUCUGCAAUGACGGUUGAUGCAUGAUCGCCAUAGCCAAAUUCUCAACUAACUUUCUACUCAAUGCAUCUGCUACGACAUUAGCUUUCCCUGGGUGGCAUAGAAUUGUAACAUCAUAGUCCUUCAACAAUUCUAACCACCGGCGUUGUCGCAUAUUUGGCUCUUUUGGGUGAAUAAAUACUUCAGGCUCUUGUGGUCAAUAUAAAUCUCGCAAUGCUCGCCAUAAAGAUAGUGUCUCCACAACUUCAAUGCGAAGAUCACCGCCGCCAACUCCAAAUCAUGAAUAGGAUAGUUCUUUUCAUAAUUCUUCAGCUGGCGAGACGCAUAGGCAAUGACUCGACCACCCUGCAUAAGUACACACCCAAGUCCACUAUAGGAAGCAUCACUGUAGAUCACAAAACUCUCCCCCGAAAUCGGCAAGGCAAGAAUAGGAGUCGAAGUCAACCUUUCUUUCAACUUCCGAAAGCUACGAUCACAUUCCUCACUCCAAACAUAUUUAGUUCCUUUAUGUGUAAGGCGCGUUAGUGGAGUAGUAAUCUCUGCAAAUCCUUCCACGAACCGCCUAUAGUACCCCGCAAGUUCAAGGAAACUGCGGAUCUCCGCAACAGUCGUCGGGCGAGGCCAAUCUUUAAUCGCCUCUACUUUCUUUGGGUCGACAGCUACACCACCCUCAGAAAUGACGUGCCCCAAAAACACUACCUCUCGCAGCCAGAAAUCGCAUUUCUUCAAUUUAGCAUACAAUUGCUUCUCCCGCAGAAUUUGCAUCACCAUUCUUAAGUGUUCCUCGUGCUCCUCAUUGCUUUGGGAAAAGAUCAAGAUGUCGUCUAUAAAUACUACAACAUACUGAUCCAACAUCGGCUUAAAGAUCCUAUUCAUUAGAUCCAUAAAUGCUGCAGGGGCAUUGAUUAGCCCAAACGGCAUCACUGUAAACUCGUAAUGACCAUAGCGAGUACGAAACGCUGUCUUGUGCACAUCCUCUGGCUUGAUCUUCAAUUGGUGAUAACCCGAUUGAAGAUCAAUCUUCGAAUACACCCGUGACCCUUGUAACUGAUCAAAUAGAUCAUCAAUUCGUGGCAACGGAUAUUUGUUCUUAAUUGUGAUCUUGUUCAGUUCACGAUAAUCAACACAAAGCCGAAUGUCACGCCCCGGGACCGAUACCAAUUUGGUCCGACCCGAGCACGUCAAACAGACGCCGAACGGACAGGGUUUCCCUAUCCGUCCAAGGCUUAUCACAUGUACAAAUUCAACCAAGAAAUGCACUAGCGAGGCUUACAUGAGGGUAAGCAAUAGCCAAUAGUGAAAGAAAGGAAAACUAAACAUUUACAAGUACUAUAAUUCAUUUUUGAUCAUAUACAAUGCAUCCAUUUACAUUCAUGAUUCUCUGUACUUCAUUACACAUUGCAUCAUUUCUUUCUUACAUCACAUUUACCUCAAAAUAAGCUUUACAUUCCUUUCUUAACAUCACUAGUCAUCAAAUACAGAAGAUGAACAUAGGGUACUCUACCAACAAAAUGUAAACCCAACUUGGGUGGCCUCUUACUAAGGCGCGAUACCUUUACCUCGGUCGCUCGCUAGCUCGCUCGGUCCCGGCUCUGUGGAAAUAGUGGGGUGAGAACUACAACAAAGUUCCCAGUGGGUUCGGCCUCAACAUCACCGACUUUCCCACUAGGACUAACUCAGGCAUAAUAGAAAGAAUAAGCUGCAUAUAGUAACCAAUCUAUAUAUGAUGCUAAUAUGCCUGAACAAUAAAGCAAGGGGUAUGCUCAAUAAUAAAUAAAUGCAGAUUAUGCAAAUUCUUUGUUCUUUUCAUUUUACUCUUGGUUUUUUGUCCUUUGUUCUUUGCACUUUGUUCUUUGCUCUUUGUUCUUUAAUCUCAAGGCUAACUCGGGGGUAUCGCCACAUUAACUUGCUUCACAUUAAGUCCAUCAUCGCAGGAACUCACCNAGUGAAAGAAUAGGAAUGGACCUAGAGGCCUAUAGGAUUGGCGGACCUUAAGGAUCUAGGAAACGUGAGUGACGUGGAAUCAAAGUUAGCGAAAGCAUGUGAUUGGGUUAAGUUGGGACGUCUCUAAUGUGAAUAGAGGCUAAGUUUAUUUUUCAUUUGUUUCCUACUCCUUGUUUUGUGUCGGGCGGCCGACGACAUGAUGCUUGGGGCGAGAACGAAUGUAUAAGUUGCUUCGCCAAAUUGGGUAUGGUUAAGUAAUGUUGGUCAUGUAGCUAAUGCGAGUUGCUUCUUUUCAGGAAGCAAUGGCACCUCGUGGAUUAUCGCAGACAAGGUCGAUACCGGAGGAGCCGAAUGCGGCGCCCGAGCAAUCCGGAGCUAGUGGCGACGGUGAGCUUCGGGAACAGAUGGCCGCGCUUAUUGGCGUAGUGCGGCAACAAGCGAAGUCUAUUCAACGCCAAGGGGAGCAGAUUCAGUGGCUCCAGGAGGCCUUGGAGCGUCAGCAAGUGGCGGCGGCCUAGGCGGGUGUCGAGCAUGUCGCGCCCCCUGUGGUAGUGCCGAGCGUAGACGAGGGAGCGGCGGCAGCAGCGGCUGUUCCAGUUACGGUAGUACCGGCCGGAUCGGGAACCUCAAAUCCCGAUAGUGCGGUGGUAGAGGCGGAGCGGGAGUGCACAUUGGCGGCUCUCAUACAGUUUAAGAAGCUCAACCCACCUGUCUUUGAAGGUGGUUUGGUAGAGCCAGCGGUCGUGGAGUCAUGGAUUGACUCGAUGGAAAUGCUCUUCGAGGAUCUUAAUACUUCGGAGAAGGACAAAGUGUACCUUGCCACCUAUUGUCUCAAGAAGGCGGCGAUGGUGUUGUGGAAGCGAGUCAAGCGGGAUCGACCUACCGAUCUUCCGCUUAUGCUGUGGGAGGAGUUCAAGAGAGCGGUGUUCGCGAACUACUCCCCAAUACGGUAAAGCGAAGACUCCAAGAGAAGUUCCGCAAGCUGAGACAGGGUGAUCGAUCGGUGGGGGAGUAUGAGUAGGACCCACAUUAUCGACUGCGUUCCCGAUGUUGUUAGAGAUGAUCGGGAUCGGGCUGAUUGGUUCUUGCGAGGACUCCAGCCGAGGAUUUAUGAGAAGGUGCAGAUUUUGAAGCUGACGACCUUUGCGGAGGUCUUUGAUAGAGCCUUAUGGGUGGAGCACAGUAGCGCCCACGUUCGAGAGGAACGGGAGGCUAUCGCCGAGAGCAAAGACAAAGGCAAGAAGUAAACGGCGGGCGGUGCCGGGGGCCGGCCAAAUGCUAAGAAACCACCUCGGUAUCCCCGACAGCAGUCGAGUAACUGGAGACCUCCUCGAUGUGUCAUUUGCGGCGGAGAGCACCGAGUGUCGGCUUGCCCGCAGCAAGACGGCAAAUGUUUUAAGUGUGGCCAACCGGGACAUCUUAUCCGGGAGUGCCCAAGCUGGACGUCGUCUGCGCCGAUGGCGGCAUCAGCACCGUCUACCCCGAGACAGCUUGCAGGGUUACCACUAGCGAUGUCGGCUGGGCGCGCGUCAUCACCGCGUCAACCAGAGGGAUCGAGAGCACCUAGCGAACGAAUUUUCACCGCUCAGGUGGAGGAGCAGCAACCUGCAGCACCCGACAACGUCGUGGCAGGUAUCAUUGUGAUUAAAGGCACUAGAGCUAGAGCAGUAUUUGAUACAGGCGCAUCUCAUUCAUUCAUUAGCGCAUCAUUUGCUCAAACUUAUAGCAUAGAGAUGGCAUAUAACGAGGACUACUGGUGGGUGAACGCCCCAGAACAUUCGUUCAGUGUCCACAAUGAGUGUUUGGCGUGUCCAGUGCAAAUAGGCGAUUGGAUUAUGCCGAUAGAUCUGCUAGUGCUAGAUCAGAUGUGGGAAUUGAUGUUAUCUUGGGGACCAACUGGCUCUCCAAGUACUAUGCGGUUAUAGAUUGUGAAAGCAAGGUAAUCACUUUUCGUAAGCCUAAUCAAGAAGAGUCGGUGUACCAAGCGUGCAAAAGUAGGCGCUUCGUAGCGACCAUAUCGUCUGUAAGGGCGAAGAAGAUGAUCAAAGGAGGAUGUAAAGCCUAUUUGGCAACCAUGGUCGAUGCUCGAAAGGAGUACCCAGAGUUGGGGGAUAUUCGGAUAGUGUGCGAGUACCCGGACGUAUUUCCGGCGGAGUUACCGGGACUGCCACCGGACCGGAAAGUUGAGUUCGUCAUUGACUUGAUUCCCGGGGCGGAACCAGUUUCGAAGGCUCCGUAUAGAAUGGCACCGGUGGAGUUAAGGGAGUUAAAGGGCCAGUUGCAAGACUUGCUCGAUAAAGGCUUUGUGAGGCCGAGCGUGUCGCCGUGGGGAGCUCCAGUGCUAUUUGUGAAGAAAAAAGAUGGCACACUUUGACUCUGGGUAGACUAUCGAGAGUUGAACAAAGUGACGAUAAAGAACAAGUACCCGUUGCCAAGGAUUGACGAUUUAUUCGAUCAGUUGCAAGGGUCCAAGGUGUAUUCGAAGAUUGAUCUCCAAUCGGGGUAUCAUCAAUUAAAGAUUAGGCCGAAGGAUGUGCACAAGACAGCGUACCGUACGCGGUAUGGCCAUUAUGAGUUCACGGUAAUGCCGUUUGGGCUUACUAACUCCCCGGCAGCAUUUAUGGACUUGAUGAACCGAGUCUUCAGACCGUUGUUGGAUUGAUGCGUCGUGGUGUUUAUAGACGACGUAUUGGUCUACUCGAAGAGCGAGGAGGAGCACGAGGAGCAUUUGAGAGCUGUGCUACAAAUACUCCAACAAGAGAAGCUUUAUGCUAAGUUAAAGAAGUGUGACUUUUGGCUAAAGGAGAUCACAUUCUUGGGUCAUGUGGUAUCGGGCGACGGAGUUUCGGUAGAUCCGAAGAAAGUAGAGGCAAUAAAGGAUUGGCCUCACCCGACAAGUGUAGCGGAGGUCCACAGUUUUCUCGGACUUGCUGGCUAUUAUCGGCAGUUCGUGGAGGGGUUCGCCAAAAUAACCACUCCACUAACGCGCCUUACCCGUAAAGGAGUAAAGUACGUGUGGAGCGACGAUUGCGAUCGAAGCUUCAAAGAGUUGAAGAACAGGUUGACGUCGACCCCGGUGCUUGCCUUGCCGACUCCGAGGGAGACCUUUGUAGUAUACAGUGAUGCCUCUUAUGUUGGUCUCGGGUGUGUAUUAAUGCAAAAUGGGCGAGUCAUUGCAUAUGCAUCACGCAAACUAAAGAGCUAUGAGAAGAACUACCUAAUUCACGACCUUGAGUUAGCCGCGGUGAUUUUCGCCCUAAAGCUUUGGAGGCAUUACCUAUAUGGUGAGCAUUGUGAAGUCUACACAGAUCACAAGAGUCUUAAGUACUUGUUCACCCAAAAGGAGUUGAACAUGCGAUAGCGGUGGUGGUUAGAGUUGCUAAAGGACUAUGAUGUCACUAUACUAUACCACCCCGGGAAAGCCAAUGUCGUGGCCGAUGCUCUAAGUAGAAAAUCGGCGGAUAAUCUAACGACGGCAAUUACGCCUCAACCGCUAUUGCAAAAGAAGAUGCAAAGGCUUGGGUUGGAAGUGGUAGCACCGGGAGUGCCGGCUAUACUUGCCGCAUUAGUUGUGCAACCGACCCUAUUGGAAAGGAUCAAGGAACUACAAGCUUCGGAUCCUUAUCUUCAAAAGAUACGAGGUGAAGCUGAGAACGAUAAUGCCGAGGAUUUUGGCAUUAGAGCCGAUGGCGCACUCCGAUUUCGAAAUCGCUAGUGCGUGCCCAAAGAUGAUGGUAUUCGAAAGGCGAUUAUGCAAGAAGUGCACCAAUCCCCUUAUAGCAUACACCCUGGUGGCACUAAAAUGUACCAAGACUUGAAAGUGCAUUAUUGGUGGCCGAGCAUGAAAAGAGAUGUUGGGGAGUUCGUGGCACAAUGUCUAACGUGCCAACAGGUGAAAGCAGAGCGCCGAUUUCCAGCGGGAAAGCUACAAAGUUUAUCAAUACCCGUUUGGAAAUGGGAAGAUAUAGCGAUGGACUUUAUUACCGGUUUGCCUCGAUCACAAGGUGGAGACGAUGCGAUAUGGGUGAUAGUGGAUCGAUUGACAAAGUCGGCACACUUCUUGCCGAUACAUACUACGUGGUCGGGAGACAAGUUGGCUCAAGUUUAUCUCGAUGAGGUUGUGAGACUUCAUGGGAUUCCGGUAUCAAUUGUAUCGGAUCGAGACCCCAGGUUCACAUCCUACUUUUGGAAGAGCUUGCAAGACGCGCUAGGCACACAGCUCGACUGUAGCACAACGUUUCAUCCUCAAAGUGAUGGACAGUCGGAGCGAACGAUACAAAUCCUUGAGAACUUGCUUCGAGCAUGUGUACUAGAUUACAAAGGAGGAUGGGAUGAUCUUGCCGAUGGCGGAGUUCGCAUAUAAUAACAGUUAUCAAGAGAGCAUAGCGAUGGCGCCAUUUGAGGCACUGUAUGGUCGAAAGUGUCGUUCUCCUAUUCAUUGGAGCAACGUGGGCGAGAGAACGGCUCUUGGUCCGUAUGUAGUGCGGGAGGCAAAGGAGAAUGUCCGCCUUGCCCAUCAACGGUUAGUAACGGCGUAGUCAAGGCAAAGGAGUUAUGCCGACAAGCGAAGAAAGGACUUAGAGUUCGCGGUUGGAGACCACGUAUUUUUGAGAGUAUCGCCGAUGCGUGGAGUAAAGCGAUUUAGGGUCCGUGGGAAGCUAACUCCCCGUUAUGUCGGACCAUUCGAGAUAUUGGAACGUGUGGGUGCGGUAGCGUACAAGCUCGCACUGCCACCGAGACUCAUGGGAGUUCACAACGUGUUCCAUGUGUCAAACCUCCGAAAGUAUAUUCGCAAUUCGACACAUGUAUUGGAAUAUGAGCCCGUGGAGCUACGUGAAGAUAUGUCUUAUGAGGAGUACCCGGUGUGCAUCCUCGAUAGAGAAGAAAGAAAGCUGCGGAGUCGCAGAAUUCCUUAUGUAAAGGUUCAGUGGAGCAACCAUGCUAUGCGAGAAGCCACUUGGGAGCUCGAGGAGACCAUGCGGAGAGAGUAUCCACAUUUAUUUCAGUCAACGAGUUAAGGAAUGCGUAAUUUCGCAGAAGAAAUUAUUUUAAGGGGUGGAGAAUGUAAUAUACCGAGAAUUCAGAAAAUAAAUAUCGAACUUCAGUCAAAUUGACCAAAGUGCGAGGUUGGUACCCUUCGGAAAGUACGAAGGUGUUAAAAUAAGUAAAAGUGCAUUGUGGGAGGUUUUCGAGAGCUAAAGAAUUAAAAAUCUGCAAACUAUAGUUUUUGAGCUCUCGGGGACCGGUCCUUGGUGGGAGAGACCGGUCCCCGAACGCGUAAGAAAUAAGAGAAGCUGAAAAUCGGCUAAGUUCUAGAAAACCAGCUCUCGGGAACCGGUCCCUGUGGGGGGAGACCGGUCCCCGAGAGACCGGUCCCUCUGGGAGAGAUCGGUUGCAUCGCGUGGGGGCCCUAGCUGCCCGCGGGGAGAGCUCUCUGGGACCGGUCCCAAGUCGGGGAGACUGGUCCCCGAGCACAAAAUCUGCCCAGUUCUGGUAGUUUAAUAAAGUGAAAGCUGAUGGGUUUAUUUGCAAAAAUAUAAUAUAUGAGUUAUGUUGAGGGGGUUAUGAGGUGUUUUCUCUCAUUCUCACCCUCUCACACUCUCACCUCUCUUUCUCUCUCUAGAAGACAAGAAGGAGAAAAAGAAAGAAAGGGAAAGAAAGGAAAAGAAGAAGAAGAAAAAGAGAAGGAAGGUGGAGAAGAAGAAGAAGGAGUGAAGUAACUCCCUCUCCUUCACCUCUAGCACAAAGAAAGGAAAGCUUUGAGGUAAGCUUUGAUCCCUUUCAUGGUAAAACCCUAAAAUGAGAGCCAAAUGAUCUAGAAAUGGUUUUAAUAGAACCUUUUUGAGUAUUUGAAGCUUUCUUUUGCUUCUUUAAGAGAUCAAAACCAUGGAUUGGGUAUAUAUGGUGAAGCUUGGAGGUGAGCUUCAACCCCUCUCAUGGUGAAACCCUAAAAUGGGUUUUGAUUGAGCUAAGGAUGGUUCAAAUGGAACCUUUAGAUGAUUUGAAGCUUACUUUUGCUUCUCUAAGAGAUCAAAAUCCUAGUUUUGGUAUGCUAUGAGCUAGAGCACCCAAAUUUGGGGCUUUUGCUCGGGAGGAUUUCAAAGUAAAAUUGACCCUCUAGAAAUCUAAUUGGGGGUAUUUCCGACGCGUUGGUACGCUCGGAUUGACGUUACGAAAAGCCAAUGUAAAGAUAUGAGUAAAAUGGCCUAAUAGGGUUUCGUUUUGCCGUAGGUGACGAACUAGAAGUCUAAAAAAUUCCAAGAAAAUCAUUGUAGCAUCCUAGUACGCUUACGACGUGGGUGGUGCUAUCCAAACUUGUUGGAAUUCCCUCUAUGCCUAAUGUGUCAUUCAAUUGAGCAUAUAUUUAUAUUAUUGCAUGCAUUAUAGGGUAGAUAUGAUGUUGUAUAUGUGAGUGUUGCAUGAUGUGAGUACACGUGCUAUUUGAAAUGAUUGAGAACCUAUUCAACCCUAUAUGUAUGCAUGAAAUAUAAUGUGAGUACCCAAUGAGAUGAAAGAACAAAGUGACACAAUAAAACAUAGAUCGAGUGGCAUUCGAUAAUGUAAAGUAAAGUGACACUAGAGUUAGUGUGUGUGGCAUCAAAGAGAAAUGAGACGCAAAGAACAAUGAUAACGAUUAGAGACAAGGAAAGAAAAUGAAAGUGGCAUAAAGAACGAGUAAAGUUAAAGAACAAUGAUUGCUAGAGUUAGCAAAAUAAAGUGAUGUAAAGAACACUAGAGUUAGUGUAAAGACAUUCAUUGAACUAUAUAUCCUUAGAGUUAAGGAUCGAUCAUACUUGCUAUAAGUUCCGUGCUCGAGGGCGGUCGCUCCCCCUCGAGUGAUGCGCUCCGGAGUUUUGCAUCACGGGUUGGAGUCGACCCGAGGACGGUCUUAGCGGGAGGAAGCUGAGGGCCCGUGAAGAUCGACUUAAUGUGGGCAAGUUAAUGUGGCGAAACCCACGGGUUAGCUGUGAGAUUAAAGAACAAAGAACAAGAUUAAAGAAUAAAGAACAAAGAACUUGCAUACUUGCAUGAUUUACGUUGAGCAUAUUUUUUGCUUAUUGUUCAGGCAUAUUAGCAUCAUGAUUAUAGUUUGGUUACUAUUCUGCUUAUCCUUUCUAUUAUGCCUGAGUUAGUCCUAGUGGAAAAGUCGGUGAGAUUGGGGCCGAACCCACUGGGAACUUCGUUGUAGUUCUCACCCCACUAUUUCCACAGAGCCGGGACCGAGCGAGCCGGCGAGGGACCGCGGUAAAGGUAUCGCGCCAUAAACAGUGACUACCAAGUCGAGUUUACAUUUUGUCAGUAGCUACCCUAUUGUCAUCUUUUGUACUUGAAGAUGUUUAAAGUAAAGAAAAAGAAUGUAAAGUUUUAUUUUGAGGCAAUGUGAUGUAAAAAGAAAUGAUGCAAGCAAUGUAAAGAAUCAUGAAUGUACAAGUUGGAUGAAAUGGAUACAUGUAUGUGAUCAAAAGAGAAUCAUAGUACUUGUGUAAAUGUUUAGUUUCCUUUCUUUCACUCAUGGCUAUUGCUUACCCUCUUGUAAGCCGUUUGUGUAUGUUUCCGCUAGUGCUUUUCUCUACUUGAAAAAUAUACAGGUGAUGAGCCUUGGGCGGACAGGGAAAACUCUGUCCGUUCGGCGUCUGUUUGACGUGCUCGGGCCGGCCCAAAUUGGUAUCGGUCCCAGGGCGUGAGACCUUAGAAGCUGCCGCUUGCUAUAGCAAGAGAUCCUCCAGGUGCUUCAUCCGUGCCUCCUGCCGCUGUGCCACCUCGGCCUGUCGCUGAGCGGCCGCCGCCUAUUGCGCUACAAUAUCAGUGAGGACCGCAAGCUGGGACCUCAAGUCGCGGACCUCGCUAGAUCCAGAAGUAGCGGAGGUCUCAACCUCCUCGAGUUGUGCCGCAUCAUCCGCUCCGGCAGAUUGGGAGCGUGUAAUCGGCAUUGCCACUACAAAACAUAAAAGCGCAAGUUAGUAAAACCCACGCUAUCGCAUUCCCGCUCAAAAUAGACAAAAUCCAAAUCUUGUGAAAGUAAGGAAGUGUUCUUCACUAUUAACUCCCGAUGUUACGUUGUAGGCCGCCAACGUAACCCUCCGCGAAGUUAGAAGCCAUACACUCCAAUCAACCCUAACUUUUUAGAGUUAUCAUAAAACCCAAUUGAAAUACUUUCGCUUACAAGUCAAAUGGAUCUCGUCUCUCACGAGCCUAUAUCCUAUAGUCCAACUUGCCUAAGGUUUGCUAGAUCCACUAAGACUUAACCCUAGGCUCUGAUACCAAACUAAUCUGUCACGCCCCGGGACCGGCGGAGGCCCUCCCGGUAGCGCGCCCAGACCCGCCAUAUGUCAGCACAUAUAAGGCGUCUACAACAACAGCGGAAAAUAAAACUAAAGAUGAUCUACAACUAGAGAUAUCAGAGCAAGUAUACAUCUAUCAUCUAUAACAAAAGUAAAUAAAGCGUAACUAAACCAUAAAGGUAAAACAUAGAGUUAUACAAUAACCAUCUCCAAAAGGGUACACAAAAGGGUGGUCUCUAUACAUGGAUACAACUCUCAACCUCUCCAAAAAGAAAACAACGAGAGGUAGACCACCUAUCAACGCGUCUUUCGAUAGCAAGCUAGCUCGAGGUAAUACCCUUUCGGCGGUCCCUAGCCUCUCUCGGCGUGGAAGGCUCUGAAAUAAGACAUAAAACAGAGGGCGUGAGAACUAUAAUUUAUAGUUCCAAAUGGGCAAUUACCGACCUCAGCUCAAUGCACCACUAGGCCGCAAAAAAAAGGGUAAGUACGGAAACGACGAUAAUAAUAAUAAUAAACUGUAAGUGUAAGAGCAAGUAAUGUUUGCUAAAUUUACUAUGCCAUAAACCAUAAGAUGUCAAUGUAUCGUGCAUGUAUUCUAUCAGGUUGUGGUAUAUCCAAUGCAUGACUACUAUGUCCCAACGUGGCAAGUAAGUAGAUAACAUGAUCCAUUCUAUCAAUAUAUGAUGAUUAUGCUCUAUCAUGGCAACCAAGUAUACUAUGAUGCAACAGGUAAAUUAUCAAGUAUACUACAUGUCUCAACACUAUGCUAUAAGCAUGUCAAUGUAAUCUAAGUACUAAUCCUAUCUAGUGGUGAUUGUCAUUUUCCGGUUCAAUGUCAUUGUUUAAUUAUGUUCUAGGACCUACAUAAAUGUAGUCCAGCUUGUGCCACCUAAGUGUCGGUGGUAGCUCCAGCAUUCCCACUCUAGAAAUGAGUCUAUCCUUCCCGACCUCGUAGGUUUCUCGAUAUCGCACGAGCGAGCAUAAAUCGCGUAGGCCAACUCCGGAGUGCCGGCUUGUAGGGAGCGACCCUCACAAGCAUGUGCGAAUGAGCACAAAUGGCAAGAAAGCAUAGUCAACGUCUCAAAAGUCUAAUCAUCAUGUCUCUAACAUGGUAAAAGUCACUAGCAUCUCAAAGAUCUUGUUCAAUGUCUCAAUGUGAAAGUUUAACCGUUCAAUAAAUUCUAUGUCAUUGACCUUAGCUUCACUAAGUCCAUAUGUAUUCCAAGCCUAGUGCCUCUUUAUGACAUUAUCUUAUGAUAUUAUACAUCAUGUACAUCUAUGCCUCUUUAUGGCAUUAUAUCACACUAUGUCCAAAUCUUGUUCCAACACUAAUGCUGCUGUAACACACUAGACUUGUGCAAAUUGCGAGGUUCGAGUGUUUGAUAUGGAUCCCGAACUUUUGCACACUUGGUGGGAGGUCGCAGAUGGUAUUCCGACCUAAAAGUUUGAUUUCUGGAAUUUUGGCUAAGUCCUGAGAGUUUUCACUCUCGGGGACCGGUCCCUGGUAGGAGAGACCGGUCCCCUCGUAACAGUGUUGCGGCAGGCUUGAGGCAACCGGUCCCUGGCAGUGAGAGACCGGUUCCCGAACGUGUGUUUUACGGGAGGGUCCGAGAGACCGGUCUCAGGUGCGGGGAAACCGGUCCCUCUACCCGAAAUUUGCCAAGACUAGGCAGUGCAUUGAUUGCAAAGUUGAGGGGCUCUUUUGGAUAUUGUUGCAUGAGGGGCCUUAUAUGGCAUUUUCUCUCCCUCUCUCCCUUAUUUCUCUCCCUCACACUCUCUCUUACACCCUAGAAAGAGAAGAAGAAGGAGAAGGAAGGAGAAGGAAGGAGAAGGAGAAGAAGGAGAGCAAGCUUGGAGGCUUUGGAGCAUCUUCCUCUCUCUCGUUUCGCACCUUUGGUGGCUUGGAGCUUGUGGUUGGAGCUUUGUGGAGGAUCAAUCUUCAACCCUUGAGGAUUUUGAGCUUGGUUUGGAGCAUUCUAGAGGUAAGUGGCUAGUUUUCUUCCUCUAGAUCCUAGUUUUGAAGCUUUAAACUAGAUGAAACUCUAGAUUUUGGGAUUUAGGGUUUAUUUUGGGGAUUUUCGAUUUGAGGGCUUUGGGACCCAAUUGAUUGGUUUAGAACCUUCCUCUUGGUUGGGUUGGAAGGGUUUUUGCUUUUUUUGGAAGCUUGAGAAGGGAUUUCUACACAAGAGGUGAGAUAUGCCCUCUAUGCCUAGAUGGUUAAAGAUUGAGCUUAGUAUUGUUCGUAAGGUUCGUUUAACUCUCGUUCCUACAUCUUUAGGGUGCUAGGAGACUAGUGGGCAUCUUCGUCGGAGCUUACGAAGAGUUGCAAGAGUUGUGGUGGGUUUGACUUUAUGAAAUCGGGGCGAAUUGGCCCCUAUGUAUUCUAUACUUGUCGUAACAUCAUUUUGAUUGCACAUUCAUGUUAAAUGGGAUUUAUGUGAAUUUUAGAACACUUAAAAUGCAUGUAUUAUGUAUCAUGAAAUUUUCACUCUAUGUAGUAGGGUACUCUGGAUUUUUAACAUGCAUGUGAGAAGUGGUUCUCUUUGCGAGUUGAGUACUUGUCUCGUAUGAUGAAAAUGAUUAGAAUUAUGCAUUCAUGAACAUAAUUUCUUUCAUGCUUGGACAUAGAGACCAAAAGUGUCAUAAAGGGGCACUUGGACUAGCAAAAUAUGAAACUAUUAUCUGAGACUUAGUGAUAGGCCAUUGACAUAUUUUAUAUUCCAUGUUAGAGACAUGAUGACAUAGAGAUAGGCCUAUGAGAGAUGUGACGUAUUCCAUGUUGUUAGACAUGAGGACUUGGUACUUGAGACGGAUCUUAUGUUACUUGCCAUUGUGCUCAUUCGCACACGCUUGUGUGGGUCGCUCCCUACAAGCUGGCACUUCGGAGAUGGCCAUCGCGAUACAUAUUCGCCGUGCGGGAUUGGGCGCCGAAGUGGAUUACCGUGGGAAAGGCUCAUUCCUAGAGUGGGGAUGUUGACUACCACGGGGCCAUUAGGCUCGGCACCGGCCAGACAGCCUACGGGUGGGUCUCAGGGCCAGACAGCCUUCGGGCGAGGCUCUUCAGAUUUGACUUUGAGCAUUCAUCAUGCCAUGUGCACAUUGACUAGAAAAGUAAACAAUGACAUCUUUACUAUUUAGCUUAUGGACAUCAUACUAGUGAUGAUUUGGUACAUUCAUGCUAGUGUAGCAUUUUUAUUACUUGAGCAAAAUCAUGCUAAGUAGAAAUAUCUUGUAGUAGUAGGUAUUCAUGUUUAAUUACUAGUUCUACUUAUCGCUUUUGUUUAUACUUAUACACUGACCCCUUUUUGUAGCUUUUGGGCCUAGUGGCGCAUUUCACUGAAGUCAAUAAUUGCCCACUGGGAACUAUUAUUUAAUAGUUCUCACGCCCCUAUUUCUAUGUUUUCUUUUCAGAGCCUUCGGCACCGGCGAAGGCACGGGAUCGCGGCAAGGGUGUUGCCUAGCUAGAUAGAGAGGAGCUACUUUUGAGCUUAGGUGGUUACUCUUUCUUUUGUUGUAUUAGAGAGAGAGAGAUUUUGAGUACCAUAUAUAGAGAGACCACCUAUGUACUUAUUUAGCUUUUGUAUUGGGAUUCCUAUUGUAUUCACUUUAUGGUUUAUUUAGUGAUUUUAGCUCUCUGCUCUUCACACUGCUUUAGAUACUAGAUGUUAUAUAAUGCUCUGAUAUCUCUAGAUCUUCUUUACUUGCUUUAUUUAUCGUUUUGUUUUAGACGUCUUAUAUGUUUUAGACAUAUGGCGGGUCUGAGCACACGCCGGGCGGGCUUCCGCUGGGUCCCGGGGCGUGACAGCCGCUUUAUGACACUUAAGCUUGUUAUAAGUUAAACACAUUUCAUAUUCUAUAUUCGAUUCAUGACAUUAGUACUAGAUUUUCAUUUAACCCGAGCUCAAUGCCCCUAUAUGACAUUAGCCCAAUCAUUCUCAAGUAGUACAAGUCCCCAAGCCUCUUAAGGCUUACUAAAGGCCCUUAUGUCUCAAUUAGGUAUAGGUUUAAAUGCAUGAUGCAAUGCUCAAUUUCAUUAUAAGAAACAUGGUUCCGAGUCCAACAUAAGAAUGCCCAAUGCUAGUGCAAGCUUCACAUGCAACUCUCUCUCUACUAUAUAGAGGUCCGAAAAUUCAUUAUACAUGACAUAGGGAUGUUAAGCAUUCUAAAAUUCACAAUAAAUACAUUUAACAUGAAAAUACAUGAAUUUUCACUUUACGAAACAUAAAUCACCAAAUAUGAGAAUUUCUCAUAUUGUAGGCUAGGUCAAACCCACCGAAACUUGCGCAACCCUUCGUUUGCCCCAACGAGGGUGUCAACUAGCGUCCUAGCACCCUAAAGAUGUAUGAACAAGAGUUAAAUGAACAUUACGAUCAACCCUAAACUCAAACAUUAACCUACUCAAGCUAAGGUGGAGAAAACUCACCUCUAGAGUAAAAUCUCUUUUCAAGCUUCAAAAGAGAGGUAGAACCCUUCCAAUCCAACCUAAAGGAAGGUUCUAAACCAAGUGAUUAAGCUCCAAAAGCCCUAAAUAAAAAAUGCCCAAAAUCAACCAUAAAAUCUCAUUCUAUGGUUUCAUUUCAAAGAAACUAUCAAAACAAGAAUCUAGAUAAAAGAAACUUGUUACCAACCUCUUGGAAGCUUUAACCCAAGCUCUAAGUCCUCAAACUUCAAAGAUCUUCCCUCAACCAAGCUUUAAAACCAAGCCUCAAGCUUCAACCAUGGUGGAAAUGCACCAAGAGUGAAAAAGAGAGAUAUUAAUCCACCAAAAUCCAAGAGAAAGGGAUAAAAUCAGCAUUGAGGGACAAGGAGAAGCUCCCUUACCUCAAUUCCCUGUGUUCCCAGCUCAGGGAAAUGCCCUAGGGGCGUGGGGACACAUAUAGAAAGUCACAAUCGCAAAAACACCCAUGCAGUCCCAACCAUUCAGAUUCUGCCAAAGUGUACCGGUACACGGGCAAGUAUACCGGUACAAAUUUCACGAAAAUGCAAACCCGAGGCUCGGGUUUGAAAUUCGCCACAAGUGUACCGGUACAACCAUCACUACUACAAAUUCAUGAUUUACCGGCAUUUACUCCGCAGCAUUUAUUUAAAUAACGCUAAUUAAUAUAUUUAACGGCAUUACUUGAUAAGUGCCGCUAAAUUAAAUAAUUUAGCAGCAAUUUACUAUUAAUGUUGCAAAAUAAAAUAAAUUAGCAGCAUAAAUUAGUAAAUGCCGCCGAAGUUUCCGGCAUUUUAUAAAAAAUGACACUAAAUGUAAUAAAGUAGUAGCACUUAUUGCUAAAUGCCGCAAUAUUUGCUCCGCAACAUUUAUUUAAAUCAUGUCAAUUAAUAUAUUUAGCAGCAUUACAUGAUAAUUGCCGCUAGAUUUAAUUAUUUAGCAGUAAUUUACUAUUAAUGUUGCAAAAUAAGAUAAAUUAGCAGCAUAAAUUAGUCAAUGCCGCUAAAUAUAAUAAACCAGCUGCACUUGUUACUAAAUAUCAUUACUAAUUAAUAUAUAAUUAUUAAUAUAUCCCUUUUUUAUUUAGAAUUAAAAAUUUUAAAAUUAAAGUUUAAAAUUCGAAACAUAUAAUUUUAAAAAUUAAAAUUAUAAUUUUAAAUUUUAAAUUUUAAAAUUUAUAUUUUAAAUUUUAAAUUCUAAAAUUAUUAAUUUUUAAAGUUUAAAUUUUAAAAUUUAUUUUAAAUUUCAAAUUUAAAACUCUUAAUUUUGAAACUUAAAAUUUCAUAUUUCAAAAUUAAAAAUUUAAAUUUAGUAUCUAAAUUUAAAAAUUUAAAAUUUAAAAUUUAAAAAUUUUAAAAUAUAAGACUUAAAAUAUAAAAAUUAAAAUAUACAUAACUAAUAGUCGCUAGCNAUAUUUGAAAACUAAAAAUUUAAAUUUAGUAUCUAAAUUUAAAAAUUUAAACUUUAAAAUUUUAAAAUUUAAAAAUAUAAGACUUAAAAUAUAAAAAAUUAAAAUAUACGUAACUAAUAGUCGCUAGCGCAAGUGGCAAAGGGUUUGGUUGUUAGUAUUCGAGGUCUCAAGUUCGAAACCUAGUUGAUUCACAUUUCCAGCAAAGUUUAAGACAAAAAGAAAUAAAUAAAGCGGGUAACAUCUCAAAAAAAUUAAAUAUAAAAUAAAAUUACAAAUUUAAAAUUUUAAUUUCUAAAAUCAGAUAUUUGUAUUAGCGGCAUAUUAUUUAUGUGCCGCUAAUAAACAAUUUAAAAUUUGCAUUUGAUCUCUUUUAGCGGUAUAUUCCUAAUGACACUAAUUGAUUUAUAUUGGCGGCAUUUAUAAUUAAUGCUGCUGUAGCACACUGGACCUUUGCAAAUUGCGAGGUUCGAGUGUUUGGACUCGGUCCUGAGUUUUUCCAGAUUUUCUGGUGGGUCGUUGACAGUGUUCCGACCUAUGGUUCGAAUCCCAAGAAUUGUAGUAUUUUUUGUAGCUCUAAGGUCACUAAAGAGUUGGACUUAGGCUACCCUCGGAUUGCAUUCUGCAUGAGGUGUAACUGGUGAUAGGUCGAUGACUGUACUGGUACACAUUUUGUACCGGUACACUUUUGAUGGCUGUACCGGUACACUGGUGGCAAAUUUCAAACUCGAGCCUCGGGUUUGCAUUUUCAUAGGAUUUGUACCGGUACACUUUCCCGUGUACCGGUACACUUUGGCAGAAUCUGAGUAGUUUGAACUGCAGGGGGUUUUCGCAAAUGUGGCUUUCUAUAUGUAUCCCCCACGGCCCUAAGGCUCUCCCUGAGCUUGGCACCUGCAAGGAGAAGGGUAAGGGAGCCCUCCACACUCUCCCAUUCCCUUUUCUUGAUUUUGGUUGAGUUUUAUUGAGAUUAAACUCUCUUUUUGCUUGAUUAGAGGCUUCUUCACCUUGGUUGAAGCUUGGAGCUUGGAUUUGGAGCAAAGUUGAGGGAAGAUCCUUGAAGUUUGAGGACUUUGAGCUUGGUUUGAAGCUUCUUAGAGGUAAGUGACUAGAUCUUUUCCUCUAGAUUUAAUUUUUGAAGGUUUCUUUGAGAUGAAACCCUAGAUUGGAGACUUAGGGCUUAUUUUGGGCAUUUUUGAUCUAGGGCUUUUGGAGCUAAAUUAAUUGGAUUAGAACCUUCCUUUGGGUUAGAUUGGAAGGAUUCUAGCUCUCUUUUGGAGCUUGUAAGAGUUUUCUAUGCCCUAGGUGAGUUUUUAGCCCUUUUGCCUUGUUGGUUAAUGUUUGAUCAUAUAGUUGAUCGUAAUGCCUGUGUAUCUCUUCGCUCAAUACUUUUAGGGUAUUUUGAGACUUGUGGACAACUCUGUUCAGCGAAACGAAGGACUACGCGACGGUUCGGUGGGUUUGACCUAGCCACACAAUGAGAAAAUCUCAUUGUUGAUGAUUUAAGUGUUGUAAAAUGAAAAAGCAUGCAUAUUCUUGUUAUAUGUAUUUAUUAUGAAUUUUAGAAUGCUUAAAAUGCCUAUGUUACAUAUAGUGCAAUUUUGGACUUCUGUGUAGUAGAGAGUCGCAUAUGAAGCUUAUGGUUGAUUGUUUAGCAUUCUCAGGUUGGGCCAUGUUUCUUAUAUUGAAAAUAAGCUUUAAUUCAUGUAUUUAAACCUAGGUUUAUUUGUGACAUGAAAGAUGACAAAAUUGCCAUAUAGAGGUAUCGAAUUAGAAUGUAUGUGAAUUAAAGAGCUAAUGUCAUCAAGCGGUAUUGAGCUCGGGACAUGUGUGAACCUAGUGGUUAGAGCCAUUCAGGGAUUUGGAUUAUGUUGAACAUUAAAUUGUCUAAGUGUCAUCAAGGGGCAAUAGGCGUAUUAAAUGUUGGAACUUCACCUUGUGACUUAAACUAGAUCUUCGGGUUGCUAGUGACGAUACCAUGUUAGAGACAUGAGGAUUGGAUACUUGAGACUUGGACUAUACUUGUUUGCCAUUUGUGCUCAUUCGCACAUGCUUGUGAGGGUCGCUCCCUACAAGCCGGCACUCCGGAAUUAGCCUACGCGACUUAUAUUCCCUCGUGCGGUAUUGAGAAGCCUACGGGGUCGAGUGGGACAAACACAUUCCAAGAGUAGGAAUGUUGGGCUACCACAGGCACUUAGGCGGCACAAGCUGGACUACCAUGGGUAGGCCCUUAAUUGGAAAUGAAAAUCGACACGGUGUUAAGUGCGUUAUAAUCACUACUAGAUAGGCUUAGUAGUUGAAUUACUUUGACAUGCUCAUGACAUAGCAUUGGGAUAUAUAGUAUAUUUGCCUGUUUCAUUCAUUGCAUCAUAGUAUACUUGGUUGCUUGAUAGAGCUAUUCUUUAUGUAUGACAUAUUGGACCGUAGCACGUACUUGUUGCCAUUGGACGUACUUGCUUAUGAUAGAGUAGAUGUACAUCAUACUUACAUCAUGUUUACUUGAGACAUAGUAGUAUAGCCUUUCAUUUAUGCUUUCUUUCAGCAGUUCUCAUAAUCGCUCUUUAUUGCUUAUUAUUAUUGUCGUUACUUACCCUUUUUUUGGGGGCCUAGUGGUGCAUUGAGCUGAUGUCAGUAAUUGCCCACUGGGAACUAUAAAUUAUAGUUCUUACGCCCUCUGUUUUAUGUUUUCUUUCAGAGCCUUCCACACCAGGAGAUGCUAGGGACCGAGGGAAGGGCGUGGCUUCGAGCUAGCUUUUCAGCGAGUGACAAGUCGCUAGGUGGUCUACCUCUCGAUGUUUUUACUUUGGAGAGGUUGAGAGUUGUACCAGUGUACUAGAGAUCACCCAUUUUAUGUACUUUUUGUACAGAUACUGUAUUUACCUUAUGUUUUACUUCUAUGGUUUAGUUGUGAUCUUUGUACUCUCUCUUUAUAGAUGAUAGAAUCAUACUUGCUCUGAUAUCUCUAGUUGUAGGUUAUUUCUUGCUUUUACUUCCGCUUUUAUUGUAGACGCCUUGUAUGUGUAGACAUAUGGCGGGUCUGGGCACGCCACCGGGAGGGCCUCCGCCGGUCCCGGGGCGUGACAGCUGCUAAUACUUUUAGCAAUAUUGGCAUAGGCAGCAUUUAGUGUCAUAUGCUGCUAAAGCUUUUAGCAGCAUUUGUUGAUCAUUUAGCAGCAUAAAUAAAUGCCGCUAAUGACUAAUUUUCUAGUAGUGCAUCAAUGUGUACCGGUACAAAAUCUGUACCGGUACAGCCAUCGACUUGUCACCGGUUUCACCAUGUGCUGAGAGCAAUUCGAGGGUUACGCGGGUCUUACCAAAUAAGGAUUGGGUUAUUUCGAGAAAUACUUUUUUAUCGCUACAUAAAAUACUAUAAAUCUCGGGAUACGAGCCAUAGGUCGGAACACUGUCAACAACCCACUUGCAAAUCUGGGAAAACUCAGAACACAGUUCAAACACUCGAACCCCGCAAAUUUGCAAAGGUCCAGUGUGUUCUCUCUCUCUCCUCCCACUGUGACUGUGCCCUUCGUCGUCUACAUGCACCGUUGCAGUCUGCCAUCUCUUUCGCCCUCGCCGUUGACCUCCAACCUCGCCCUUGCAUCUGCAGGUAGCUCCUUAUAUCCUCUUCUAUUUUCUUUACUGUUUGUUGCCAGCAUUCGGGUUGGGGUUGAGGUUGGGGUUGGGGGGGGUGGGUGGGUGGUGGCAGGCAAUAUUAGGUGGGGUCGAGGGAGGGGGGUGUUGGGGGUUCUGGCAGAGGGAUUAGUAGGGGAGAGGUGGUGAUGGUGUCUGGCAGUGUAUUCUUGCACUACACAAAAAAUAGUAUAUAGCGACACUUUUAAAUGCCGGUAUAAGUCAAAAGAAGUGCUGCUGGCUAAAUUACUGACACUUUUUAAAAGUGUUGCUAUAUGUGGGGUGGUGUAAGGACCGAGAUUUUGGCAGUGUAGCAAAACUCUUAGUUGAUGGUGUUUUUGUGUGUAAUUUAAUUACAAAAGCACUUGUCAAGCUUCGGGAGAAACCGAGUUAAAACAGAGAUUUUACGCGAUUUCCAAGUUUCACUUAAAGUGAAUAGUAACUUGGUUUUCCGGAGAGCUCAAUGCGUAGAGGUGGCUUCUGGCUCGUAUCGGACUCCAUUCAUAGCAGUCUAAUAGCUCGUUUCGAACGGUUCAGCUAUUCUGAAACUUUUGGCGCUGACGGAUUUUGGGUUUGACGCACGGAUUUUGAGAAAAUCUGAAAAUACAUGUUUAUAUGUAUUUGUGUGUCAUUUUGGCCUUUCGGAGAGAAAGCGGAUUCGUCGUGAAUCCGUGAAUGAUCGAGGUGAACCAAAAUCGUGGCUUUGUUGUCUCCGUCAUGCUGAUCGCACUGGCGCAAUCCGUUCACAAAUCUGACGGACGGAUCUGCAGAAAUCGCGCGUUGAUCGUGGAGAGGUCGGUGUUGGCAAAACGGUAAUUUCGCAAAAAUUGUGACAUUUUAUGUACCAUUUUGCGUAAAACCGGACGUGGAGGGGUAUCCGCGCGAUUUACUCGCACUGUGAGGGACUCGGAUAGAAUUAUCGAGUCUAGAUGGGCUUUUCUGCAAUUUGGAGCUAAGUAUAUAUAAGCUAUUCUAGAGUUUUGCACUGGAAAUCCUAACCCUAGACCUUAGCCGCACCCCCAGCCACUCCAUCUACCUCCCCUGCCCUAACUUCACGUACCCCGGCCGCCGACGCGCGUCUCCGACCGCCUUAGUUAGCUACUUCUCCUCCCUCUUUGUCUUUUUCAUCUCCUCCACCACCCUUUCCUCUUUGUUUCUUGGCCGAGGGUGGUACUGCGCACCCCCUCCCUUGGUUCCCUCUUCUGCCGUCACUCCUGAACCCCGGCGAUCCCUUCCGCUAGCCGCCGCCGCCCAGAGCGCCGCCGCUGCCGCUCCAGCCGCCUACAGCCACCUAGCCCAAGCCCAGGCCGAGCAGAUUGUGCGGCCUCAUCCUCACCCAGCAACCGCCUGAGACCACCCCGGCCAUCCUCCCCGGAGCUCCAGCAACCUUCCUGCCGGCCGCCGCCGCCCCAGCGGGCCGCCGCCGCCGCCUCCGCCUCGGCCAGCUACAGCUGUCCCAGACCUGUGCAGGCCGAGGCAAGCCGCGUCUUCGACCCCCGCGUCGCCGCCGCUCGGGGCCAUGCCCGAGGCAGCCCUCCGGCCUCCAGCAACCCUCUGCCGCCGUCCCUAAGCUUCCCGGCCGCCGCCGUGGCCGCCAUUGCUCUGGAACCCGAGCCCUAGCCCGUGCGGGCUCAGGCUGCUCAGCUGCUGCCGCAGCCGCACCUCGCCGCCGGCUAAGGUGAGCCCUGUGCUCCUAUCUUCACCCGUACCCAUCCUUGGCCCCCGAGCGCAUUGCCGUGCCGCCGGAAGCCGGCCGGAGCAAGCUUGCUCCGGCUAAGCCCGAAAUAGGGCUAUUCCUUGGCGGUUUGCUGUUCCUAGCAACCCGAGCCUCCCGGAUCUUUGCGGAAGGGAGCACGAUGAUCGUGGAAAAUUUUUAAUCAUCUGCUCACCUUAGAUUGUGUUAGGGAGACUUCGUUCCACUGUUUUGGCGGUGUCGACCCUGUGGAGCCUUUUUGGCUGCUGUUGCGGGUUUGCGCGCACUUUUUCGGCGAUCAGAGGUUGUCCUGAUGCCUCCGGAGGUGAGCACGGUGAUCGCUGGUCUGUCCUGAUCACAGUUCUCACCUUACUUUGGAUCAGCGGAUGUCGUAUUGGCCUGUUCGGCGCGAUUUUCCCUGACUGCGCGCUGUUCGCAAAACCUUCGGGUUGCUCCCGCGCCUCCCACCGUGAGCCGUUGUGCUCCAGAUCAUGAGCACGACCUCCGGCACAUCGAGACCUGUUAGUACGUGUCUCGGCAGACCUUGGAAGUCCUCGGUUUGCAUGAACCAGCCACUUAAUCGCUCAAAUUACAUGAAAUGAUAUGAUUUUAUGUAAUUAGAGGGACUUUUGUACAAUUGUGCACCCUAGGGCCACUGUGGAUAGUGUGUAUGAGUGUGUUUGACCUUUGGACUGAUUGUCCAUGUCCUGUAGCUUUUGCGGAAAUCGAAAAGUAGAUUUCGGUGCGUUUUUCGGCAAAAUUCGCCGAAAGAACGCGGUUUCAGUUCGGAUUUCUUCCGACGUGGUUUGUUUAUCCUGUGAAUUAUCGCUGAGCCUUGUUGGCUGGUCACCAUCAUCAUUUUAUGUGUUCAGUGAUGAUGGAUGAGCGACGGUGGGUUUCAGUGUCGAAAUAGACGCUUCCGGGAACCCGUAUUCGUANAGGUCGAUUUCGGUGCGUUUUUCGGCGAAAUUCGCCGAAAGAACGCGGUUUCAGUUCGGAUUCUUUCCGACGGUGUUUGGUUGCUUCGUGUUUUGUCGCUGAGCCUUGUUGGCUGGUCACCAUCAUCAUUUUAUGUGUUCAGUGAUGAUGGAUGAGCGACGGUGGGUUUCAGUGUCGAAAUAGACGCUUCCGGGAACCCGUAUUCGUAUAAUUAUUCGGCUAUAAUUGUGUAGUAGUAUUAUCUUGUGUUUGCUGCAAAGACAUCCAAAUUGGUGUGUUUUGUGGCAGCGGGUGACUCGUGGUACGAGUCGGUGAGUUUCGGGACACUUAGUGGGUCCCGACGGUGUCCCGGUGUGGUUUUCGGGACUUUCGGUGAGUUACGGUGAUCGGUUUUGGAAAACCGAUUACGGGGAUCUUGUGUGGGGGGUUUGUGAGUCUCGUGCUUUGGGUUAGUGGCUUGGAUACUGACCUGGUGGAUCUUCUUAGGUCCGAUAGACUCUGUGCGUACCCAGUGUUCCGACGCGACAGUGACAGGUGGGUGCUUUGAGCUAGUAGUCGGUGAGAUCGUUUCACCCUUCCUCUGUUCUUUCAUAUCAGUAUCGUAGUCUCUACAUGUCAGUUGAUUGUUUAUCGUUUGUUUAUCGUAUCUCAUAUAUUGCAUUUGGAUAGUUGUGGAUAGGCAUGUAGAGCAGGUUGCAUAUAUAUUGUAUCUCUGUGGACCUUAGGUCUAGGCAACACAUCGACUCCUUUGUCGUGUGUUUCAAUCUAGUUGAUCGUGGUUCGGCGUUGUACGCCCUUGCAUCUGGCUUCGGCCAAGGCACCGGUCUCUUUUUGUCGGUUUUCGUUUUGAACAUAUUAGCAUGAUUUAGCCACAGCACUAUGUAUUCUAGACACUAGGUUGGUUUGGCCACCAACCAAGGGGUGUACGUAUCCGGAUAGGUCGUCGGUGACGCAUGAAUAAGUUGACAGUGUCUGCUCUGUGACAGGCAACGCUUGAGGUCGAUGGACCAAUAUAGUAGUAUCAGAUUGGGUUUGAUUUUGGACUAUUUACCCUUAAGGCAUCCGUUCAGUUGAGUUUUUAUUACAGUAGUAGUUUCAUUCUUGCUCAGUUAUUAUCAUGUUUCUAUUACUACUGUAGUUGCUCUUAUAUCACAUCAUGUUCAUAUCUGUUGUUCUAUCUCCUUUUAUUUUCAGUGAUUACGGCUUGCCUUCAUGACUCUGUCAUACCCACUGAAAAACCAUGGUUGCGGUUUCUCACCCCCCAUUCCUCCAGGUGACAUGGACGAGGAGUUGGUAUUUGGGCUCGAUGGGAGGACGAUCUAGCUAGUCGGCAGUAGCGACCGUCACCCUGGUUAUAUUUCUUCCCUAUUUAGUUGUUGUUAAUAAUAAAUGGUUCAGUUAGAUGUUUGAAUGUUUGUGAUUUUUGUUAUGUAUGAUUAGAGAUUUUGUGGAUCACUGGUUUUGGUUUUAUAAAUAUUCAGUUCUCGGAUUUGUGUAUAUAUACAUAUUUACGCAUCGUGGUUUUCUACCCCUCGAGGUAGUUGAUUUUCAAAAUAGAGUUUCCGAGUGGGAAACAGUUUUAAAAAGGUUUUCGAAUGGUUUUCAGGAAUGAAUGAAUUAGAGUUUAAAAACAAAGUUUCCGUGUGGGGAGCACUUUUAAAUAGGCUAUUUGUUGUAUUGUGCAUUUGCCACGCCCCGGAUGUCUCGUUCCCCGGGCACGCCGACAAAUCCGCCGUAUACAAAGAAAUUUUUCCUAUAUACGAAGCGACAGCUGUACCUGUAAAUCAAACACUACUACGAACAGUAGUAGAGAGCUGCUAGAGAAAACAGAAACUAAACAAACUGAGUUUCAUAUACAUAGUCCAAAUCCAAAAUACAGAGCUACUCGCACUGGCGAGUUAAGUCUACUAUGUACAGAAACUCGAAACAAAACAUCUACCUGCAAUAGGGGCACCUCUAGCUCAGCACGACGGGUAGGGCUCUAACUCGCGACGCCCUUGCCUCGAUCCUGAUCGCACAUGAUUACUUAGUCUCGCUUACAAUCCUAAAUUUUAUAUUUUAGUAUAAAUAAUUGUGAAAUUUACUAAUUUGGAUAGAUAUAAGGUUUAUUAGGUUAAACUGUCAGGCGGGAGAGGAUAGACUCAAUACUCGGAUCCUUUAGAGUUUAAAAGAUAGCGGAAGCGUACUGGAAUGGUUCUUUUUAAAAGAAAAGCAUGCCCCAGAGUAUGUAGACUCAGUACUUAGUCAAGUAUCUGGACGAUGUCCAUCUGGUUCACACAGGUACACGUGUAAUCGCGGGUGUGUUUAUGGUUCAGAAGUAUAAUUUACACAAUUUCCACCUGUAUGCUCCAUUCGCAUCAUCUGACUUUAUUGUAGUACGUGUUUUAUUUACCUGCAUCUAUACUUGUACAUGCUCCUUACCUUUAGUCAGCCAUCUUGUUACAGUCUACGAUAUUAUUCUAUCUUUAGUUCUCUGUUUAUUGUGUAGCUCUUUUUUGUUAUCGGUGGUACUUCGCUCUUCGGCUUGCCGAGGAUUGGACCCGACGCGUGGUGGAGGGGUGAGACAUGGUUUAUAGUUCGAGCCCCUCAUACUCCACCAGCCACCAUUUUUUCAGAGGUAUAUGGCAGGCGAUGGUGUAUUGGACCGAACGUGAUAGGUCACGUUCGUACCGGUGGUUAACCAGAUAGAGCUAGUUACCGACCAAGCGGUGUUGCGCGGUUAUAUGUUCUACCCUUUCUGUAUUUACAGGUCGGAAUGUUUCGUGUUACGUUGUUUGAUGGUGAUUUCAGUCUACCUUUAUGACAUAGUGAACAAGAUGAUCUCUUGUUUUUUAAAAAUAAAGAAGGUUUUUAACUGUAUCUUAAAGGGGCACCCUAAAAUAUGUAAAUAGAUUUUGAAUUCACCGUUGUAUGAAAACGCUUUGGGCGUUUUUUUACUUUCUAAUCUCCAACUACCAUUUAUUUGAUAGGUGGUGGAUGGAUAUCUGUAGAGUGUAGAGCAAACGCCAAGCAGCUUUGACCACGAUUGUAAAAGAAGUAAUAUUGCAUUGGACACUAUUUUUCGAACAUGGAUCGAACUUUGAGUAAAAAUGAUAGUAAUUACCUUCUAAAAUGAGUGCAUUCAUUAUACAGAUUUAUGGCAUAGUAGCAGUUUCCUAUUUAUGUCAUUACGUUAGAUAUCGUAUGCUAUCUACAUCUAUUCUAUAUAUGUUCAUUCAAUCACAACUCAUCUUGCAUUCAUAUUUGUACGAUUCCUAAGCUGAGAUGAAAGAUCGGCGGACAAAUUCAUAGAAAAAAUUGUUUUGGGACAAGGGGGCUGUUCCCCAUACAGGAUUUUCUUUAAAAACCGUAGGCAGCGGGUGGAGAAAUUUUAUUUUUAAAAAAUCCAGAAGUCACAUUUUAAAUGUAAUAUCUGACACUAAACCAAGCUAAAUAUACAUGACUAGAAAAUAAGAAGGGUAAGAAACACCGAACAAUGGUCGGAAGUUUAUCGGACACUCGAACGUACCUCAGUCUCCACUGGAACCUAUGGGAAGAAUGCUCACCCACCUUCAUUUAUAAUCGCCUGCACCGAGUCCUUGAAAAAAGAUGGUGGGUGGCAGGGAGUCGUAGAGCGAGGAGAUACGAACCAGAUAACCACUGUCUCCCCUCCCAGUGCAAGCGGGCAUUCCGUUACCGCGCCGAAGAAGGCGAGGAGUAUCCGGAUCAGAAAGCAUACAACAGACGGGAACUAGAUAGAGAUUGAACAGUAUGGUAAGAUAAAGAUGCCUGUAUAGUAAGUGAGCUGAACAGUAUCAGAUGCAGGUAAAUAAAAACGUAGCUACAUAGAUAAGAAUGUACUGAAUAACAUACGCCUUGUUUGCAUGCGUCAAACUGCGAUAAGCUCAAAGUACCAAUCUGUACCCUAUUGGUCGAAGACUUGCAGGCCCAUGCCACACUGCUACCUGUCCUGACUCGCAAUUUUGAGCCUGGGUCAGCAAGAAUACCUGCCCUGACGCAAUUAGCGUUUGGGUCAGAAGCACACGACAUAUAGAGGGGUACCUGACGCCUCGCAAUGAGAAGGCUGGGUUGGGGCAGAAGCAUAUACGCCUCGCGGAUAAAGCCUGGCUCAGGAGUUGAAUCCACAUUUUCGGAAAGAACACCCUCUGUGCGUGGAUCAGAACCGAGUGGUGUGCGGGUGAAUGCGUACUGCAGUGGCGAUCAUGUUAGUAUGCAAAGAAUCGUCGGGCAACUAGCGCAAUCGCCCUCAGGGCUCACCGACCGUAUAGGCAUGCAGCACGUAAUGGGACGGUAUGUCAAGAUAGAAGUGUAGAACGGUCGACGAAGGGAGGUCAUAAGUAGAGGAUAUGACUCGCAAUCAAUGUCGCAAGUAUAGGCUAUGACUCGAGCAAAUCAUUACAGGUAUAGAUAAUGAACUGACAUCAUGUCAUUCAGGUUAUGGAUAUGAACUCGACCAAUCAUGUCCAAGUAUAGGUAUGAAUCGACCAUCAUGUCAAAGUAUUAUAAUCUUAGAAUAACGGUCGGCACUACGCGACAAUCCUCAGGAACGACUCACGGUCGGUCGGACAACAGAAGUCAAGGGGGCGUCACCAGGUCACAUCGAGGGGAUACAGGAACCACACAGGUAAGAAUGUAGAGAGAUGAACAACGUCGACAACCAGGGUCAUGGAGAUCACAUAGCGAGAUCAGACAAUCAAUCAUAAAUUAAUAUAAGAUAAAGUCUACUCUACUAUACAAUGAUACUACAGCUGGCAACAUUAAGUAGGUAAGUUAAGGAAACAGCAUGGGUGCAAGGUCGUCAAUGGAUUAUUGGUAAAGAGUAGGUAAACAAGGGGUAAAGGAAACGUACACCGAGCGAGUGCACCACUUACCACGCGGCGAGGGGCGGAGCCCACUGUGUUAAACUGUCGCGCCUGUUAGUGACUGAAAAGAACAUAACAGGAGUAAGGUGGGUGUUAUCACUGGGUUAGUGUGUAAUUCCGAAAUAAAGUAACGCUGAAGGCAUACCCCACAAUUAAGCCACGAGAUCGCGGUUUCCAAGGCGAUUAGACAGCGAAGCCCGGGAAAACGCACCGGAACUUCACCGAUCUGUGAAGCCGUCUGUUUCCAAAACCACGAGAACGAUGGGUGACACCAGCGAGAUGGGCUCAGCGAUGAAACAAAUGAUCCCGGGUGAUCCUUGGCUGAUGAGGGUAGCUACCUUCCUUUUUUGCCACAUGUAGCUUACACUAGUUUUGAGAAUUUCACCCCUCGGUAGGUGAAAACGGUAUCUAUCGGUUGUUUGGAGAGCUGAUUGCCGAAAUGUAAAAAUUAAAAAAUAUCAACAGUAUUUCUCCUGAGAGAAGAAUGUUGAACAUUAAUUGUACACCUGCAAACUGAUCUUUGCUAGACUAGAAUAUGUAGAAAUGUCUUCUGAUGCCUUUCACUUAUAGUGUCUAUAAUUGCCCCAAUAGUCUGCCUGGUUGUGUUAGUUGGCACUGUUUGUGCUCCUCUAGGGACUCUCGCUGUACAUUAGAAUUACUUAAAUUCCGCUGGCGAUAAAUAGUCUGUUACUCGAUCUAUCAAUGUUGCAGCCUUUGAGGCGGACGCAGGGAAGUGUGUGUGUCAUCAGUAGCACCAUGCAGGAGCCUCUGCCCCGGCCUAUAUUUAACCGGGCAAGUUCGCUCGGCAUAUAUUUCAUUGUCCGGCCGGGACAGUACCGUUCCCGACGCUUUUGAUGGUCGUUUACGAAAACAGAGGGAUCAAAAUCAGCCAAAGAUCAUAUAACUGGACAGAGUUUCCCUAUGGCACGUCCUAGGCGUCGCAAUCUGUCAAAGAGCUGAAGUGUCCAACAGAAUCUAUAUGAAUCAGAUCUGGCGAUAAGGCCGCCAAGUAUCGAUUAGACAUAAAAUACCAAACUUAUACUCCUGAUAAUAAGCAAAUUGAAUUUACAUAUAAAUCACCUUGUGAUAGCAUCACUCAUUUAGUUCGUUUUGAACAUUUGCUAAACUUCUCACAAGCUACACAAUCACAUUAUUACAUUUAAUACAGUUGGUCAUUGUCGACUCAAUUCUAAACCCCGUAGACGCGGCACCUGCAUGUACUCGGGGUACUGCUAUUCAGUCUCUGGCGAGCGAGCGCGGCCUAUCUGGACGGCAGCUACCAACGCAUUUUGUCUAGAGAACCGCCCUGCCGCUCAUUGCCGAACUUGAAAACACUCCCCAAAAUCAAUAAAAGUUGUGCCGGGGAGAACCAACUCUAUGUUCGCCAGUUGUACGGCUACCUAAAGCGGAAAGCGGCUUCCGACCAGAUCUGAGAUAACCUCUUGAAGGAGGUCAGCUGGCAACAUCAUGUUAGGUUCGAAAUAUAACAACAAAAUAUACUAUUCAAAUUGAAUACAUGCCUGCCCUCACAAUAUGCGAUAUGAAAAAUCAUGCAACAUAUGUUGAUCAAUGUGUUCUACAUAUUCUAGCUUGGCUAAUCCUUAGCUCAUAACUUCACUCUAAAGUCCUGAUCUCCAGCACUUAGAUCUACACUCAAGGUCUACUGGCUUCUAAGGUCUCUGAUACCUCAGCUUAGCCUCUUUCGACUCAGCUUAUUUCAACAUGUGGUUCGGCACUACGCUCGCGCUGAAAAGCGAACAAAUACUAAUGCCAUCGCAGACCCGCUCGGAAGCGUAAUCAGCAACGAGCGGAUAUUGUCCGCUCCGCACUAUGGUCUGACACUCAACACAGCCAAACAUGCCGUUAUUGCCAUAACAGAGGAGUUAGGAGGGCUCCGUAGGCCGUCGGUUCUCGUGACUUAGUCGCUUCCGCGGCGGAGAUCGUCACACACGCUGAACCCGGCCUCAAGCCCAGGGUUGACACUAGCAUCUCUCCGCGGCGGGGCCGGAAACAACGGUUGCACUUACCAGCGAGGGAGGACAUCAGAUUCGUGUCCAAUGCUGUAGAGAGGACCAGUACUAAUCUGGCGGGGGGCGGAACUAAUCGCAACGGCUCGACCCAACGAUCAAUCCAAAAGUGUUUCAGUACACGACUCAAGCAACUGCGGGCGACAAGUAUCGUACCUAACCCCCCAGCAAAAUGGUUUCAGGUCAAAUCCGGCGUCUUGUCACAAUCCGGCGUUAAACCAUCCGCGGUGAAAGAAUCGUGGCACACGCCAGGAUAAGGUUCAAGCCAUCGGCGGUAGAUCCAAUGGCUCGCCCCAGUUCCUCCCUAGUAGCAAUCUCGACGGCGAAAACUUGCCACUGCCUUAGCCGUUGGAUACCAAGGGUCAUCACAAUUCCUGGGAUUCCAUCCACUUCCAAGGUCAAGGGUCCAUAACAACCCUAUGCUAUAAGACCUGCACAGUCCUAGGUGGCUAAUACCACUACACUUAACAACCUAGGUUCAAUACCACGCUAGAGUUCAAAGUCUCAGUCACGUGACCUAGUAAAGCGUAUUCUAUAUCAUUCUCUUACCUAGAUGUACAACUUCUAGGCUUCACUUGUUCGACCUAUGUUACCAACACUAGGUCGACUGCUACACACCGUAGAAUUGUUCGACGCUACGUCACUUAGUUUAACCUAUGUUCUUACAUAGGUUACGUGCUACCGAUCUACCUGAUAUCCUAGUUUCCAAUCGCAGCCUACCAUAAAGUUCGCAUGUCAAUCAACUGCUACUUCUUCUAGAGUAUCAUCUAGUUCACAUGCAUAUCUACUGCAUUUAUCACCAAUGCUAAUUUAUGCCAUUUUAGAUCUCUUACAUCAUUUAUAUGCAUCAUACUUAGCAUUUUACCAUCAUGCUCAUCUUUGUCAUUUGUUAACAUGCAUCAAUAUGAAUUCACUUACUAGACAUUACAGGCGAUCCUGUCGCUUCCGGUAAGCACAACCCACCUUAGCUGCCUCUCCGAUUGCUUUGUCGACACUUGCAACGGCCUCUCGCGUACUCGACACCCGUUUUGGCCGAAUCUGUGAGAAAGGUGUGAGCUCCAACGCGCGCGCUUUGGCAGCUCCGAGAAAUUAAAGUCUUCGCUUCUGUUUACGCGCUCGGACCAAAAUCUCGCAUUUUAUUACGUCGACCUUCGACCUCUUCGUCAAAAACGAAGCAGGCUUGCUCGACCUUAUUCUGCCGAUAAUCUGUCUAGACCCGAGCCCUCGGCAAGGGCAUGCUCAAUACUUCGGACUGUCCCUACGAUGUUUAUAACAAACCAGUAGGUUGUUCGAGAGCAUUGGCGGUCAAAUGAGCUAUCAAACCGCUCAACAAUGACCUCUCGAACAAACUCGCGCGCAUUUCGGCUGCCGGCCUAGCCAGUGUACUAUAGCAAAUCACCCAAAAAAUCGAAAAAAUCUAUAAGGAUGGGGAAAUCCAUCAUGAGAAUAGCAUGCUAGGUGUCAAAUAAUUCCAAUUGGUCAAAGAUUCAAUAAACCCUCUUCUAAAGAUCUACCAGUGCAGAGACCUUAUAAGCUUACCUACCCAAGGAGCUCUAAUGGUUGAGAGAGGAAGAGAAGAAGGAAUGAUCUACCUCCAAGUUCUACCCUUUCUCCUCUUCUCCUUCCCUUUUUUUCACUUCUUGUUCUCUUCUCUCUUCUUCUUUCCCUUUUUCUUUCUUCACGCAGAAGAGAGACGAGCGCCGCUUGAGAGUAAGUGGAAAAAUGAGUAGAGAGAGAGCAGAGAGACCCAUCUCAUAAACCUCUAUUGUAAACAAUAUGCAUAUAAGUCCCUCAACUUCUACUUGUGGCCACGUGCCCAGAAUGGGCAGGACCCACGACAGUGCCCGCGGGACCGGCGAGCGCCAAAGGCCGGAAGCCUCCUCCCUCUUGGAGGGUGCUGCCUGCCUGCCAGACCGCCCCAGCUCCACGCCGGCAGAAACCGAUCUCUCACCUGCAGGGAGCGGGUGGCCUGCGGUGCCGCAAACCCUCAGCCUCGGGGGCAACCGGUCCCUCCCCUUCCUGGCGACGGGUCCCGAGAGCAACCUCUCAGACCACGGUGUCAAAACGGAGCAGAAACUGCCCAAGAGCGCCCCCUCGCAGGUUUGUAAGACGCUUUGCUCUCGGCGCGGGGACUCCAGAUUCCAAAGACUUGGGUUUCGUGCACUCCGACUUUUUCGAAGGCUACUCGCCUCGACAGUUAGUCAAUCCGGUGCUGGAGUGGCAAGUACAGCACUCUCUUGCGAAUUUUGAGAUGAUUCACUUACGCCUUAUUGCAGGUGGCGCCUCACGGGCUGGGAGAGGGCGCCGGGGUCGUUCGCCAGGCGCCCGAACCGCGCGCCAAGAUUGCGUACGGGGUGCUCUUGGGAGGCCGCGACGGGGGGGUCGGCGUGGGGCGACAGUUACGCCGCCGACUCACUUCUCAAAAUCUUCAUAGGUGAUGGGCCGAACAUGGGCACCUCGCGGCCACCGCUCACGUCCGCCGUAAGAAGGCGCUUGAGCGCAGGCAAAUACUUCUUCGUCCUAGUGUAGAUGACUCCGCGGAGGCGUCACUCACGUUGUGGGGAGCGACCACCCUGCCGCAAAACAUGCUAACUUAAGUGGCAGCAUCGGAGAGGCGGUGGCCAAGCGCCAAUGGUCGAGAUGAACCGAUCUUCGGGCCAGCGGCCCCGUGCAUUUGGGAAGAGUCCGGGGUUCCGGGGCACGCCACAGCGCAAACAGCGACAAGUUUUCCCUGAUACAGGCGUAUGCAAUCAAUAAAUAAAGAGCCGCUGUCACCAAUAGGAACAGUAUUCAAACAUUACAGAUGCUCAUAAGGAAGUAUCAAAAAUAUAAACUACUUGCUAUUAGCUACCCGCAGCUUGCCGAGUCAACGACACUUCAAUGACAUUUACAUCUCAAUUCGAUUUGCACCAACCCAAUGCAAUCUAAAUUUUACAAGUUUAUCUACAAGCUUUUACUUCUUUCCUGUCACCUGUACCGCGUGAGCGAAUGAUUGUCCCGCCAGUGCGCCGUACCUCUAUCUCGGCCUCUGAGUACGGCGUAUCUAUGGAGCUACGGUCCUGCCUCGGCGCCGCCGCGCGCUAACGUGGCAAAGCUGUAGAGAUCCCAAGAACAAUGAUGACUGGUGGAGAACCAAUUCCAUAAUUCGCGCAUAGGAUAGGCCCAGAGACGCCAAGGGGUUUAAAAGCAAGCCCGACAAUUAGGUCCAGACGGCCAGGCACUGCGGAAAUGUGUAGCUCCACAUCACAUUAAGGAAGACAGAUUGUGAGGAACUAUACUACCACUCAUUAAAUAGCGUGCCAUGGUCCUCACCACGGCAUGUGGGUCGACUGAGGUGAUUUGGCAAUUCAAGGGUCCAAAUUAAAAGCAAUAAUGUAAGCGCUUAUCUUGCUGUCACGCCCGAGGCGCACCGGGAGGGACAAAAGGCAUGGCCCUCGCGAAGCGCCGAAGAGAGCGUAGCGGGAGAAUGUCUCGCCGGGGAACAACUGGCCCCAACCCGUGACUCACGAAGUAUACACAUAUAUAAGGUCUGGGUCUUAUCCUUGCAACAGCAACAAUAUGAGAUUAAGGAGCGAACCAAUUACUUAUGAUUAUCAGCAAAAAAAAAAAUGUAUAACCACUAAUACUAGCAAAAGCAGUAGAGAGAAAAGAACUACUCAACUAAAUAAAACAUAAAGGUUAAACAAUAGUCCAUCUGUAGUACAACAAAAAAAAAGGGCCCCGACCGAAUGUGCCUGUGCUGUGUAGUAGUAUCAUUGGAAAACAACUCUCAACCUCUCUCAAAAGAGAAAGCGAGGGACGCGAGGAGGUAGUACCGAUCUAUCAACUGCGUCCUCGAUAACGAGCUAGCCGAGGCGUACCCUUUCCGCAGUCCUAGAACGUAUGGCCCGAGGACUGUGGAAGGCUAGACGAUGAAAUGAGAGUCGAUAUAAUAACGGAAAAAGAAUUCGCCCCGCGGGCUGCCGACGGGGGGUGCAUGCCUGCUGCGUGAACUAUAAUUUAUAGUUGCCCAGUGGCAAUUACUGACUCCAGGAUCAACCGGAUGGCCCAUCACCCACGCUCAGGCCAAAGAGAAGGUAAUACACUAGUAGAAUAGGCAAUAAUUAUAACUCCCAGAAUUGGAAAGUCAAAUAAGUGAAAUGCUAAUGCACAAGUUAAACGCUGACGUAUAUCAAUCAUCAUGUUUGAAUAUGCCAAUGUCGGGAGCGGGCAAGGAUAGGUGGAUGAAUACGUCGAAUUGGCAGCAAGUAUGACUAAGAGCGAUGAGUAAUUUUUAUCAAUCACUACAAUGCUCCCAAUAUCUCAGAGCCACACUAUGAGUAUGUCCUAAAUCAGGCUUAAGCUAUGAUCUUAUUUUAGACUUGAAGUAAUACAGGUAAUUUAAGAGUUAUGUCCAGAAUUUCAAUUGUUUGGGAACCUACAAUGGAGGUGUUUUAGUCGGCUUGGCAAUGGCCACAGACCUAAGUGACAGGUCUGUUUAGAGAAACUAGCUUUCAAAGUUAGUUCACAUUCAUAUCACAUUCCUUUAGGGAAAUGGAGGAUUUCCUAUCUUUCCGCUUCAAGCCACAACCCCCGGGUCAAUAGAUCAAUGGGGUUUCAUGUUCUGAUGUUCCCGAUUACGCCCCGAGCGAUCAUUAAGUUACAGGCACGGAAGUUAUCUUAUGUGCCUAAAGUUCUUCCCGGGUCUACGUUCAGUUUGUGGGCAAAACGCAGGUGCAUUAAAAUAUUACUGACUUUUGCGAAUUCCGAUUUUUCACUGCUCGACCCUUAGCGAAAUUUCUACGUUUUCUUAAAUCCGUCACUGAUUUUCAUCACAGCGCGCAUCGCGUUCAGCAGCGGAGACGAAACAGUGUGAAUUCGCUUCACCUCGAUCAACACGGUUUCACGACACAUCCAAUUUCUUUCCAAAUAAAAACUAACACUAAUACAUAUAACAUUAAAUUUUUGGGAUUUUCUCGAACUGCUGCGUUCAAACUCAAAUCCAAGCCCAAUGUUCCGAAAGCAUGAACCGGUCGAAACGAGCUAUUGGAUCGCUGAUGAACGGGUCCGAUACGCGUAGAAAGCCAACUCUACUCGCUGUGGCUCACGAAAACGGGUAUAUAUCACUUAAGUGAAAUUAAAAAUCGCGUAAUUUCUCUUUAGUCAUUUUCUCUGAACUUGAGGUGUUAUGUAAUUAAUUAACACAUAACAUCCGUCAACAGAGAGUUUAGUUGACUGUAAAAAAUCUCAGUCCUUACUUACCUUAUUACUUUUUGAACUCAAUAUUUUGUAUUAUCAGUAUGAUUUCAUCUUGAUUGCAUAAAGAAAAUUUAAUACUAGUGUACCUAUGUUGCCUAGAUUACAAUAAUUAUAUUAUUACUAAGAAUAUAAUUAAUAUCAAACUUUGCAAUAAAUGACCGUACUGCAAGUCUUUAUCUUGCACAUUGAUUAAUAAUUAUGACGGCCUUCCCUAUUGUUUAUAAGUAUGAAGUUUUAGAAACUUCCACCAAUGUGACCAGCUUUUUAAUGCUAUAAGUUUUACCAGAAAAAAAUACUAAAUGCCAAUACAAUUUUAAAAUGAACAUUAUUACUAAAUGUACUUAUAAAUAAUUUAUUUUAUGAUUAUUAUAUGUUUGCCAACUAUUUUUGUUUAUAUUAAUAUCAGAUAAGAAUAUUUUAUAUUUAUUUAGGGCAAUUUAGAUAAAAAAAUGACCAAUAUUUUGUGUAUUCAUCAAUCAUUUAGAUGAUUAAUAACUAAGGAUCAUAUAUUUUAUAAUAAGUUUUAAAAAAUAUUUAAUAAUUUAAUAUUAGAUUGGUAAUUUUUAGAUUAAUUUAUAUAUUCCUUUAAAAAAUAUGACUAUAAUUAUAUUUAUUAUUUUUUAAUAUUUAAAUUAAAUUAUCCAAAUUAUAAUAUUAGUAGGGAAUUGAGUAUAACUUGUAUAUAUUUUGUAUUCAAACUAUAAAAUAGUAUAUAAUAAUAUUACUAUACAGGGACUAAGUAAAAAAAAUUUGUUCAAAAAGAAAAAGAGACAAUUGCAUACAAGUUACCGCAAAUAUAAACAGUUUUCUAGUGAUUUUCUAACUGUAAUAAAUCAGAGGGACAUAUCUGAAAAUAUCAGAACUUUUGCAGGAAUAAUUUAUAAAAAUUAAACUUUAUAGAGAUAUAUUUGUAAUUUAUUAUGUUUGCGGGGAUCUUUAUGCAAUUAACCCAAAUAAAAAUUUCAGUUUUACUAAAAAAUUAAAGUUGAGGGGCCAUGCGAGCAGCACGGCCCCUGCGGGCCGUGCACAGACUGCGCAGGCUGUGCGCAGGCCUGGAGCUGGCCGGGUCGCUAUCGGGCCCGCAGCCCGUGCGUGCUUUAUAAAAUUUCUUUUGGGUCUUUUUCUUUUUGUUUUUUGCAUAAUUUUUUUUUAUAAAAUAGAUAAUUGAUUAUUAUGCAUUUUCAAUGGUUCAACAUGCUUUUGUGACAGAUUAUCAUGCUAAAUAUCAAAAAUAUGAGUGACUAAUGCUUAAAAUAUCCCAAAUAUUACCAAAAUAUAAUAAAACAAAUAUCCAACCAAAAUACAAUUAAACAAAUAUUCAAAAUGGCUAAUGCUUAAAAUCCUCAAUCUCUCAUAUAAGCAUCAAAAUUGUUUAGUCUUUUUCCUUCUUGAUAAAUAUUUUCUGCUUGUUGCUUGACAUCUGAUGCUCUUCUUGCAUAAAGUCAUCUGCUGCAGUGCUAGAGUUUUUGCGCUUUAAUGAAGUCAGUGUGUUCGGUGAUGUAAUAUCCGUUUCUUCAUUAUCGCACGUUACAGAAUUGGAUUCCUAUAAUGACAAACAUAUAAAAAUUUAUGUUAAAAAAUUAAAUCAUAUCAAAUUAAACUACUUUUAAUUUAUAUAUAUAUAUAUAUAUAUAUGCUAUUAAAAAAUAUAUAGAUCGACUUGAAUUGUAGCAUCAUAUUUAAAUUUAGAAUUGCCAAUUACCUCAAUUAAAAUUGACUUCUUCAAAAAUUCAUCAGUUUUAUCGUUGCUCAGUUUGUUCACUGUGUACACAGACUUAGGAUGAUUGAUAUUAUUGUCUUUAAUCCUUAUCUUGAAUAGUAUUAUUUUUCCUAGAAACUCAUCAAGCUUUUCAGGUGCCUAGCUCAUGUCACCCAUCUGAGUAAAAAUAUUUGCUAUUAGUAUAUACAAAAAUAAGAAACAUACUACAUGUAUUUAUGAUAAAUAAUACGCACUUACCAAUAAAACUUGUUGGUGUAAUUGCGCGGCAGUUUUUUGCAGAAACUGAACAACCUCACGAUCAAAUAAAAUCAACGAAGCACUCCCAGACUCGUCUAUCACCCUCAGUUGGACUUUGAAACUACAUGCAUAUUGUAGGUUGUAGUUAGAAAAACAUCACAUUAAAUCAUACACGUCGAGUGUAGAAGUAAAAAUUCUCACCUUAGUCCUUAGUCCAACACAAAUUACCAUUCUCUCACAAAAUUCACAAUAAAAUUCAGUUCCAUCAGGAAUCACCUUUUUGCUACACUUUUUGCAAGAAUUGUAGUACCAGCCACGAUCAGUCUCAACACUUAGAACAGUUGCUAGUGUUACACAUACACAAGGCUGAAAAGAUGAUAUAUAUUCAGUAUUAAGAAUAAGAGAAUAAAAUAUAUUAAAAUGAUAAAUAUGGAUAAGAUAUUUACACUUGUUUACCUGUUGGCAUUCUUGAAUUUCAGCCAGAGUUCUCCUUUGAGAUACUUUUAGGAAGUCAUCCGUUAGAGAAAUAGUGGAUUGAGUUGAAAUUUCACUAAGCACAUGAUUACUUAGUCUCGCUUACAAUCCUAAAUUUUAUAUUUUAGUAUAAAUAAUUGUGAAAUUUACUAAUUUGGAUAGAUAUAAGGUUUAUUAGGUUAAACUGUCAGGCGGGAGAGGAUAGACUCAAUACUCGGAUCCUUUAGAGUUUAAAAGAUAGCGGAAGCGUACUGGAAUGGUUCUUUUUAAAAGAAAAGCAUGCCCCAGAGUAUGUAGACUCAGUACUUAGUCAAGUAUCUGGACGAUGUCCAUCUGGUUCACACAGGUACACGUGUAAUCGCGGGUGUGUUUAUGGUUCAGAAGUAUAAUUUACACAAUUUCCACCUGUAUGCUCCAUUCGCAUCAUCUGACUUUAUUGUAGUACGUGUUUUAUUUACCUGCAUCUAUACUUGUACAUGCUCCUUACCUUUAGUCAGCCAUCUUGUUACAGUCUACGAUAUUAUUCUAUCUUUAGUUCUCUGUUUAUUGUGUAGCUCUUUUUUGUUAUCGGUGGUACUUCGCUCUUCGGCUUGCCGAGGAUUGGACCCGACGCGUGGUGGAGGGGUGAGACAUGGUUUAUAGUUCGAGCCCCUCAUACUCCACCAGCCACCAUUUUUUCAGAGGUAUAUGGCAGGCGAUGGUGUAUUGGACCGAACGUGAUAGGUCACGUUCGUACCGGUGGUUAACCAGAUAGAGCUAGUUACCGACCAAGCGGUGUUGCGCGGUUAUAUGUUCUACCCUUUCUGUAUUUACAGGUCGGAAUGUUUCGUGUUACGUUGUUUGAUGGUGAUUUCAGUCUACCUUUAUGACAUAGUGAACAAGAUGAUCUCUUGUUUUUUAAAAAUAAAGAAGGUUUUUAACUGUAUCUUAAAGGGGCACCCUAAAAUAUGUAAAUAGAUUUUGAAUUCACCGUUGUAUGAAAACGCUUUGGGCGUUUUUUUACUUUCUAAUCUCCAACUACCAUUUAUUUGAUAGGUGGUGGAUGGAUAUCUGUAGAGUGUAGAGCAAACGCCAAGCAGCUUUGACCACGAUUGUAAAAGAAGUAAUAUUGCAUUGGACACUAUUUUUCGAACAUGGAUCGAACUUUGAGUAAAAAUGAUAGUAAUUACCUUCUAAAAUGAGUGCAUUCAUUAUACAGAUUUAUGGCAUAGUAGCAGUUUCCUAUUUAUGUCAUUACGUUAGAUAUCGUAUGCUAUCUACAUCUAUUCUAUAUAUGUUCAUUCAAUCACAACUCAUCUUGCAUUCAUAUUUGUACGAUUCCUAAGCUGAGAUGAAAGAUCGGCGGACAAAUUCAUAGAAAAAAUUGUUUUGGGACAAGGGGGCUGUUCCCCAUACAGGAUUUUCUUUAAAAACCGUAGGCAGCGGGUGGAGAAAUUUUAUUUUUAAAAAAUCCAGAAGUCACAUUUUAAAUGUAAUAUCUGACACUAAACCAAGCUAAAUAUACAUGACUAGAAAAUAAGAAGGGUAAGAAACACCGAACAAUGGUCGGAAGUUUAUCGGACACUCGAACGUACCUCAGUCUCCACUGGAACCUAUGGGAAGAAUGCUCACCCACCUUCAUUUAUAAUCGCCUGCACCGAGUCCUUGAAAAAAGAUGGUGGGUGGCAGGGAGUCGUAGAGCGAGGAGAUACGAACCAGAUAACCACUGUCUCCCCUCCCAGUGCAAGCGGGCAUUCCGUUACCGCGCCGAAGAAGGCGAGGAGUAUCCGGAUCAGAAAGCAUACAACAGACGGGAACUAGAUAGAGAUUGAACAGUAUGGUAAGAUAAAGAUGCCUGUAUAGUAAGUGAGCUGAACAGUAUCAGAUGCAGGUAAAUAAAAACGUAGCUACAUAGAUAAGAAUGUACUGAAUAACAUACGCCUUGUUUGCAUGCGUCAAACUGCGAUAAGCUCAAAGUACCAAUCUGUACCCUAUUGGUCGAAGACUUGCAGGCCCAUGCCACACUGCUACCUGUCCUGACUCGCAAUUUUGAGCCUGGGUCAGCAAGAAUACCUGCCCUGACGCAAUUAGCGUUUGGGUCAGAAGCACACGACAUAUAGAGGGGUACCUGACGCCUCGCAAUGAGAAGGCUGGGUUGGGGCAGAAGCAUAUACGCCUCGCGGAUAAAGCCUGGCUCAGGAGUUGAAUCCACAUUUUCGGAAAGAACACCCUCUGUGCGUGGAUCAGAACCGAGUGGUGUGCGGGUGAAUGCGUACUGCAGUGGCGAUCAUGUUAGUAUGCAAAGAAUCGUCGGGCAACUAGCGCAAUCGCCCUCAGGGCUCACCGACCGUAUAGGCAUGCAGCACGUAAUGGGACGGUAUGUCAAGAUAGAAGUGUAGAACGGUCGACGAAGGGAGGUCAUAAGUAGAGGAUAUGACUCGCAAUCAAUGUCGCAAGUAUAGGCUAUGACUCGAGCAAAUCAUUACAGGUAUAGAUAAUGAACUGACAUCAUGUCAUUCAGGUUAUGGAUAUGAACUCGACCAAUCAUGUCCAAGUAUAGGUAUGAAUCGACCAUCAUGUCAAAGUAUUAUAAUCUUAGAAUAACGGUCGGCACUACGCGACAAUCCUCAGGAACGACUCACGGUCGGUCGGACAACAGAAGUCAAGGGGGCGUCACCAGGUCACAUCGAGGGGAUACAGGAACCACACAGGUAAGAAUGUAGAGAGAUGAACAACGUCGACAACCAGGGUCAUGGAGAUCACAUAGCGAGAUCAGACAAUCAAUCAUAAAUUAAUAUAAGAUAAAGUCUACUCUACUAUACAAUGAUACUACAGCUGGCAACAUUAAGUAGGUAAGUUAAGGAAACAGCAUGGGUGCAAGGUCGUCAAUGGAUUAUUGGUAAAGAGUAGGUAAACAAGGGGUAAAGGAAACGUACACCGAGCGAGUGCACCACUUACCACGCGGCGAGGGGCGGAGCCCACUGUGUUAAACUGUCGCGCCUGUUAGUGACUGAAAAGAACAUAACAGGAGUAAGGUGGGUGUUAUCACUGGGUUAGUGUGUAAUUCCGAAAUAAAGUAACGCUGAAGGCAUACCCCACAAUUAAGCCACGAGAUCGCGGUUUCCAAGGCGAUUAGACAGCGAAGCCCGGGAAAACGCACCGGAACUUCACCGAUCUGUGAAGCCGUCUGUUUCCAAAACCACGAGAACGAUGGGUGACACCAGCGAGAUGGGCUCAGCGAUGAAACAAAUGAUCCCGGGUGAUCCUUGGCUGAUGAGGGUAGCUACCUUCCUUUUUUGCCACAUGUAGCUUACACUAGUUUUGAGAAUUUCACCCCUCGGUAGGUGAAAACGGUAUCUAUCGGUUGUUUGGAGAGCUGAUUGCCGAAAUGUAAAAAUUAAAAAAUAUCAACAGUAUUUCUCCUGAGAGAAGAAUGUUGAACAUUAAUUGUACACCUGCAAACUGAUCUUUGCUAGACUAGAAUAUGUAGAAAUGUCUUCUGAUGCCUUUCACUUAUAGUGUCUAUAAUUGCCCCAAUAGUCUGCCUGGUUGUGUUAGUUGGCACUGUUUGUGCUCCUCUAGGGACUCUCGCUGUACAUUAGAAUUACUUAAAUUCCGCUGGCGAUAAAUAGUCUGUUACUCGAUCUAUCAAUGUUGCAGCCUUUGAGGCGGACGCAGGGAAGUGUGUGUGUCAUCAGUAGCACCAUGCAGGAGCCUCUGCCCCGGCCUAUAUUUAACCGGGCAAGUUCGCUCGGCAUAUAUUUCAUUGUCCGGCCGGGACAGUACCGUUCCCGACGCUUUUGAUGGUCGUUUACGAAAACAGAGGGAUCAAAAUCAGCCAAAGAUCAUAUAACUGGACAGAGUUUCCCUAUGGCACGUCCUAGGCGUCGCAAUCUGUCAAAGAGCUGAAGUGUCCAACAGAAUCUAUAUGAAUCAGAUCUGGCGAUAAGGCCGCCAAGUAUCGAUUAGACAUAAAAUACCAAACUUAUACUCCUGAUAAUAAGCAAAUUGAAUUUACAUAUAAAUCACCUUGUGAUAGCAUCACUCAUUUAGUUCGUUUUGAACAUUUGCUAAACUUCUCACAAGCUACACAAUCACAUUAUUACAUUUAAUACAGUUGGUCAUUGUCGACUCAAUUCUAAACCCCGUAGACGCGGCACCUGCAUGUACUCGGGGUACUGCUAUUCAGUCUCUGGCGAGCGAGCGCGGCCUAUCUGGACGGCAGCUACCAACGCAUUUUGUCUAGAGAACCGCCCUGCCGCUCAUUGCCGAACUUGAAAACACUCCCCAAAAUCAAUAAAAGUUGUGCCGGGGAGAACCAACUCUAUGUUCGCCAGUUGUACGGCUACCUAAAGCGGAAAGCGGCUUCCGACCAGAUCUGAGAUAACCUCUUGAAGGAGGUCAGCUGGCAACAUCAUGUUAGGUUCGAAAUAUAACAACAAAAUAUACUAUUCAAAUUGAAUACAUGCCUGCCCUCACAAUAUGCGAUAUGAAAAAUCAUGCAACAUAUGUUGAUCAAUGUGUUCUACAUAUUCUAGCUUGGCUAAUCCUUAGCUCAUAACUUCACUCUAAAGUCCUGAUCUCCAGCACUUAGAUCUACACUCAAGGUCUACUGGCUUCUAAGGUCUCUGAUACCUCAGCUUAGCCUCUUUCGACUCAGCUUAUUUCAACAUGUGGUUCGGCACUACGCUCGCGCUGAAAAGCGAACAAAUACUAAUGCCAUCGCAGACCCGCUCGGAAGCGUAAUCAGCAACGAGCGGAUAUUGUCCGCUCCGCACUAUGGUCUGACACUCAACACAGCCAAACAUGCCGUUAUUGCCAUAACAGAGGAGUUAGGAGGGCUCCGUAGGCCGUCGGUUCUCGUGACUUAGUCGCUUCCGCGGCGGAGAUCGUCACACACGCUGAACCCGGCCUCAAGCCCAGGGUUGACACUAGCAUCUCUCCGCGGCGGGGCCGGAAACAACGGUUGCACUUACCAGCGAGGGAGGACAUCAGAUUCGUGUCCAAUGCUGUAGAGAGGACCAGUACUAAUCUGGCGGGGGGCGGAACUAAUCGCAACGGCUCGACCCAACGAUCAAUCCAAAAGUGUUUCAGUACACGACUCAAGCAACUGCGGGCGACAAGUAUCGUACCUAACCCCCCAGCAAAAUGGUUUCAGGUCAAAUCCGGCGUCUUGUCACAAUCCGGCGUUAAACCAUCCGCGGUGAAAGAAUCGUGGCACACGCCAGGAUAAGGUUCAAGCCAUCGGCGGUAGAUCCAAUGGCUCGCCCCAGUUCCUCCCUAGUAGCAAUCUCGACGGCGAAAACUUGCCACUGCCUUAGCCGUUGGAUACCAAGGGUCAUCACAAUUCCUGGGAUUCCAUCCACUUCCAAGGUCAAGGGUCCAUAACAACCCUAUGCUAUAAGACCUGCACAGUCCUAGGUGGCUAAUACCACUACACUUAACAACCUAGGUUCAAUACCACGCUAGAGUUCAAAGUCUCAGUCACGUGACCUAGUAAAGCGUAUUCUAUAUCAUUCUCUUACCUAGAUGUACAACUUCUAGGCUUCACUUGUUCGACCUAUGUUACCAACACUAGGUCGACUGCUACACACCGUAGAAUUGUUCGACGCUACGUCACUUAGUUUAACCUAUGUUCUUACAUAGGUUACGUGCUACCGAUCUACCUGAUAUCCUAGUUUCCAAUCGCAGCCUACCAUAAAGUUCGCAUGUCAAUCAACUGCUACUUCUUCUAGAGUAUCAUCUAGUUCACAUGCAUAUCUACUGCAUUUAUCACCAAUGCUAAUUUAUGCCAUUUUAGAUCUCUUACAUCAUUUAUAUGCAUCAUACUUAGCAUUUUACCAUCAUGCUCAUCUUUGUCAUUUGUUAACAUGCAUCAAUAUGAAUUCACUUACUAGACAUUACAGGCGAUCCUGUCGCUUCCGGUAAGCACAACCCACCUUAGCUGCCUCUCCGAUUGCUUUGUCGACACUUGCAACGGCCUCUCGCGUACUCGACACCCGUUUUGGCCGAAUCUGUGAGAAAGGUGUGAGCUCCAACGCGCGCGCUUUGGCAGCUCCGAGAAAUUAAAGUCUUCGCUUCUGUUUACGCGCUCGGACCAAAAUCUCGCAUUUUAUUACGUCGACCUUCGACCUCUUCGUCAAAAACGAAGCAGGCUUGCUCGACCUUAUUCUGCCGAUAAUCUGUCUAGACCCGAGCCCUCGGCAAGGGCAUGCUCAAUACUUCGGACUGUCCCUACGAUGUUUAUAACAAACCAGUAGGUUGUUCGAGAGCAUUGGCGGUCAAAUGAGCUAUCAAACCGCUCAACAAUGACCUCUCGAACAAACUCGCGCGCAUUUCGGCUGCCGGCCUAGCCAGUGUACUAUAGCAAAUCACCCAAAAAAUCGAAAAAAUCUAUAAGGAUGGGGAAAUCCAUCAUGAGAAUAGCAUGCUAGGUGUCAAAUAAUUCCAAUUGGUCAAAGAUUCAAUAAACCCUCUUCUAAAGAUCUACCAGUGCAGAGACCUUAUAAGCUUACCUACCCAAGGAGCUCUAAUGGUUGAGAGAGGAAGAGAAGAAGGAAUGAUCUACCUCCAAGUUCUACCCUUUCUCCUCUUCUCCUUCCCUUUUUUUCACUUCUUGUUCUCUUCUCUCUUCUUCUUUCCCUUUUUCUUUCUUCACGCAGAAGAGAGACGAGCGCCGCUUGAGAGUAAGUGGAAAAAUGAGUAGAGAGAGAGCAGAGAGACCCAUCUCAUAAACCUCUAUUGUAAACAAUAUGCAUAUAAGUCCCUCAACUUCUACUUGUGGCCACGUGCCCAGAAUGGGCAGGACCCACGACAGUGCCCGCGGGACCGGCGAGCGCCAAAGGCCGGAAGCCUCCUCCCUCUUGGAGGGUGCUGCCUGCCUGCCAGACCGCCCCAGCUCCACGCCGGCAGAAACCGAUCUCUCACCUGCAGGGAGCGGGUGGCCUGCGGUGCCGCAAACCCUCAGCCUCGGGGGCAACCGGUCCCUCCCCUUCCUGGCGACGGGUCCCGAGAGCAACCUCUCAGACCACGGUGUCAAAACGGAGCAGAAACUGCCCAAGAGCGCCCCCUCGCAGGUUUGUAAGACGCUUUGCUCUCGGCGCGGGGACUCCAGAUUCCAAAGACUUGGGUUUCGUGCACUCCGACUUUUUCGAAGGCUACUCGCCUCGACAGUUAGUCAAUCCGGUGCUGGAGUGGCAAGUACAGCACUCUCUUGCGAAUUUUGAGAUGAUUCACUUACGCCUUAUUGCAGGUGGCGCCUCACGGGCUGGGAGAGGGCGCCGGGGUCGUUCGCCAGGCGCCCGAACCGCGCGCCAAGAUUGCGUACGGGGUGCUCUUGGGAGGCCGCGACGGGGGGGUCGGCGUGGGGCGACAGUUACGCCGCCGACUCACUUCUCAAAAUCUUCAUAGGUGAUGGGCCGAACAUGGGCACCUCGCGGCCACCGCUCACGUCCGCCGUAAGAAGGCGCUUGAGCGCAGGCAAAUACUUCUUCGUCCUAGUGUAGAUGACUCCGCGGAGGCGUCACUCACGUUGUGGGGAGCGACCACCCUGCCGCAAAACAUGCUAACUUAAGUGGCAGCAUCGGAGAGGCGGUGGCCAAGCGCCAAUGGUCGAGAUGAACCGAUCUUCGGGCCAGCGGCCCCGUGCAUUUGGGAAGAGUCCGGGGUUCCGGGGCACGCCACAGCGCAAACAGCGACAAGUUUUCCCUGAUACAGGCGUAUGCAAUCAAUAAAUAAAGAGCCGCUGUCACCAAUAGGAACAGUAUUCAAACAUUACAGAUGCUCAUAAGGAAGUAUCAAAAAUAUAAACUACUUGCUAUUAGCUACCCGCAGCUUGCCGAGUCAACGACACUUCAAUGACAUUUACAUCUCAAUUCGAUUUGCACCAACCCAAUGCAAUCUAAAUUUUACAAGUUUAUCUACAAGCUUUUACUUCUUUCCUGUCACCUGUACCGCGUGAGCGAAUGAUUGUCCCGCCAGUGCGCCGUACCUCUAUCUCGGCCUCUGAGUACGGCGUAUCUAUGGAGCUACGGUCCUGCCUCGGCGCCGCCGCGCGCUAACGUGGCAAAGCUGUAGAGAUCCCAAGAACAAUGAUGACUGGUGGAGAACCAAUUCCAUAAUUCGCGCAUAGGAUAGGCCCAGAGACGCCAAGGGGUUUAAAAGCAAGCCCGACAAUUAGGUCCAGACGGCCAGGCACUGCGGAAAUGUGUAGCUCCACAUCACAUUAAGGAAGACAGAUUGUGAGGAACUAUACUACCACUCAUUAAAUAGCGUGCCAUGGUCCUCACCACGGCAUGUGGGUCGACUGAGGUGAUUUGGCAAUUCAAGGGUCCAAAUUAAAAGCAAUAAUGUAAGCGCUUAUCUUGCUGUCACGCCCGAGGCGCACCGGGAGGGACAAAAGGCAUGGCCCUCGCGAAGCGCCGAAGAGAGCGUAGCGGGAGAAUGUCUCGCCGGGGAACAACUGGCCCCAACCCGUGACUCACGAAGUAUACACAUAUAUAAGGUCUGGGUCUUAUCCUUGCAACAGCAACAAUAUGAGAUUAAGGAGCGAACCAAUUACUUAUGAUUAUCAGCAAAAAAAAAAAUGUAUAACCACUAAUACUAGCAAAAGCAGUAGAGAGAAAAGAACUACUCAACUAAAUAAAACAUAAAGGUUAAACAAUAGUCCAUCUGUAGUACAACAAAAAAAAAGGGCCCCGACCGAAUGUGCCUGUGCUGUGUAGUAGUAUCAUUGGAAAACAACUCUCAACCUCUCUCAAAAGAGAAAGCGAGGGACGCGAGGAGGUAGUACCGAUCUAUCAACUGCGUCCUCGAUAACGAGCUAGCCGAGGCGUACCCUUUCCGCAGUCCUAGAACGUAUGGCCCGAGGACUGUGGAAGGCUAGACGAUGAAAUGAGAGUCGAUAUAAUAACGGAAAAAGAAUUCGCCCCGCGGGCUGCCGACGGGGGGUGCAUGCCUGCUGCGUGAACUAUAAUUUAUAGUUGCCCAGUGGCAAUUACUGACUCCAGGAUCAACCGGAUGGCCCAUCACCCACGCUCAGGCCAAAGAGAAGGUAAUACACUAGUAGAAUAGGCAAUAAUUAUAACUCCCAGAAUUGGAAAGUCAAAUAAGUGAAAUGCUAAUGCACAAGUUAAACGCUGACGUAUAUCAAUCAUCAUGUUUGAAUAUGCCAAUGUCGGGAGCGGGCAAGGAUAGGUGGAUGAAUACGUCGAAUUGGCAGCAAGUAUGACUAAGAGCGAUGAGUAAUUUUUAUCAAUCACUACAAUGCUCCCAAUAUCUCAGAGCCACACUAUGAGUAUGUCCUAAAUCAGGCUUAAGCUAUGAUCUUAUUUUAGACUUGAAGUAAUACAGGUAAUUUAAGAGUUAUGUCCAGAAUUUCAAUUGUUUGGGAACCUACAAUGGAGGUGUUUUAGUCGGCUUGGCAAUGGCCACAGACCUAAGUGACAGGUCUGUUUAGAGAAACUAGCUUUCAAAGUUAGUUCACAUUCAUAUCACAUUCCUUUAGGGAAAUGGAGGAUUUCCUAUCUUUCCGCUUCAAGCCACAACCCCCGGGUCAAUAGAUCAAUGGGGUUUCAUGUUCUGAUGUUCCCGAUUACGCCCCGAGCGAUCAUUAAGUUACAGGCACGGAAGUUAUCUUAUGUGCCUAAAGUUCUUCCCGGGUCUACGUUCAGUUUGUGGGCAAAACAGGUGCAUAAAAUACGAUGACUUUUGCGAAGUUUCCGAUUUGCCACCUUCGACCCCUUAGCGAACAUUUCGCGUUUCCCGAAAAUCCGUCCAUCGGAUUUUCGAUCCGACAGCGCCAUCGCGUUCAGCACGACGGAGACAACAAAGCUGUGAUUUCGCUUCACCUCGAUCAACCACGGAUUCACGACACAAUCCAAUCUUCUUUCCAACAUAAGAAAAUAACACCUAAAUACAUAUAAAACAUGUAUUUUUGGAUUUUCUCGAAAUCCGUGCGUCAAACUCAAAAUCCAACAGCGCCAAUGGUUCCAGAAUAGCUGAACCGGUCGAAACGAGCUAUUGGAUCGCUAUGAACGGAGUCCGAUACGCGUAGAAAGCCAACUCUACUCCGUGGCUUCACCGAAAAACCGGAGUUACUAUUCACUUAAGUGAAAUUUAAAAAUCGCGUAACUUCUCCAUUUUAGCUCAUUUUCUCCUGAAACUUGACGAGUGCUUAUGUAAUUAAAUUACACACAUAAACAUCGUCAACAGAGAGUUUAGUUGCACUGUAAAAAUCUCAGUCCUUACAUUAACUUACUUAUUUUUGAACUCCAAUAUUUCUGAUAUAUCAGUAUUGAUCAUCAUCUUGGUUGCAUAAAGAAAAUUUGAUAUACUACGUGUACCUAUGUUGCCCAUAGAUAUACAAUAAUUAAUAUAAUUACUAAGAAUAUAAAUAAUAUCCAAAAUUUGAAUAAAUGAGAUACCUGCAAAGUCUUUUAUCUUGCACCAUUGCAUUAUAAUUAUGACCGGCCUUCAUCCCCUACUUGUUUAUAAGUAUGAAGUUCUUCAGCAAACUUUCCCCACAAUGUGCAACCCAGCUUUUUAUUGCUAUAAGUUUUACAGAAAAAAAUACUAAAUGACCAAAAUACAAUUUAAAAUGAACAUUAUACUAUAAAUGCUACUUAUAAAAUAAUUUAUUUUAUAUUAUAUAUGUGCCCACUAAUUUUUGUUUAUAUUAUAUCAGAUAGAUAAUUUUUAUAUUUAUAUUUGAGGGCAAUUUAGAUAAAAAAAAUGACAAAUAUUUUGUAUUCAUCAAUCAUUAGAUUAGAUCUAAUAACUAAGAAUCAAUAUAUUUUAUAAUAAUUUUAAAAAAUAUUUAAUAUUUUAAAUAUUAGUAGGUAAAUUUGAGAUAACUUUUAUAUAUUCACCUUUAAAAGAAUUGACUGAAAUAUUAUAUAUGUUUAAUAUUUUUUAAAUAAGGUUAAAUAAAAAUAGUCCCAAAAUUUUAAAUAUUAGUAGUGAAUUUUGAGAUAACUUGGUAUUAUAUUUUGUCACCGCCCGGAUGUCUCAUUCCCCCGAGCAGCGCGACAGAAUCGCGUAUCACAAAGAAUUUCUUUCUGUAUACUGACAGCGACAACUUGUACCGUAAAUCAUAAACACUACUACGAAAUAGUAGAAGAUGCGUGUUUAGAGAAAACAGUAAGCUAAACCAAUUAGUUCAUAACUACAUUAGUCAAAUCCAACAAUACAGCGUUACUCGCCACUGUGCGAGUUAAGUACUAUGCACAUAAGCUCGAAGUUAAUAUACAAUACCGCAGUAGGUGCCUCCACUGACAAAACCUAUGGCUCUAGUCGCGCACGACCCUUGCCUCGAUCCUGAUCCGGAAGGCCUGCAGGCCCCGACCACCCCUGUCCCGCUCCCUGCCCAAACAACNNNNNNNNNNNNNNNNNNNNNNNNNNNNNNNNNNNNNNNNNNNNNNNNNNNNNNNNNNNNNNNNNNNNNNNNNNNNNNNNNNNNNNNNNNNNNNNNNNNNUUUAAUAAAAAAUAAAAAAAAAGUGUGAUAAAACUUAUAGAAAAAAGUAGGCUUUGGAUGAUGAUGUUAUAAGAUUACAAUCCAUUUUGGACUGCGGACUUAGCAAUGCUCAGACAAUAAAAGGGACGAACAAAAAGAAGGAAGAUCAAUAAGAAGAAAAGUUUGGUAUAAAGUGAUUGCGAAGACGAUUAGCCCCGUUUUUUUGUUUAUGCAAUUGCUUUUGUGAUGCAGUAUCACUUCAUAAAUCUCCAAUACAUGAAUGCGAAUCGAACGAGGCAAUGUUUGAAUCCACAAAAAUUUCUGACUAAAUAUAAUAAACUGGAAAAGAGUGUAGGUGAUUGAUACCCCGGCCCCAACCCAUAAAUGCAUCGAAUCUAACGAAAUAUGAUAAUUUGUUCGUUGCCAAACUUAUCCGGUAGUUUUGAUAGCUAAAAAGCUUCGAAACUAGCGAUAUAUUUAUUAAAAAUUUUUAAUAUUUUAAACUAAAGAUUUGUGAAGUUUAUAAAAUCUAGUCAAAAUCGUUAAAGCUAGUAGUUAAGUUUUAGAGAUAGUAUUUUUUACUAAACUAUCUUGCUUCUGGAAGCCGAGCUUUACUCGAAUUAUAACUAGCCAGUAAAUUAUUUACUUAGUUCGUGCUCGACAUUAAAAAUUGAAUUUUAGAAUUGCUCGGUUUGUGCUAGAACCAGUCGAGUGAACACAAGCCCAGCUAUAUCGAACUUAUAUAUAAUGUUUUAAAAUAAAUCUAAAAUCCUGUUGGGUUUACAUUUCUUCGAAAAUAAAAUAUUUAAAGUUAAUAAUAUAAUUCUAAAAUUAAAAGAAUAAAAGAAGCUUCAAAAGUGGGCCAUAUCUCGACUGUUAGAUCAAAACGAUAAGCGCUCAGUCGAGUACAAACUGAGUAAUUAUCUGUUCAACUUGUGUUCAGCUUAAAAAUCGAGCUAUAAAGUUACUCGGCGGAACAUAAGCUGAGCAAAUUAUUUGCUCAACUUGUGUUUGACUGGCAUUGAGUGAGUAUAAGCCGAGUAACUGUCAGGAUUAACGCUGGAUAAGCCGGGAUUACCUGUGUAGUUCGUGUUUCGUUUGUGUGUUUAUACUCCGUUUAACAGCUUGUUUCUAAAUUACUUCGCCAGAGUACAAUGGCAAGGUAGUAAAAAUUUAAAAAAAAGAAAAAAAAAAAGGGGUUUUCCCACGAUCUGAUCGUGAUAGUUCGAAUGUCUGGCCGUCAUGUAUUUUUAUCAGUAGUAUCAAUGUACAAAUCAACUAACUGCUAACUCCCCCUUUUCUUUUAAUAUUAUAAGAAAAAUAUAAAAAUCUAAUAAACCUUUACAGGGUCCCCUUUCCUUGGUUAUACUAUUUAAUGAUUUUGUACUAUAACUCCCGGGUACUCCACGAAGUACAUUUAACACAAUCUCCUCGAUGUUUCCGGUCUGGGUUUUCGGGUUUUAUCCGAUUUCCACNNNNNNNNNNNNNNNNNNNNNNNNNNNNNNNNNNNNNNNNNNNNNNNNNNNNNNNNNNNNNNNNNNNNNNNNNNNNNNNNNNNNNNNNNNNNNNNNNNNNNNNNNNNNNNNNNNNNNNNNNNNNNNNNNNNNNNNNNNNNNNNNNNNNNNNNNNNNNNNNNNNNNNNNNNNNNNNNNNNNNNNNNNNNNNNNNNNNNNNNNNNNNNNNNNNNNNNNNNNNNNNNNNNNNNNNNNNNNNNNNNNNNNNNNNNNNNNNNNNNNNNNNNNNNNNNNNNNNNNNNNNNNNNNNNNNNNNNNNNNNNNNNNNNNNNNNNNNNNNNNNNNNNNNNNNNNNNNNNNNNNNNNNNNNNNNNNNNNNNNNNNNNNNNNNNNNNNNNNNNNNNNNNNNNNNNNNNNNNNNNNNNNNNNNNNNNNNNNNNNNNNNNNNNNNNNNNNNNNNNNNNNNNNNNNNNNNNNNNNNNNNNNNNNNNNNNNNNNNNNNNNNNNNNNNNNNNNNNNNNNNNNNNNNNNNNNNNNNNNNNNNNNNNNNNNNNNNNNNNNNNNNNNNNNNNNNNNNNNNNNNNNNNNNNNNNNNNNNNNNNNNNNNNNNNNNNNNNNNNNNNNNNNNNNNNNNNNNNNNNNNNNNNNNNNNNNNNNNNNNNNNNNNNNNNNNNNNNNNNNNNNNNNNNNNNNNNNNNNNNNNNNNNNNNNNNNNNNNNNNNNNNNNNNNNNNNNNNNNNNNNNNNNNNNNNNNNNNNNNNNNNNNNNNNNNNNNNNNNNNNNNNNNNNNNNNNNNNNNNNNNNNNNNNNNNNNNNNNNNNNNNNNNNNNNNNNNNNNNNNNNNNNNNNNNNNNNNNNNNNNNNNNNNNNNNNNNNNNNNNNNNNNNNNNNNNNNNNNNNNNNNNNNNNNNNNNNNNNNNNNNNNNNNNNNNNNNNNNNNNCCACUUGUGCUCGAGACUAUUGUUAGUAUGGCAAUAAUUUUUGAAAGAAGAAUAGCACAUAUACUAUGUAUAUUUACUCUUGAGAAUCUUUAAGAGAUAUAUAUGAUAUAUAAAAUCAAAUUAAGCAAUGCUAACCAAGUAUUAUGUUAGGUAUUAUGGUUUAUUUUACUUUAUUUUCAUCUGUAUUUGUAUUUGUAUUUUUAUUUGCAUUUUUUAUUUUUUUGGAAAGGACGGCAGCAAGCUGUCUAUUUCGUUCUUUCUGUAUUUUGUUUGUUUUAUAGAAAUUAACUUAGCUCGAAACGUAAAGCAACUAAAUUUUGAACUUUAGACUUUAUGCAUCAUUUAUCAAACCCUUAACAAAUUGCGCUAGGUACGAUGGGCAUGCUCUAGUGAAUGUACUUAUUCAAACUUUGAAGCCGCUGUUCUCAAACAACUUGAAUACUCAACAUUAUUAGUGGGUCAUUUGGGAGACCAGAAAUAGUGCGAUCUUUCGGAUGAUCCAGACAGACCCAAGUUUUGGAAUCUACACGAUUAAACAACUGAUGAAUUAGUGGGAGAAACUUAGCUCAGUGGAGAGGAGACACCAAUGUAAUAGCUUUUUCUUUUUUUUUCGCCGUUUGUUUAGCCACAAACGAGGCCUGUGAUGUCUCAUCAUUGUAGCUUAGUUCAUCUUCCGAAUGAAUGAAGUGGGUAUCAUACUAUCUUUUCUUCAAAAAAAAAAAAACAUCAUUAGUCAUAGAUUUGAGCAAAUUAAGCCUAAUAUAGGUUGCCCAAGCUAUUAUGCCAUAGAUUGUUUUCUCGUGUAUCCAAAUAUCUUCAAAUUAAUGUGAUUUUCAAACAAUUUCUCUGCCGAGCUAAUCUAUUCAGACCGCAGCAAUAUUGCUUCCCGAGUGUUUUGGGGGCUCAGUCUUGGCCCAGGCCAAUCUCGCUCGUUAGGUUUGGUUGGAACAUAAUCAGGUCUAAAGCAACACUUGAUAAUUAUCAGAGUGAACUGAACCAAAAUAACUUGGCCCUAUUUAAGGCUAGGCUCAGGUUAGCGAAUGUUUCAAUGUGAUAAUUGAAAAACGAGUGUAAAAUAUACAACUGUAGAUUAAACUUGCCUUGGCUCAUGAUCUAGUGAGCUCCCCCAAUUGUAAUCCUCUACUAGCAUAACAAAACUCAAAAUGCUUGGAUGAUUAAUUGCGCAAUGAACACAUGUAGGAGAAAGAGUGAAAAAGCAAUAAUCAACAAUUGAGAAAGAAAAUUUGAUUUUAUAUUAGCAUUAACAACAUAUGGGCGUGUUUGGUUCGAAGUCGGAGUCGGAAUCGGAAUCGGAAUCAAAAUAAGCUGGAAUCAAAAUCGGAAUGANNNNNNNNNNNNNNNNNNNNNNNNNNNNNNNNNNNNNNNNNNNNNNNNNNNNNNNNNNNNNNNNNNNNNNNNNNNNNNNNNNNNNNNNNNNNNNNNNNNNNNNNNNNNNNNNNNNNNNNNNNNNNNNNNNNNNNNNNNNNNNNNNNNNNNNNNNNNNNNNNNNNNNNNNNNNNNNNNNNNNNNNNNNNNNNNNNNNNNNNNNNNNNNNNNNNNNNNNNNNNNNNNNNNNNNNNNNNNNNNNNNNNNNNNNNNNNNNNNNNNNNNNNNNNNNNNNNNNNNNNNNNNNNNNNNNNNNNNNNNNNNNNNNNNNNNNNNNNNNNNNNNNNNNNNNNNNNNNNNNNNNNNNNNNNNNNNNNNNNNNNNNNNNNNNNNNNNNNNNNNNNNNNNNNNNNNNNNNNNNNNNNNNNNNNNNNNNNNNNNNNNNNNNNNNNNNNNNNNNNNNNNNNNNNNNNNNNNNNNNNNNNNNNNNNNNNNNNNNNNNNNNNNNNNNNNNNNNNNNNNNNNNNNNNNNNNNNNNNNNNNNNNNNNNNNNNNNNNNNNNNNNNNNNNNNNNNNNNNNNNNNNNNNNNNNNNNNNNNNNNNNNNNNNNNNNNNNNNNNNNNNNNNNNNNNNNNNNNNNNNNNNNNNNNNNNNNNNNNNNNNNNNNNNNNNNNNNNNNNNNNNNNNNNNNNNNNNNNNNNNNNNNNNNNNNNNNNNNNNNNNNNNNNNNNNNNNNNNNNNNNNNNNNNNNNNNNNNNNNNNNNNNNNNNNNNNNNNNNNNNNNNNNNNNNNNNNNNNNNNNNNNNNNNNNNNNNNNNNNNNNNNNNNNNNNNNNNNNNNNNNNNNNNNNNNNNNNNNNNNNNNNNNNNNNNNNNNNNNNNNNNNNNNNNNNNNNNNNNNNNNNNNNNNNNNNNNNNNNNNNNNNNNNNNNNNNNNNNNNNNNNNNNNNNNNNNNNNNNNNNNNNNNNNNNNNNNNNNNNNNNNNNNNNNNNNNNNNNNNNNNNNNNNNNNNNNNNNNNNNNNNNNNNNNNNNNNNNNNNNNNNNNNNNNNNNNNNNNNNNNNNNNNNNNNNNNNNNNNNNNNNNNNNNNNNNNNNNNNNNNNNNNNNNNNNNNNNNNNNNNNNNNNNNNNNNNNNNNNNNNNNNNNNNNNNNNNNNNNNNNNNNNNNNNNNNNNNNNNNNNNNNNNNNNNNNNNNNNNNNNNNNNNNNNNNNNNNNNNNNNNNNNNNNNNNNNNNNNNNNNNNNNNNNNNNNNNNNNNNNNNNNNNNNNNNNNNNNNNNNNNNNNNNNNNNNNNNNNNNNNNNNNNNNNNNNNNNNNNNNNNNNNNNNNNNNNNNNNNNNNNNNNNNNNNNNNNNNNNNNNNNNNNNNNNNNNNNNNNNNNNNNNNNNNNNNNNNNNNNNNNNNNNNNNNNNNNNNNNNNNNNNNNNNNNNNNNNNNNNNNNNNNNNNNNNNNNNNNNNNNNNNNNNNNNNNNNNNNNNNNNNNNNNNNNNNNNNNNNNNNNNNNNNNNNNNNNNNNNNNNNNNNNNNNNNNNNNNNNNNNNNNNNNNNNNNNNNNNNNNNNNNNNNNNNNNNNNNNNNNNNNNNNNNNNNNNNNNNNNNNNNNNNNNNNNNNNNNNNNNNNNNNNNNNNNNNNNNNNNNNNNNNNNNNNNNNNNNNNNNNNNNNNNNNNNNNNNNNNNNNNNNNNNNNNNNNNNNNNNNNNNNNNNNNNNNNNNNNNNNNNNNNNNNNNNNNNNNNNNNNNNNNNNNNNNNNNNNNNNNNNNNNNNNNNNNNNNNNNNNNNNNNNNNNNNNNNNNNNNNNNNNNNNNNNNNNNNNNNNNNNNNNNNNNNNNNNNNNNNNNNNNNNNNNNNNNNNNNNNNNNNNNNNNNNNNNNNNNNNNNNNNNNNNNNNNNNNNNNNNNNNNNNNNNNNNNNNNNNNNNNNNNNNNNNNNNNNNNNNNNNNNNNNNNNNNNNNNNNNNNNNNNNNNNNNNNNNNNNNNNNNNNNNNNNNNNNNNNNNNNNNNNNNNNNNNNNNNNNNNNNNNNNNNNNNNNNNNNNNNNNNNNNNNNNNNNNNNNNNNNNNNNNNNNNNNNNNNNNNNNNNNNNNNNNNNNNNNNNNNNNNNNNNNNNNNNNNNNNNNNNNNNNNNNNNNNNNNNNNNNNNNNNNNNNNNNNNNNNNNNNNNNNNNNNNNNNNNNNNNNNNNNNNNNNNNNNNNNNNNNNNNNNNNNNNNNNNNNNNNNNNNNNNNNNNNNNNNNNNNNNNNNNNNNNNNNNNNNNNNNNNNNNNNNNNNNNNNNNNNNNNNNNNNNNNNNNNNNNNNNNNNNNNNNNNNNNNNNNNNNNNNNNNNNNNNNNNNNNNNNNNNNNNNNNNNNNNNNNNNNNNNNNNNNNNNNNNNNNNNNNNNNNNNNNNNNNNNNNNNNNNNNNNNNNNNNNNNNNNNNNNNNNNNNNNNNNNNNNNNNNNNNNNNNNNNNNNNNNNNNNNNNNNNNNNNNNNNNNNNNNNNNNNNNNNNNNNNNNNNNNNNNNNNNNNNNNNNNNNNNNNNNNNNNNNNNNNNNNNNNNNNNNNNNNNNNNNNNNNNNNNNNNNNNNNNNNNNNNNNNNNNNNNNNNNNNNNNNNNNNNNNNNNNNNNNNNNNNNNNNNNNNNNNNNNNNNNNNNNNNNNNNNNNNNNNNNNNNNNNNNNNNNNNNNNNNNNNNNNNNNNNNNNNNNNNNNNNNNNNNNNNNNNNNNNNNNNNNNNNNNNNNNNNNNNNNNNNNNNNNNNNNNNNNNNNNNNNNNNNNNNNNNNNNNNNNNNNNNNNNNNNNNNNNNNNNNNNNNNNNNNNNNNNNNNNNNNNNNNNNNNNNNNNNNNNNNNNNNNNNNNNNNNNNNNNNNNNNNNNNNNNNNNNNNNNNNNNNNNNNNNNNNNNNNNNNNNNNNNNNNNNNNNNNNNNNNNNNNNNNNNNNNNNNNNNNNNNNNNNNNNNNNNNNNNNNNNNNNNNNNNNNNNNNNNNNNNNNNNNNNNNNNNNNNNNNNNNNNNNNNNNNNNNNNNNNNNNNNNNNNNNNNNNNNNNNNNNNNNNNNNNNNNNNNNNNNNNNNNNNNNNNNNNNNNNNNNNNNNNNNNNNNNNNNNNNNNNNNNNNNNNNNNNNNNNNNNNNNNNNNNNNNNNNNNNNNNNNNNNNNNNNNNNNNNNNNNNNNNNNNNNNNNNNNNNNNNNNNNNNNNNNNNNNNNNNNNNNNNNNNNNNNNNNNNNNNNNNNNNNNNNNNNNNNNNNNNNNNNNNNNNNNNNNNNNNNNNNNNNNNNNNNNNNNNNNNNNNNNNNNNNNNNNNNNNNNNNNNNNNNNNNNNNNNNNNNNNNNNNNNNNNNNNNNNNNNNNNNNNNNNNNNNNNNNNNNNNNNNNNNNNNNNNNNNNNNNNNNNNNNNNNNNNNNNNNNNNNNNNNNNNNNNNNNNNNNNNNNNNNNNNNUUUAAAGUGUAUCAAGUUAGUACCCCGUGGUUUCGCACUUUCUCACUUUAGUACCUUGUGGUUUAAAGUGUAUCAAGUUUGUGAAACAACCGUUGUACUUUAAAAAUUUAAGCUGUUAGAGAACGGUGUUUAAACAUUUUUAUAUUUAACACUCCCCCUCACGUCUGGGCUCGAGACUUUUUAAUCGACCCAUGACGUGGGCUUGAAAUAAAUGGGAGAAAAUUAAUAUGCUAAGAGCCUGGCGUGACUCCGAUCUCAGUACCUCCUGCUCUGAUACCAUAUGAAACAACCGUUGUACUCUAAAAGCUUAAGCUGUUAGAGAACGGUGUUUAAACAUUUUUAUAUUUAACAUUUAUGUUUCAAAAAAUUUAGACAUAUUAUUGUUGGCCUCAUUACUUGUCUCUGUUAAAGGUUGGGGGUACAAUUCUCAAAUUCAAAUUCACAUUGGGUUUGAAUCUGACCUUAUGGUAAAUGCUCAAACACCUAACCACUAAACCAAGAGUGAUUUGGCAGUGGAUAAUAUCAUCUGAAAAUGGUUUUAAUAACAUAACAUGUUUAAUUAAUGGUUUUAAUGAUCUCAGUUGUCUUAAAUAGAACCAUGAUUGGGGAGGAAAUUAGAAGGUUCCAUAAAACAAUUCAUAAUACUGCAUCAUAACAAUUCAAACUGGAUCGUCAUUAUAUGUUUAAGUGUAGGUAGCCCGCUUUUAGAAAUAGACUUAGUUAGAAAUGUGAAUCAACUAGGAUUCAAACUCGGGAUCUCGGGUACCAACCACCAAGUGAAUUGUUAUAGCAGCAUUAUUACUCCGUCGAAUGUCACACAAAAUUAUAAAGAGAGAGAUGAAAAAUGAGUUAUAUCUUCUCCAACAUAGGCAAAAAAAAAAAAAAAAUCCCUGCCCCAUCCAAUGGUUUGCCCUCAGUUCCAUCAAAUACUAUAAUCUUCAACAUACCGAAAGUUACAAUAUUUUUUUUGGACAUAUAUUACAUUUAAAAUAAUUAAAUUAAAAAUAUAUUACUUUGAUCUUUCCUUUCUUUUACCAUCUAAAGCUACAUGGCCUAAAAUUAUUCUCUCUAGACAUGUAGUAAAGUUUCCACUCAAGAAGCUUUAAGAAUACCCAAGAACCAAUAAGUUCACUAGUAGUGCAUGCAUUUAUCAAAAGUGCUUGUUCCAAAGUGGCUUUUCACUUUUUCAGAAGUGGGUCUGCAUCUUUUGCUGAAUCAAGUUAAGUUUGUUCUGAGGAUUUGUGAAAGCAUGAAAGCUACUAGUCUAGUUGACCAACUUUUUCUCCUUCAAAUGUUACUAGUUCUUUUCCUCUGAGAGGUAAUAUAGUUGACAUGUAGACAACCUUUUUGGUCUUGUGCUUAGUGCCAGAGUUUCUGAUGUUUAUCCAUCUGAACAUCUGAGGCCUCAGGUAUUUGAAAGGUCUUUCCUUUCUUUCUUUCUUUCUUUCUUUAUUAUUUUUUUUUUUUUUCAAAUCUAAUAGUGUCUACAAUUAUUUGCAAAAUUAAUUCUCUCUUGAUGCAUCACCAUCACUUCAAUUAAAUGGACAACUUACUGAUAGUAUGAUGAACGUGAUAAGUAAUUCGGCGUAUUUAAGAAACAGUGAAUCACUUUGUUGUGUUUGAAAUUUUAGUCCGAAAAGAGGUCCAAUAUGGCGCCCGGCCACGUGGUAAGCGAUAAAGAUCCAUUCUACAAAUAAAGCAUACAAUAAGUAGAUAUGAAAAAUUGAGAUCAUAAUUCUAUAUCUUCUCUCAAAGCAUGGAUAAAAUUUUCGAUUACUCCUUAUCAUCAUCACCUAACCUAAGUCCACACUUCAAUUAUUUAUUGUCAUCAUCACCUAUGUCCACACUUUCAACUUUAUCUUUCUCGUCAUCAUACUUGAUUGGAAAUUAAGACAUGAUUCCUACCACAUGAAGCCUCAGAAACCUGCCAUUUAAAACAUGAAUGUGUACCAUAUUGUCACACCACUUUCUUCCUUGGCUGUUAUGUGGAAGGUGAAGAAAAGGCAUAACUGUCCAAACAAAGCAAAACUUUUAGGAAUUGUAGAAAUGUUCCAAAAUUUCUUUUAAAUUAGGACUUUUAUGAAAGGAAAAUGUUUGUUUCAGAGGGGCGGAGAUAGUUGUGAAAAAUGAUUACAAACUUCACUGAAGAUUAGUGAAGAGGGAGGUAGAUCACUAACCCAUCAGCUACAUAUUCCGUCAGAACCAAAAUAUGGAAGUUGAGAACCACAAAGAAUUACAGGGCAUCUUUAUGUCGGUAUUUACAUUCAUAAAAGCAUUAGGGUUUUCAUCUGAUCAGUGCACGCGAAACAAUCCACAGCAUGUCAAAGUCCAUUACAGUACAUUGCUUACACUAUUUUGAACUUCCAACAAAUGAGUCAAACUGAAACAAGCAACAAAAAUAUGGGUCAGAUUGCAGUCAUCACUUCAUCUGCUUCCGCCGUCAUCUGUAGACGACUCGGAUGCGGAGUCAUCUAACGUCGAAUUCGAGAUUGUUUCAGAUGAGCUCCCAUUUUCGCCAUCAGACGCCACAAAUCUUUCUUCAUUUGUCGGCCUUUUCAAGUGCCAGUACAUGAUGGUUGCUGUUAGCGUAAGUAUCAUCUUUUGGUUCACCUGCGUAAUCAUCGCUGAAACUAAGGUUUUCUGUAAUAUCUAAUUCAUAAUAGCUAUGAAAGCAAAAAAAAAAUAAAAAUAAAAAAAGAAAAAAAAAGAGUUUCUUGGAAAGGAAAUUGCUUUUCUCGAUUCCGAUUGACCAGAUUACCUCCAAAAUGUCUUCCGGAAGCAAAAAUAUGGAGCAACCAAGCUUCCUUGCUACUGAGAUAAUAUAAGAAGCGUUCAUCUUUUUCUCUUCAUCUGUACAAAAUAGCAUGUUAUUUUUCAGUUAGCAAAUCACUUUCGAAGAGGUAUAGUUUGGUUUGUAGAAGGUAUACUACUACUAAAAAGGACACUUCACAUUAUAAAAUAGCAUGACCGAUGCACAGAAUGUGUAAAUGUUAGCUUUUCGCUCUUUAAUCAUAUGAAAAGAUAUUUCAGGUAAAAUAUCUUAAUCAUGUGAAAUAUCUUUCAGAUAUGAAUGUAUUGUUUCUCCUGACGAAAAAUCUGUGAGAGGGAGCUCAAGCUCUUUAUUGAGUCUCUUUAAAAGCCAAUUUCCUUUACCUUUCUCUCCUUUAGUUACAAGGCUACAGUUCACAACUCGAGGCUCCACAGCACUGAGCAAAUCGAGAAAAAAAAUCCCACUAGAGAGGCUUCUAUCCUGGAAACAGCUUGGAAAACCAUGUCAAGUCAAAGCAAAACAAGCUUACAGAAAAGAUGCAAGAUACGCAGAAGAAAAUUUGCCAACGAAAUAAUUGGAAAAAAACAUAAAGCAUCAGCAAUUGGCUGGAUUCUGUCUUACUAGCACGAGGGAGUUAGCAACUCUUAAUAAGCAUGAAAUUGAGUGAAAAAUAAUGCAUAAUUAGAAACAUUCAGUUACACUAUGCUUAAAGUGAUGGAAAUUAUUAAACUAGAUCCUCUUUGUCGACAGGAUAACUGAUCAGAGAGUUAGUCAUAUGGACAAUUCGAAGGGAAAAAGUUAAUCAAUAACUUGAACAGUCUUACUAUCAACUGCCACAAGAACUAAUAUGGAAACAUAUCAUACCUUAAAACUGUCCAUUCGAGAGUGCUUUCCAGAGCUCUUUACUUUACUGUUGGCCCAGCUCAAUAUGUCUGCGUCCGUUAUCUCUUUCUCAUGGGAAUGAAAUCUCAGGUUUUUAAGAAGUUGCAGGAUAUUAUACCGCAUCAGUUGCCACAGAAAAGCUGAAAAAAUGUUUACAAGAAUUAGCUGAGAAAAGCUGGAAAUCGAUAAGGCAAUGCCCAAGAGCAAAAGACUCACCCAGGAUUAGUUUCUUAUUUCCUUGCACAAUAUCAUUCCCGGCAACAUUAACCAAGGAAAACUUCAGCUGUUUCCCAAUUUUCACAACUUGGUUACAGUUUUCCACUUUUCUAAAUGGCAUCUUGAUUGGGGGUUUAUUCGCGAUCUUCCAGUUAACUAUUCCAGGAGCUACCUUAUCGAUAGCCUCUAGGAGAAUCCAUCUGUAAUUUCAAAUAGUUAUAUCGACAUAUAGUAGAUUUAACAUCAGUUACAUUCCAAUUGCAGCGUAUCAGCAGAAAAAACAAAAAUACUAAAUCCCAUAAUAUACCCAUUUCUAAGAUCUUCAAAUACAUUGUUAAUAUAGGUUGAAAUUCCAAGACUGUUGAGCCAUAGUCGAAAGGCUCUUUCAUCCCUUGAAACUUGUGCAUCGUCAAGUGAUGUUUCCAGAAAAGAUACUUGUUUCAUUUGCGCUGAUAAUCCAUUCCUGUAUAUGAUGUUUUAGUUAUAGCCAGUUGCAACUUGUUAAAGAUGUUUAGUGCAAGUGUAAUACAAAGAUGGAGCAAAGGAAAAUGACAUGAAAUAAGAAGCCAUGUUCACAAGACUGGUAUGAUUCAAAUAGAAACAAUCAAGGAGAAAGAGAACUAAGAAUUUUGGUCCGGUGGUUGAACCCAACCACGUUGCUACUACUGUUAGUCAGGUCAAUAUUAUACAUCCCAUGAUGGGCAGUAGUCCCAACAGUAGCUGCAUAGGUUACAACAUAGAGCAAAUUAACCAAAAAACAAGGCAAUUAUGCAGUACAUCAUAAUAAUCACCUGUUAUAGAAUAAUAUGCUUCAUAUGUAGACCAGAGACAUUUUAAGCAUGAAAAAGAAACCAUGCAGUUACACAAUAUGUUUUGUCAAGCAGAAUUUAUCAUGAGAGCAAAAAGAGACCUACACCAACAUGAGAGAAAGUAGUGAGGAAAAUACAUAAUAGCACUAGAAUUUGACAAAGGAUCUUACUCAACACAGUGAUGGAUGGACCAUAAAGUUGCGUCUAAUGAACCUAAGCAGCUGUGAAGAGAAGCUUCGUUGAUUUCACUACUUAAUUAGCAAUUGCUUAUUAUUUACAACCAGUUAAGAAACUUAUUCCUGGAUCAUUUUCAUGUAGAUUGUAAUACCCUUGUAGACUCCAAGCACUGGAUAAAAGGCUUCUCUAAAAAGGAAAAGGGCAGCAAAGUGAUGUUUAUAUCCAAAUUUUUUACUGAAAAUACAAGCAUAAUCAAAAUGAGCUGAUGAGAAGUUAGCUAACGGCACACACCUUUUCUGAAAUAUAUGAGCAACAAAGGCAAGAUUGAGAUUUGGCAAGCCGUCAACAAUAUCUCUUGGGGUCAGAUAUCUUUUGCAGCCCAUCCUAUCUGCAUGUUCAAGAACUAACUUUGCCCUUGCAAGAAGAUCUUUCACAUCCAUGGGAGAUGGUUUACUAGCAUGUUCAGGUGCCAGAACAUUGAGCAGACAAGAAUAAGCCUCUGAAUCCUGCAAUUCCAGUGAGGUAAUAACUGAAAGGUAAAUUGAAUCCCUUUGGAACAAUUAGAAAGUCUUAAUGUUUUCUGUGGCAAAGUUUGUAUAGUUUUGAUGUCUAGAUAUUCUAAAAGCUGUUGAAAAAGCUGUCGAAAAUGAUUGACAACAGGGUUCCUCAAUAUAAGAUAGAGGCAAAAGCAAGUUACUGUAAAUGCAACCUAAAGCAAUACUACAGGAGAGGAGCAAAAGGAUUUAUUUUUCGAGCCUCUCGUGAAGGCAUGCCAUUUACACUGAAAUUACAAUUGUGAUAUAAUAAGUUUCAACCACAUAUCAUUUCCAAAAUUAGAUACGUAUUUGUCUAUCAAUUUUGGUCUUGUUAAACCUACCUCGAUUAAAGUGACCUCAAGCGCUUGUGUGCAACCGACGAUUACACAGAAUUCCUUCCCCGUGUAUAUUGAUAAAUCAUUACAUUUAAGCCCCAAAAAUAGCUCUAUAAAUGUGUCUGGUCAGCACCAUCAUGUACAGGAAGUAAAAUUUCACUAAAGAAAUUAACAAACAGGCAUAUAUAGUAAGGCAAACUACAGGAAACUUUGGAGUAAAUUGUCAACUUAUAUGAUCUACAUUUGGAAUAUGUGUUUGCUAUAUCAGCAACAUAAAGAAUCACUUAAACAAAGAAGUAAAAUUUUCUAAAGUUGAACUAAGCAACAAGACUGUAUCCAUUAAUGACUGGGCACUUGUGCUGAUGCACAGGGCAUGAUGGACACACCUCCAUCUCACGACACAGAAAACCUCGAAAUUACCUACCUUCACAUCUGAUGAGAAAUUCGUUACGAGCCUCCGCAAGCCACCUUUCUUCAGUUGAAAGUUCAUCCACCUGAGUAAAAUCUUUUCGGGAGAUAAGCUCAGCAACUCCUCAACAUCCUACAAUUUUUUAUUUUAAUACAUUAUGUUUCAACUUCUAAACUACAACAAGCAUGAAACUUCUAAAGAGACAGGUAGAGAAUAUAGGACUUUACCUUGCUAUCACCAACCAAUUCAACUAAUUGAGGCGUUUUCUUCAGGUUAACAUCUGCCAAAAGUUGUAUCUGAUAUUGGCAUUAGAAGAGAGGGGGUUAGUAGCUUUUUCUUAAUAUACAUAAUGCAAGGAUAUGAGAAAGAUAUUUCAGCAGCCGAAUUUUGACGAUUAUCCCUAUAAAUGAAACCUUUAUAGACGCCCCAUUGGCAUUCACAAAUAUAUAACGAGAAUUAAGUAACAUAACGAAAGGACUACGACAUACCUUAAUAAUUUGAGAUAUCAACCCAAGGACAAGAUGAGGCUGCAAGAAUAGAUUGUAAAACUCAAAAUGUUGUAAUAGGAACAAGAAGGCGAUGAUAUUCAACAACAACAUUCCACAUGCCUCGGAAUCAAUACUGUUAUAUCGACAAACGGAGGAGGAAGCUAACAAUGAUACAAUACGACAAUUGCAAUAUAACAGGAGUUUAUACACAGCUCGACAACAAUCAUAAGGAAAUGCGCGCUGAGAUGAUUUCAAUUAGUGAAUACUUACCCUCCCUUCAGCUAGAUCUUGUGUGCCGAUAUUGACCAGCGUACACCCGAUCGCCUUAGCUGAGUUAAGGCACAGCGUAUGGUUCUCGUUCUUCUCCCAUGGGUUCAGCACUCUCUUUGUGUUGAUCGCCCGCUCGUCGAUGGUCCCCGGAACAGCCACAUUGAUGAGUUUACUUCGCAAUCGAGAACCACCCUUAGAUACCACCUUAUUUAAAGCAAGCAAAAUAAAGAGGCUAAAGCUGAAGCUAAAGAUUCAUUUACCAUAGAAGGACACCAUCCUUUGAGAUCUCGAAGAGAUCAUUGGUCAUGGGAUCGAUAGGAAGAUACUUCUUAAGAAACGCAUCUUCGCCGAGAUAGUUAUUGAUAUGGUUUACAUAAGAGGCCUUUUCCGACUCACUGAUGGUGUGGAGCAGAGUCGUCGUCGCGGCCUUGAGGAAGGCCGACGACGAGCUCUUCGCGCCGAUCCGGCCCUGCAUCUUCAAAUAAACCUGCAAUUCUCAAUCCAAAUCCAAGUCAACAACACAACACCAAACUUUGGAAAAUGGGUGUUUUACCCAAAUUGGAGAAAGGAGAUGAAACAGACCCGCAGGAAGAGCUCGAAAUCGACGGCGUCGUCGAGAUUGGAGUGAGACUCUCUGAUAAAACAAUCCCUCUCGUCCUCCGUGAGGCCGUCGCCGACGAUCUUCAAUCCGGACAUCGCAGACGCAAGGUCGCGGAGCUUCAGACCGCCGUCGGCUUUGCUACUACCGUGAUCUUUCAUCGACGUAAACUAAUUAUAGGAAGAACCAUCAUAUAUAAUGUAGUAAAGUUGAAAAAGUGAGAAUAAAAAUAACUUAAUGAGAAAAAAUGGAGAUUGUUAUUAUUAUUGUUAUUAUGACCUUGGAUUUGAGGGAGCGGAGCUCUACUUGGGUGAACUGGUUCUGGAGCCAAGGAUCUGAGACCAAAACGCCCACAAAACCAGCCAUUUUUUGGGGUUCCUGUGUGUUGAGAUCCCAGAAGGGAUCUCUCUUGCUUCUUUUUUUUUUCCUUCUCUUUGCUAGGGUUUGUGAUGGAGCUGGUUGGUGAGCUUCUUCUCUUGAUCUUGUGGGGGACUGCUACAAUGGAAAUGUGGGGGUGGAGAGAGAGAGAGAGAGAGAGAGAGAGAAAAGAGAGAGAAAGAUUGAAGGGGAGUGGGGCUUCUCUGCAGCUCAGAGUGUGUGUAAAGUAGGGGAAUUUUUGCUUGUACUUGGUGUACACACGUAAAUUUCAUGCACCUUACUUGUUGUAGUAGAAAACUUGAAAUCAAUAUAUAAUUUGUUGAAUAUAUUUUAGGAUAAAUUUCAAAUAGCACUCCUAUGAUUUCACAUUUUCUCACUUUAAUAACUUGCGGUUUAAAGUGUAUCAAGUUAGUGUACCGUAGUUUCAUUUUUAUUUUUUCAUCAGCUUUUUCGUUAGUAUUUCAUUAAAUUAUAUGCAAAAAAUUCAAAUAUCUCACCUAGGUUUAUCGAAUAUUUACUUUAAUACUUUUUAGUUUUAACUUUAUCACUGAUUUAAAAAAAAAAUAGUAAAAUUAAUAAUAAAAAAAUAAAAAUAAAAUCACAGGGUACUAAAUUGAUACACUUUAAACCACAUGAUACUAAAAUGCGAAAAUGUGAAAUCACAAUAAUAGUAUUUGAAGUUUUUCCUAUAUUUUAUAACAUGCGAAUUUCUUAUGUAUAAAAUAAUCACCUUUUUUGAAUGUCUAUUCAUCGCAAAUUUUUAGCAUGCCAUUUUAUAUUUUCAUUUUUUAAGACUAAUGAACGCUUGAAUGCUAGAGCAAGAGAAUUUUCGAAAGAAUGAUUUUUACAUAUAAACCGUACAUAUUAUAUUUUAGUUUUGAAUUUUAAAAUCCUAUUCGUUAUUUUAUUUGCAUGAGAAAAAAUAUUAAAAAAAUAACUUUCUCUCCUACAAUUUUGAUUAAAAAAUAAAGGAUAAAUUAAAGUUUCCUUUCAGUCCCUGCACUUUUGAGGAGAAAAAAUUUGAUGGUUUUAGAAGAUCAUUUUUUUUUUCUUUGAUUUUCUUUUUUUUCCUUUCCCCAUUCAAUUGAGCUGAUAAUGCGGUGCAUUAGAUUUGUGGAUACACCGGGUGCAGGGAAUAGUUUCUCGGGCAACGGAAAGCAGCAGAAACGUACGAAGAAAAGGCUCCGUGAGAAUUUUCAAAUUUAGGCCGUUCAAUUAAUUUACUCUCGUUUCGUAAUGUAAGUGGGAAUCGAUUGGGAAACGAGAAACGUAUAAAUUCCAAAAAUCCUACUCUGUAUCGUUUCCCAAAUGUCAAUAUAUUUUGUUGCUUUACAUCGCUGAUCGCUGGGUACAAGCGCGCAGGGGAAACGGGAAACGUCGAAGAUUUGAAUCGAGUUUCUCAUUCAAAUUAGUGGGAAAGUGACGGUUAAAACUAUUUUAGCUUCUCCAUCAUUUCAGGAGCUGAUCCCUCAGGCCCACUUGGCCCACUAUUAAUUUUUUUUUUAUAAUUUAAAAUAUAUAAUUUUAUAUUGAGAAGUUUAAAUAUUAUUUUGAUUGUUUUAUACAUUUAUCAGAACAUAUAAAAUUAUGAGUUUGAAUCCUAAAAAUUCUAAUUCUUCCAAAUUGAUAUUUUGAACCUCGUAAAGGACUCCAAUCCAGAAAAUAAAUUUUCAAAAUACAAACUAAACGGAUGAAAAAUACUUUUUUAGCCAAUAAAAAAAACCACCUGGAAUAUUUUUUAAGCACUCAAGCAACUCCCGAAAAAAAGUGUUGGACGUAAAAUAUUAAAACAAGCUUACAUUUUUAAAUGUUCAUAGUAUUUUCUUUCAAAAAGUGUUAUGGCAUCAUAUUUUUAAAUUUUUCGCAGCAUAUUUUCUGUUAGAUCUCAAGGAAAGCCAAAUUAACUACAAGCAGUUUCAAGGCAUUUAAUCAACAAAAAAUUCAUCAUCAAUAACCCACUUAUUUGGUACUAUGGCCUGCUUUUUACAGCACAACAGGACUAUGACAAACAUAUACAUGUAGUCUUUUUAAUUACUAGACUAGAAUCUAAAAGCAAAUCUUUCUCACAGUGAAGUUACAUAAACACGGUAAGAAAAGAAAAAUCAAACAUUCUUCAUCUAUCUCAUAUUUCCGCGAGCAGAGAAAAUCCCGCGAAUUCAAACUUCGCAGAUGGCUAAAUUACAAAAAAUCCUCCAGUAAUAAUCCGUUUUUUUACUUUUCUUCCCCGACAUUUAAAAGCCUAUACUUUUCUCCACUGUAAAAUAAAAAAUAUUCACAUGAAAGUUACGGUGUGUAAAAUGACCAUUUUGUCUCUCGUCAUUGUCGUCUUCUUCCCGAUCUUCCUCAGCCGCUCCUUCGUUCAGCCGCGAUUUUCACCUCAAUCGGCCGCGAUUUCUCUCUAUUUCCUUCUCCACCUGCUCCCCUUCUCCUCCUGCACCCUCGCCGUCCUCGAUUUCGGCGACAGUAGGAGAAAACCGAGGUGGGCGACAGUAGGAGAAGGGCAAAGAAGGCGAAGGCGAGGCGGCGGAGGACGGCGAAGGCGAGGCGGCGGGGGCGAGGCAGUGGAGGACAGCGAGGCGGCGGCGAGGUGGCGAGCCAGAGGGAGGCGAAGCAACAGGAAGAUGACGGAGGGGUAUUAUCGACAUAAAAAUAUAUUUUUUAACGGAACCCUAACGGUAGAGGAUAAAGUGCAUAUUUUUUAUUUUACAGGAGGCAAAGUGUAGAUUUUUAAAUGUCAGGAAGGAAAAGUAAAAAAACACAUUAUUACAAGAGGAUUUUCUGUAAUUUAGUCUUUUUUUUUUUUUUUUCUGUGAAUUGCAAUGCAAUUCAUCUCUUCAUCUACGUCGAUCAUUUAACUCCGACAAGAAACUUCAAGAACCGAAGAUUAUCGCUUGCUCCGAUUAGAUCGAACGGGUCGCUCAAAGAGAUAGGCGGCUCUACUCCGGUGAAGACGAGAAGCGCUCGGAGUUCCGCGGCACAUGAUGAGUGUAAAGUAUCACUGUAUCCCAGUAUAGUUCGCAAAGCCUCAAUUUGGUCCCAUAUCACUUCCUCACUGUACAGUAACUGCAGGACAAAGUCAUAAGUUUAGAACAACCUGAUUGUCGCGGAAACAAUGAUUGAUGUAACUUUAGAUAUGGAUAGCAAUUAUGUGAAAAAAGAUAAAAUGUACUAAUUAAGUGAGAUAUGAUAUAGCUCUCAAACACAAAAUUGGCACCAAUCUAUAUAGGAUAUGCUGAAUACUGGAAAGUAGAAAGAUGUUGUUGAGUAUCAGUUAUUCACCACAUUAAAAUACCAAAAAACUCACUAGAUACAUAGAUAAACUACGAAAAGUUUAUUUAUUUAUUUAUUUAUACACUAUAUGUCAUAAACGAUUGAUCAGAUCGUCUUUUCUCAGUAGUUUUUUUUUUUUUUUUUUUUUUUUUUUCUUUAUGUUUUUGUAUUUGCCCAAAAUAUAUGGGCAAAAUGUACGCAAGGUACAAUCAGUAUUUUGCAAAGAAAACACUAGUUGUUACAGCAUGGGCAAAAUGUAUGGAUUGUCUCCUUAUUAUACGUACGGAUAUUUUGACUCUGCCAUAAUUUUUCUAACUUAAAUACUUUUGUCCGUGAUAAUCUCAUUCCAGACGAAUAAUUUAGAAACAGCGUAUCAUUAGCAAUUAGCAUAUUACUACUCAUCUACCAAUUUUUUACAUAAUCUUUUACUAAAAAGUUGCAUAUAAAAUAAAAUAUUCGUAUACAACAUAUAUGCAAAUAACUUAUAUUUGAAGACACAAAAAAAAAAGAAAAAGAAAGAAGCAGUGAAUUGAGGGAACCUCGUCAUCUUCAUCCGACGUGUACGGAUCGAAGCCGAACCGAGGGUGUUCGAUCGAUCGACCGCUUUGGUAAAGAUAAGGAGAAGAAGAGGGGAGGAGGGCGCGGAUGAGGCGGUGGGUGCAGGCGAGGGCGGCGAGGCAGGCGGCGAAGGGGAGGGAGAGGGCGAUGCCGACGGCCGAGAGCGCCAGCGCCGGCGGCACCACCGCUGGCGCCGCCGCCACGGCCGCUCCCGCCACCGCCGCCUUCUUCAACCUGCUCCACCCCCUCUCCUUCUCAUCUACUUCUUCGACUAAUUCCCCAACUCCCUCUUCUUCUUCUUCUUCAAAUUGCUCUUCGUCUUUAAAUUUAUUUGCGGAUUUUAGAUCGGAGUUUUGCGAGUAGGGGGCGAUUUUGGGAUCCAUCUCAUCUCUGCAAGGAGANAAUUUAUUGGCAAAAUAGAUAAUGGCCAAUUUGUAUAAAAUAUUUAGUAAUUUUGUAUUUUUAUAAAUAUAGAUAUUAGUUUUUUAAAUUUUGCAAAAUUAUAAGAGAGAAAAAGAAACGAGAUAGCAACCAAAAAAAAAAAAAAGAGAGAAAAAAAAAUAAAGAUAUUUUAUCUAAUUUAACAAAUCUAAAAAAAAUGGUCUAAUAUUGUAAAAAUAUAAAAUAGAUGGAUUCUUUUACGCAAAUUAGCCGUAAAUUAUACUGCAUAUAUAAAGUACGAAAACAAUAUAUAUUAUUUCUUCCUCUAACCCCCAUCUAAGUAUAAAAUUGUUAUAUUUCUUUCCAUUAGAAUUAAAAAAAGAAAUCCUGGAAAAAAACUGUUAUUAAUUUGCCAUGUUAGUAAAUGUAAAUCUUCCACCCCCAUCUGAGAAUUUAAAUUUCUUUUUUGAGAUUUUAAUGUUCAAAAAACUAAAUUCAUAAAGCGAGUAAGUAAACAUGAAGCUUUCGACAACUAAGAUGUAAAAUUUACACAACUUUAAAAAGAUUUCUAAAUACAAACUGGUUAAUAUCAUUGCCCGAAAACAAAUGGAGGAACGCGUAAACAAAAAUAAAUAACUAAAUAAAUAAACAAGAUGUUGAUACAUCCAAAUCCGAAACAGAAAUAGUAAUCACAGAAGCUCAAUGUGUGAUACUUGAUGAUCUGAUGCCAAACCAACAAACAAAAUCUACUUCUUACAACAGCAGCUUAAAGCACUUGAUAACACAAAAGAUAACAUGAUAGAAAAGACAUUGAGAAGAAACAGAAACAAAAGCACACAGAUUAUCAUUCUCAAUUCACAAUCAUUCUACCGUUUGGUUCGGGGUUAAAAAAAAACUAGUUAUUCCAGGAAUAGGGGAUAGGAUUAAGUUCAGAGUUAAGGUAGGAUUAGAAUAUUUUUGUGUUUGGUUGGGGGUUAGAGUUAGUCCAGAAUAGUAAAAAAUAGUGUUUGUUAGAGUAGAUGGGAUAAGAAGGAUAGUGAAUUAUUAUGAAUAGAAAAUAAUGUUUGGUUGGAAUUUUGUGGGGUUUGGUGGGAUUAGCUAACCCGGGAUAGCCCAUUUGAGGUGGGAUUAGCUAACCCCACUCAUUUUUGUUUUUUGUAGGUGUUUGGGGAUAAUAUGGGGGUUAAGGGGUUAUUCCACCCCUUAACCCCCAACCAAACGGAGAAACCAUAUCAGAUUAUCUCUCUUUAUGAGGUGCAAUCCCGCCGUCUUGUAACCAGCAUUUCAUAUAUAUUUCAUAAUUAUUUGGAUAAUCUAAGUUGUAAUUAUUUGAAAAGUAAAAUAAAAAAUUAUGCUGUGAUAAUUUUUUUUUUUUUUUCCUAUCCAAAGUUUUGCCGUCUUGUGAUCCAGCUAAUGACAGCAGUACGAGCAUGAUGGAUAUUGACGGUUGGUUCGGCGUAGCUUUUGGAUCACCGUUAGGUGUGUUAAUUUUCUCGCUAAACUCUCAUUCGCCUCUUUUUAGCAAUGCAAUUGGCUUUUUGCCUCAUCCCCAUCACAUCCUCUUCGUGCAGUGUAGUUGGAAGGAGAGAGUGCUCAGUAGAGACCCCCCUUUACAACUAGCAGUUCCUCUGCAAAAGAUCUACUAUAUCUAAUAUAGUUGGCUAAAGAUUAAUAAUUUGUAUUAAAAAACUAAAAUUUGAAAUCAAAUUAUGAUUUUGCUUAAAAAAAUGAGAGAUGCAGGAUUGCGAAAAGAAAAAUUCCUUUAUUCUACUACCUCUACUAAAUUCAGAUGUGCAGUUUCAUUACAUGAGCUCACAGUAGAGUGGACCAAAAUUGAGUCUGAUCCGUGCUUUGUCCGAAUUAUUUCACAGAUUGGGCUAGGUCGCCAGGCCAGGCUAAAUCUGACACAAGUAGAGGUGGGUUGGGAUUACUGUUUUGUUCAGUUGGAACGGUCCAGUCACUUUGGACCGAACUUUCGUCUACAAUAGCCGCGAAUAUUUUCAAACCGAGAAAAUUUAGUCGGGCUAAAUUCGAUCCUUCCCAAACUUUAGCUCGACUUAACUAAAGUUUAACUAAUUUUAAGUGCAAUAUACUCUUGAAUAAUUUUUUUUUUUGCAUUAGCAUUUGAAAUUAGCCAAAUAAUUUUUUUAAAAGAUUUACAAACUUUAUGCACUAGUCAUCCUCUACGUUACUUACAAAAAAGCCAAAAAAAAAAAACAAAAUCCAUGCAUUGACCCGGGCGCGGCACUGUCCGGUGGAAAAAAUUCUAGAAUGCAACGGAUAUAUCAGUGACGUGGCGUAACAAACCAAUCGAAUUAAUCCUUUUAAGAAUAUAUGUCCCAUCAUGGUUGUAAAAAAAUAUUUUUAUUAUACUUUUGUUUGAAAAGAAAGAAAUGUGAUUGGCUUGUUAUUGAUGAUAUGCUGUAAGUGUGACAGUGUUGAAUUCCUCGUCCGGUGGAUAAGUGCUGGGUUCCAUCAAGUUUUCUCCUGCUUGUCUUGCCAGUCUGCCACGUGAGAGCGAGCGAGCAAGCGAGGGAGGGCAGCGAAAAAAAGAAAAACGAAAAAAGAAAAAAGAAAAAAGAGGGGGAAGCAAAAGCAACUCUGCGAGGUGAUCCUAAUCCUGAUUAAUUAUUAAUAUUAUUUUUAUUAUUAUUAUAUUUUUGGCAGAAGUCUCGACCGCACCGCGGCGAUCUACAGCUAGCAGACUAGAAAAGGAAGGCCCGAAAGUCGGUUGAUGCAACCGCCGUCCCUGCUUUCUCUCGCCAUUGACUCGGCCGCCCUCCACAUCUCCGCCAUCCCCGAUCUCUCCGCCAUCCCCGAUCUCAUCCUCAUCGACCUCUUCCUGGUACCCAUCCAGCCAACAUCCAAAACAUUAAUUGCAAUCAUAAUAAUAAUCAUCAUACUGCAGAUCUCUUUUUUCUCUCAAUCUUUUUGUGGGAUGCUAAUUUUCAAUGAGAGUUGCUGCACUUGGGUAAUUCAAGGAUCUUCUAUCUUGCCCUAGAAAGAUAAAUUAUUUAAAGGCAUCAGUUGAAUCUUGUUGUUUGAUUUAGGGUUUUAAGUAAUGCUGUGAUGCUAUGAAUUGUUUCGAUUGUGCCUUCAUGAAUUUGUUAUUUGUUGUUUACUUGACCCAUCUCAAAGAUCCCUUUCUUUUUUUUACUUGGAACUUGUACUUAGUUCUCGAUGUUCGAAUUUGUAGAUCUCUUUGCAUCCACCAAAUGCAGACUUUGACUUUCGCAAUGUGCUUCUAUCUACGGCGCACAUCGCAACUCUUAGUGCAGGUUACAGCUAAUGCUGUUUGUUUUGAGUACCACAAAAUGCGCAUAAGAUGUUACUUGGUAUCGAAGUUACAGAGCUGCGACGUUCGGCUUUGAUUAUGUUAGAGAUCCGAACAUAGGCAAUCAUGACCUUGAGUUCAGGGGUUCCCUUCAAGGUGUUAUAUCUAAGUGGCUUGUGCUCCUUAAGCCUCCGUUAGUUUUACAUGUGUAAAAUCUCGUCAUUUAUGAUUGCACCAUCUCGAAUUCUUUGCCAUAUACNNNNNNNNNNNNNNNNNNNNNNNNNNNNNNNNNNNNNNNNNNNNNNNNNNNNNNNNNNNNNNNNNNNNNNNNNNNNNNNNNNNNNNNNNNNNNNNNNNNNAAAGAGAGAGAUUCAGGGGAAAGGCUUACACAUAAUUCCAUGACGGAUGCAAUGUUAAAAAAACCAUGCCACCCUGCCUUGAAUAUAUAUAUCGCCUUUCCCUACAUCAUUGCUAUUUUUUAAAAAAAUCCAUGCCUCAAACUGAACUGGAUUAGAUCAGAAUGUAGCUAGCAGCUUUCAAUUCAUCAUAUGACCUCUUUGCAAUCUUACACUGAGUUAUGUUCAGCUACAAAUAAUUUCAGCUUCGAAUUAUCUUCAAAUCAAAAAUCAAAGUUGUAUAAAAAAAAAUAUAGAAACUGUAUGAUGCAGUCAUAAAGUAUGAUCAGCAAUACAUGGGUGCUGUCAUAAAUUAUGGCAAUGAGAAAAUUAUAAAUCAAGCAUAAAGUCAGGAUGCAAAGUUCUGUGUAUCAAAUAAAAUUUUAAGAAACUGUGGUUUGUAAAAUAUCUUGAAAUAGUUUAAAAAUGAAAUUUAACAGCAUGCGAGCAAAAGAGACAGACAGAUCCAAAAUACACUAGAAAAUUGGGUAAAAUCCAUAAAACCUCACCUCGACGAGAUUAAUAGAAGCAGAAAUUAUCAAGAGUGAACUUCUACACAGCACAGAUAUAGUAUAAGAAGCAAGAUCAGAUUCCAGCAAGAUGCAAAAAAGAACCAGUACCUUCGAAUCCCACUCAAUUUUAUGAUGAAAGGGGGCACAAAUAGUCCAUGCCUUCUACCUGCAAGGCUAGUGGUCGCACUAAAUGGGCGCUUGACAACACAGGCGCAUACAUCCUGCAGAACCACCUCGAUUUCUUGCCUCAGAAGCCCACAACAGAUUUUGAGCGAAGGAAAAACCAAUUUAUACCAGUCAAAUCCGAGGUUGAGAGAGGGAUACAAAAGAAACAGAUCUCAACUGGGAUCUUCCUCACAGACUGGCGAGAGGAGUAUAGAAGAAGAAAGUAAAGGCAAAGAGGAGUUACCGAUGAACGCAGAUCUGAUACAAGAUCUCGCUCAUUGAUUAUGCUGACUGCCGAAAUGACAAAAGAGAUAAAGCGAUGGUUUAUGCUCGCCCACACGAGGGGAGGGAGAUCGGCGGAGUAAUGAGCGAAGAGAGAGUAGGUGAAGAGGCAUUAACGAAGAAGAAGAGGCGAAGGUAGGUGAAGAGCAAAACGAAGAAGAAGGAGAAAGGGCAUCGCAGCUUUUUCCAACCCAUGCCCUGGAUAACCAGCGGAAAUGCCCUAUUCCGCUGGUCCAGGGGUUAGCUCUUAACGGUUAUCCAAGGAUAACGCCUUAAGAGCGGGAUUAAUUAUCCCACCAAAAAACUGCACUGUUUGGAAGGUUUAGCAGGAUAAAAUGGUCUAAACCCACUUUAUCCUGCCAACCAAACACUGCCUAAGGGUACAUAUGCAAAUUUCCCCCAGAUUAAAAUCAAGCCUACGGGUGGUUGGGGGUCCUUCUGCAGCCUUUUUGCCCUUCCCACCCUUUCGGCUCCGCCUUUCUCUUUUAAGUUAAAUAAUAAAAUAAAUAAAAAAACCCAACUUUUUUCCCCUUUUUUUAAAAAAUAUUUUUAAUUAUUUGAGUUACUUUGUCUUGGCCCCCACCAACUCUCUCUAUAUAUACAGGCCAAGAGAGAGGCCACAUUCCACAAUCAAAAGGAGGGGAAAAAAAAUCAUCACACGCAAACUCGCGGAGGAGAGAAAAAGCGAAAAGAGAGAAAAGUAGGGAGAUACAUAGAAAAGAAAGAAACAAAAGUUUUGUUUCGAAGAGAGAUGGACGCGAAGGGCGGUCGCGUCCAGAACGGAUUCCGACAGUGGCUGGAGGCGGGGAGCGACGCCAUCCCCGCUCCGGAUGUUCAAAUUUUGACCUCCGGUGGCCGCAAAAUUUCCGCCCAUUCUGCAGUUCUUGUGAGCACCCGAAACCUUCAAUUGACAAGACAUUCAAAACUUUAUGUACUACAAUACAAUUAGAUACUCUCGAAUCGCAGAAGCUCACUGAGCACACAAUCGAUGUCUAAUCAUAUGCACUUUUUUAAAAAAGUAUUAAAUUUAUAUUUGUUUGUUUGUUUGUUUGUUUGUGUUUUUUAAGGCCGCGGCGUCGCCUGUGAUGGAGAGUAUAUUGGAUCGGGCACAAAAGCGUGGAAAAUCGCGCAGGGUUAUUCGGAUCCUGGGAGUCCCCCAUGAUGCUGUAACCGUGUUUGUGCGGUUGAUCUACUCCUUUGGGUAUGUGUUCUUUUUUCUUCCUUUUUUUCCUUUUUUUUGGGUGGGGGUUUAAAUUGAUUCUAUUUAAAUGUUUAGUUAAAGAAAGGAAAAGUAAAUCUAAUGCAUUGAGGACCCCAUGUUUAAGGAGAAAUUAUUGCCCUGUAGCGUGAUGUAGUACCAUGCUAUGCUUUUAAUUAAAAAUAUUUUAAAUUUCGUUUGAUUCGGAUAUAAAUAAAAAUUAUUUAACAUAGGAAUAGGUGCGAGUUUUGUUAUAAACAGAAGUUAGAGUAAAUUUUUAUUUGACGUUGUUUUUAAAAAUAAAGUAAAUAGUAUUUGAAUAGGCUUCAUUUGAUUCGGAUAUAAAUAAUAACUAUUUAUUGGAGGGAUAGAUACAAAUUCUGCUAUAAGAGAAAUUGAGUAAGUUUUUUUUUUGGAUUGAUUUUGGAAAUAAGAUAAUAAUAUUUGAAUAGGCUCCGUUUGGUUUAGAUAUAAACAAAAAUUAUUUAUUGUAGAGAUAGGUACAAAUUUCGAUAUAAGCAGGAACUGGAGUAAGGUAAAUGAUGUUUAAAUGUAAAUGAUGUUUAAAUGGUUAGAUUGGAAUAGUAAAAAUAAAAUAAUUAUAAUUUAAAAAUAUUUUAUCUAAUUAAUUAACAUCAAAAUGUUAAUUAAAAACAAUUUGAUAAAUUAAUAAAUUUAUUAGCUAUAAAUGUUAUAAUAAAUUAAUGAAUAUAAGUAUUAGUUAAUUCAUUAGUUAAAUAAUACAUUAAUUAUUUAGUUAGUUAAUUAUAGAUAAUUAGUUCAAGAUUAAAUAUAUUAGUCAAAAUAUGAAUGAUUGAUUAAUAUAAAUAUUGAUUAUUAGAUAAAUUUAUUAAAAUAUUUUUUAAAAAUUAUUUAAUUAAUUAUAAAUAAAUAAAUAUUUAUUUAUUUUACUGUUUAAGCAAUAGGUAAUGACUUAAAUAUGUUAAUUAGAUUAAUUAGUAAUUUAAUAUCAUAAUUAAAAUUAGAUUAAAUUUUAAUUAAUUUUGUUCCCACUUAGGAAUAAUCUUGUUCCAGGGAAGAGCGUGGAACAAUUGUUCCAAAAUUAUAUCGAAUUAUACCAGUUUAUUUCAGGAAUGAAAGAAUUACUAUUCACAAAUAUUAAAAAUAGUGUUUGAAAAUAAAGAGGGGAACAUAGACUUAUUCACUUUUUGUUCCUAAACGAAACAUUACCUAAAAUUAAAUUUUGAUAUGUUAGAUGUAAAUUGUUCACCGAUCUUGAAACAAACAGUACUUUGUUUACGAACAUUCCACAAAAUUGUGACAAACUCAUAAUUUUACUCUUCAGCUCCAUUAUUCAUUAACGAAACAUAACCUAAAAUUAAAUCUUAAUAUGUUAGACGUAAAUUAUUCGUUGAUCUUGAAACAAAUAGUACUUUGCUUAUAAACAUUCUACAAUAUCCAUUAUUUUAAUAAAUAAAACGGAUAAUAUGUUAUUUUUUAAAAAAAAAUAUUUUACAAUAUUGCGACAAACUCAUAAUUUUACUCUUCAGCUCGAUUAUUAUUCGUAAAAAAUCUACAAAGACUCGAACACGUGACCACUCUACACUGUGUCCAGGUGUCUUAAAAAUUGUAUUUAUGAAUAUAAAAUUUUGAAGUAUAUUUUAAUUGAAUAUGUAUGACAAUGGCUGAUGCACAGCUAAGCUGGUGCAUCGGGUGCGGACAAUAAUUUCUCAUCAUAACUAGUAGGACGCUAAUUUUUGGACUCAUCGUUGUCACAUGCACUGUACGAAACUAAAGAAAAUAAUAUCAAGGGUCCAAAAUCUUCCUGAUGGCUCUGAGAAUUUCACAUUUCCCUGUCAAAAAUUACUUUUUUUUUUAAUUUUUAAGUUAAUUCUUACUUGGGGGUCCCACGAUCUACGAUCUUAUGUCGUCCCCUUCAUCCAAUCACAGCCCUCCAUUCGUCCGUUUCACUUUUUAAGAACGAGACACCGUCCAUUUCGUUCUAUAAUAGGCAUAAUAAUUGACUCAGCACCACCUAGAAAUUUGGAGAAUUUUUUUUCGUGCUUCAGAUUUUUUUGUGUGGAUCAUGUGCCACAAUGCAUAAUACAUAGUCACAAUAAUUUUAGUUUUUUUUUCAUUUUAUUAAGGUAAUGAAGAGUACACAAAUUUUGGGUGUGACUGAAUAUCUAUGAAUAAUAAGAAAUAAAUUAAUCAAUCAAUAUAAGCAUUUUUUACACUGUUUAUAAUAAAAUAUUAUAAUAAAAUACCUAUUUUAAAUAUUCGAUUGAACUUCAAAUUUAAUGGGAAUGCCGAUCUUAUGGCGCGCUGAGUAGAACAAACGGAUCAUGUCAUGUCAAUCAGGUGCGUGUCGUUGGACGAGGAGGAGGAGAUGGGGAGGUACGGGCUGCACCUGCUGGUGCUGUCGCAUGCGUACGACGUGGGGUGGCUGAAGCGUGCGUGCGAGGCGGCGCUGGCGCUGCGGCUGACGGCGGAGGGCAUGGUGGACGUGUUGCUGCUGGCGCGGCAGUGCAAUGCCGCGCGGCUGUACCUCCGCUGCAUGAAGCUGCUGGCCAAGGACUUCGCUGCCGUCAAGAGGACCGAAGCCUGGCAGUUCCUCCAGGCCAACGACCCCUGGCUCGAGCUCGAAAUCCUCCAGUUCCUCCAGGAGGCCGAUCUGGUACGUGA